rnacentral:lncRNA from 1 species
UUGUGUCUUCUUUCUUCCAUGGAUCUUUGAUGUAGUUCCAUGAAAUUUCAACCAUUGUACAUUGUGUCCUUCUACAAGCAAUGAUGAAUCUGUUCUGAGCUUGUAUUCUUGUCUUCUGAUGACUCUGGUGGAGAAAAAAAUGAUUUUUAGAGUUGGAAGUUCCCUUCUUCUUUUGAUUUUGGAAGUGUACAGCCCUGACUUGACUUUAGCUUUGAGUGCAUUUCAUCUAGGGCAUUUUUAAAAUCUCACAAAUGCCAUGAAACCACUCGAUCGGAGACUUCUCCUACUCACUCUUCGUCGCCUUAUACUUCCUCCUCUGAGAUAAGUUUCUUCCAAAUUCUUUCCUCUAAAUUUGAUUUACUCAAGAUUAAUACUCAAAUUUGUGUUUUUAACAGGUUGAACUCAGCUAGGGAGUUAAUACCACUGUCUUAAAACCCAAAUCAAGUAUUAUUCUAAGUAAAUCAGGUAACUUCUUAACCAGAUAAGUGAUUGAUGUUGUGUUUUUGUGAAAAUGGGUUAUUGUGUCAUAAUCAGGUUACUAGAUGAAAACCCCCAUUUUGCAUGCUUCUAAUUCUGAGGUUUGGUACCUGAAAUUUGUCCAUGUUCAGUAGUGCUUUAGCCUAUUUUGGUAAUUGUUGAAAACUUGAAUAAGUUAAUGAAUCUGUUCCUACAAAAACAAAGAUGUUGUUAGCUAAAAAAUCAGCUACUUUGUUUACCUCCGUGAACGUACGCUUAAGAACCACCUGUAAUCCUUUCAUUAACCUCUGGAUUCUUCUAAUUUCCAUUCCAAUUGACCAAGGAACAUCCCAUGUUUUUUUAAAAAAAUGCUUAACUACUAAACAGUCUGUCUCAAGAAUCAAAGGAAAAAGGUUGUGCUCAACGCAGUAUUCUAAGCCCAUCCGCAUUGCAGUCACCUAAGCUAUUAAGUUGGUAGAUACCCCUAUUUUUCUGCAUUCAGCAAACACUAGUUACCAUGAUCAUCUCUAAUGCAGAAAGCACUAGAACUGAUGCCUGGAAUCCCUUUUGAGGAGCCAUCACUAUUGAACUUAAAAGAACCUGUAGGAGGAGCAUUCCAAAACACUACCUUACAAGCAGUUGCUGGCUAAUAGUUUUGAAGAAAAAGCAGCAGAACAGGCCAUGAUUCUGGAAUCGAUCUAAACCAUAGAUAUAGCCUUUUUUCAAAAACACUAAAUUUCUAGUUAUUUCUCUUAUAGAUCUUCAGAAGGUUAUCUUACCGCCAUGUUUAAUCGUAUUUCUUACUUUCCAAAUCUACCAUAAAAUGAACAAAGGCAUAGCCCUAAAAAUAUGACUUAACUUUGAAUUUGUGGAUAUAUUCCACCAUUUAAAAAUAGUUUCCUUUAUUUGUAAGAAAGGACCAUGAAUACCUGUGCAAGUUGCAAAGUAAACCCAAAUACUAUUAACCUUAGAACAAAUCAUAAAAAGAUUCUCAAAAGUUUCCAUAUGUCCAGAAUCACAACAUCCACAUAGGACCUGAUUAGAAAAACCAUACCUAACCAAUUCUUCACCCAUAGGGAUUCUUUUCUUCUACAAUCUCCAAAUGAAGAAAGAAAUCUUAAAAGGAAUACCUUUCAUCCAGAUUCUUUUAUAGAUCAAUAAUCUUUCCUGUUUAUUUCUAAUUGAGUCCCAGGAAGAUUUCACACUGAAAUUACCAUGAACAUUCAACAGCCACCACGCUUUAUCCAAAACAUCAAUCUCUUGUGAGCACUUCAUAUUUAGUAAAACAGAAUUACUAACUUCACUCCCAAAGUUUUCCUGCAGAAGAUCUGAAUUCCAAACUUCAUUAAUAAAGCAUUGGCUCACCUCUUCUAGCUGAUUAUUCCUGGCCAAAUCAAUAGGAAGAAUGUAAUGUAGGGCCCCUUAUUUUGUCCAGCUAUCGUACCAAAUACUACCAUGACCACAUUUAGGCUCCCACCAGAUAUAUUAAUCAAACAAAUCUCUUGCCUCCAGCAUGUGUUUCCGGAUUAAAGAACCACUCCUCCACUCAACUAGUUGAGGUCUCACCUUCUUACAGUAUUUAGUCCACAUGAAAUUUCACCACAAAGAUUUUUGAGUUCUAAAUUUCCACCAGAGUUUAGCAAACAAAGCUUUAGAAACAUCAAAUAAAGAUCUUAAUCCCAAACCCCCUUCAUCUUUAGGGCUGCAAAUAGAAUCCCAAGCUACCCAAUGUUUAUUUCUGCCUACCUCUUUAAAAUUCCAUCGGAAUCUAGCAAAAGAUCUAUGUAAAUCAUGAAUGACAUAUUUAGGAGGAAUUAUGGCAGAUAAUAAGUAUAUAGGAAUACUUGAAAGAACACUAUUGAUUAAGAUAGCUUUACCACCAAAAUAUAACAUUUUUCCUUUCCAAGCUUGUAAUUUUCCUUGAACUUUCUUCAUCAAUUCUGAAAAGUGUACCUUUCUUUUUCUGGCAUAUCCUAUAGGAUAGCCCAAAUACAUCAAAGGAAACUUUUCCUUGUUAAAACCUAUGCAGUCUUUCACCUCCCUGAUGUGUGAUUGAGCAGCUUUGUGAUACAUAUAGAAAGAAGAAUUUUCUUUAUUUAUCAAUUGCCCUGAUUGCUCUUCAUAUCUCCUGAGAAUUUCUAUUAGAAGCUUCAAAGAAUUCUUGUUUGCUGAUCCAAAAAUGAUAGUGUCAUCUGCAUAAGCGGGAUGGUUAAUGUUGUCACUUUGGAAGACCAUAACCAAUAUAGCCACUAUUAAAAAAUAAUGAAUUUAGAGACGUAGAGAGAACUUCUGCAGCUAUGAUGAAUAGUGCUGGCGAUAAAGGAUCCCCUUGUUUGACCCCCCUAAUAAUAAUAAUAAUAAUUAUUAUUAUUAUUAUUAUUAUUAAUAAUAAUAGGGAUCCUUUAUCGCCAGCACUAUUCAUCAUAGCUGCAGAAGUUCUCUCUACGUCUCUAAAUUCAUUAUUUUUUAAUAGUGGCUAUAUUGGUUAUGGUCUUCCAAAGUGACAACAUUAACCAUCCCGCUUAUGCAGAUGACACUAUCAUUUUUGGAUCAGCAAACAAGAAUUCUUUGAAGCUUCUAAUAGAAAUUCUCAGGAGAUAUGAAGAGCAAUCAGGGCAAUUGAUAAAUAAAGAAAAUUCUUCUUUCUAUAUGUAUCACAAAGCUGCUCAAUCACACAUCAGGGAGGUGAAAGACUGCAUAGGUUUUAACAAGGAAAAGUUUCCUUUGAUGUAUUUGGGCUAUCCUAUAGGAUAUGCCAGAAAAAGAAAGGUACACUUUUCAGAAUUGAUGAAGAAAGUUCAAGGAAAAUUACAAGCUUGGAAAGGAAAAAUGUUAUAUUUUGGUGGUAAAGCUAUCUUAAUCAAUAGUGUUCUUUCAAGUAUUCCUAUAUACUUAUUAUCUGCCAUAAUUCCUCCUAAAUAUGUCAUUCAUGAUUUACAUAGAUCUUUUGCUAGAUUCCGAUGGAAUUUUAAAGAGGUAGGCAGAAAUAAACAUUGGGUAGCUUGGGAUUCUAUUUGCAGCCCUAAAGAUGAAGGGGGUUUGGGAUUAAGAUCUUUAUUUGAUGUUUCUAAAGCUUUGUUUGCUAAACUCUGGUGGAAAUUUAGAACUCAAAAAUCUUUGUGGUGAAAUUUCAUGUGGACUAAAUACUGUAAGAAGGUGAGACCUCAACUAGUUGAGUGGAGGAGUGGUUCUUUAAUCCGGAAACACAUGCUGGAGGCAAGAGAUUUGUUUGAUUAAUAUAUCUGGUGGGAGCCUAAAUGUGGUCAUGGUAGUAUUUGGUACGAUAGCUGGACAAAAUAAGGGGCCCUACAUUACAUUCUUCCUAUUGAUUUGGCCAGGAAUAUAGGGUCACUACAUUAGAUGGGAUGAAAUUGAUUUCCCCCAAACAUGGAUUUUAAAUUCACUCACUUCCCCAAAACAAUUGGCGGACGAUGUGACUAAUUCAGAACUCAAAAUCCAGAUGGAUGAAUUUGUCUAUAAUUUGAUAGUAAUCCCCCAGUCUAUAGAAAUUCUUUCUCAAUACCACGAAGACUUCCUUCUAUUCAUCAUAUUUCUCCUAUAGAAUCUCAGUAUGGUCCAGCUAGGAAUCGAGCGGCAUCUUUGCAUACUAUUAAUUCUGCAGAUUCGCAUANNNNNNNNNNNNNNNNNNNNNNNNNNNNNNNNNNNNNNNNNNNNNNNNNNNNNNNNNNNNNNNNNNNNNNNNNNNNNNNNNNNNNNNNNNNNNNNNNNNNNNNNNNNNNNNNNNNNNNNNNNNNNNNNNNNNNNNNNNNNNNNNNNNNNNNNNNNNNNNNNNNNNNNNNNNNNNNNNNNNNNNNNNNNNNNNNNNNNNNNNNNNNNNNNNNNNNNNNNNNNNNNNNNNNNNNNNNNNNNNNNNNNNNNNNNNNNNNNNNNNNNNNNNNNNNNNNNNNNNNNNNNNNNNNNNNNNNNNNNNNNNNNNNNNNNNNNNNNNNNNNNNNNNNNNNNNNNNNNNNNNNNNNNNNNNNNNNNNNNNNNNNNNNNNNNNNNNNNNNNNNNNNNNNNNNNNNNNNNNNNNNNNNNNNNNNNNNNNNNNNNNNNNNNNNNNNNNNNNNNNNNNNNNNNNNNNNNNNNNNNNNNNNNNNNNNNNNNNNNNNNNNNNNNNNNNNNNNNNNNNNNNNNNNNNNNNNNNNNNNNNNNNNNNNNNNNNNNNNNNNNNNNNNNNNNNNNNNNNNNNNNNNNNNNNNNNNNNNNNNNNNNNNNNNNNNNNNNNNNNNNNNNNNNNNNNNNNNNNNNNNNNNNNNNNNNNNNNNNNNNNNNNNNNNNNNNNNNNNNNNNNNNNNNNNNNNNNNNNNNNNNNNNNNNNNNNNNNNNNNNNNNNNNNNNNNNNNNNNNNNNNNNNNNNNNNNNNNNNNNNNNNNNNNNNNNNNNNNNNNNNNNNNNNNNNNNNNNNNNNNNNNNNNNNNNNNNNNNNNNNNNNNNNNNNNNNNNNNNNNNNNNNNNNNNNNNNNNNNNNNNNNNNNNNNNNNNNNNNNNNNNNNNNNNNNNNNNNNNNNNNNNNNNNNNNNNNNNNNNNNNNNNNNNNNNNNNNNNNNNNNNNNNNNNNNNNNNNNNNNNNNNNNNNNNNNNNNNNNNNNNNNNNNNNNNNNNNNNNNNNNNNNNNNNNNNNNNNNNNNNNNNNNNNNNNNNNNNNNNNNNNNNNNNNNNNNNNNNNNNNNNNNNNNNNNNNNNNNNNNNNNNNNNNNNNNNNNNNNNNNNNNNNNNNNNNNNNNNNNNNNNNNNNNNNNNNNNNNNNNNNNNNNNNNNNNNNNNNNNNNNNNNNNNNNNNNNNNNNNNNNNNNNNNNNNNNNNNNNNNNNNNNNNNNNNNNNNNNNNNNNNNNNNNNNNNNNNNNNNNNNNNNNNNNNNNNNNNNNNNNNNNNNNNNNNNNNNNNNNNNNNNNNNNNNNNNNNNNNNNNNNNNNNNNNNNNNNNNNNNNNNNNNNNNNNNNNNNNNNNNNNNNNNNNNNNNNNNNNNNNNNNNNNNNNNNNNNNNNNNNNNNNNNNNNNNNNNNNNNNNNNNNNNNNNNNNNNNNNNNNNNNNNNNNNNNNNNNNNNNNNNNNNNNNNNNNNNNNNNNNNNNNNNNNNNNNNNNNNNNNNNNNNNNNNNNNNNNNNNNNNNNNNNNNNNNNNNNNNNNNNNNNNNNNNNNNNNNNNNNNNNNNNNNNNNNNNNNNNNNNNNNNNNNNNNNNNNNNNNNNNNNNNNNNNNNNNNNNNNNNNNNNNNNNNNNNNNNNNNNNNNNNNNNNNNNNNNNNNNNNNNNNNNNNNNNNNNNNNNNNNNNNNNNNNNNNNNNNNNNNNNNNNNNNNNNNNNNNNNNNNNNNNNNNNNNNNNNNNNNNNNNNNNNNNNNNNNNNNNNNNNNNNNNNNNNNNNNNNNNNNNNNNNNNNNNNNNNNNNNNNNNNNNNNNNNNNNNNNNNNNNNNNNNNNNNNNNNNNNNNNNNNNNNNNNNNNNNNNNNNNNNNNNNNNNNNNNNNNNNNNNNNNNNNNNNNNNNNNNNNNNNNNNNNNNNNNNNNNNNNNNNNNNNNNNNNNNNNNNNNNNNNNNNNNNNNNNNNNNNNNNNNNNNNNNNNNNNNNNNNNNNNNNNNNNNNNNNNNNNNNNNNNNNNNNNNNNNNNNNNNNNNNNNNNNNNNNNNNNNNNNNNNNNNNNNNNNNNNNNNNNNNNNNNNNNNNNNNNNNNNNNNNNNNNNNNNNNNNNNNNNNNNNNNNNNNNNNNNNNNNNNNNNNNNNNNNNNNNNNNNNNNNNNNNNNNNNNNNNNNNNNNNNNNNNNNNNNNNNNNNNNNNNNNNNNNNNNNNNNNNNNNNNNNNNNNNNNNNNNNNNNNNNNNNNNNNNNNNNNNNNNNNNNNNNNNNNNNNNNNNNNNNNNNNNNNNNNNNNNNNNNNNNNNNNNNNNNNNNNNNNNNNNNNNNNNNNNNNNNNNNNNNNNNNNNNNNNNNNNNNNNNNNNNNNNNNNNNNNNNNNNNNNNNNNNNNNNNNNNNNNNNNNNNNNNNNNNNNNNNNNNNNNNNNNNNNNNNNNNNNNNNNNNNNNNNNNNNNNNNNNNNNNNNNNNNNNNNNNNNNNNNNNNNNNNNNNNNNNNNNNNNNNNNNNNNNNNNNNNNNNNNNNNNNNNNNNNNNNNNNNNNNNNNNNNNNNNNNNNNNNNNNNNNNNNNNNNNNNNNNNNNNNNNNNNNNNNNNNNNNNNNNNNNNNNNNNNNNNNNNNNNNNNNNNNNNNNNNNNNNNNNNNNNNNNNNNNNNNNNNNNNNNNNNNNNNNNNNNNNNNNNNNNNNNNNNNNNNNNNNNNNNNNNNNNNNNNNNNNNNNNNNNNNNNNNNNNNAUCGAAAGAUCUGAUCAAAAUUCUAAUGGAUCGAUUACUCAAGCACUCUCCCCUCCUCAGUCUUCCUUUAUCUUACCUAAUAAUACUGGCAUGACUUUUUCUGCUUUUCAAAAGUUUGUUAGUGAAGAUGUGGGAAAAAUUACUGUUUCUAAAAUAAAUAACCUUAUCGCCCAAAAUAAUUAUUUGAGUCUUUAUGUUAAGGUUUUAGGAGAACACAUUUCCUCUCUUGAUAAAAAACUUGACGAAUUAAUUGAGUUAGUUAACAAACAUAGCACCCAGAUGAAUUCCUCUACCAUUCCUUCUACUUCCAAAAAGGAUAUAUUUUAUCAAAACCUUGUAUUCAAAGACCUCUUGAAAUAGAAGGAUUUGAAAAGGUUUCUCAAUUAGACCAAUUAGAGAAACUCUUAGAUAAAAAAUUCUCACGUUUAAACAUUCAACCUCUUAAUAUUUCUGAUGAUUUUGUACAAAAUCUUGAGUCUAAUUUUGCUGAUAAUAUUGAGUCUACUCAAAAUACUGGAUAUGUAAUCUCUUCCGAGCUAAAUAAGUUGAAAGGUAUAAUUACAAAACAAUCGGGAAAUAAAUACGUUGAUAUUCCCCGUAUGUGUACUGCAUAUUAUCCACGCCCAACUCCUCAAGAUGUUCUGAUAGAGGAAAGGGAAUGGAAUCAGACAAAUACUUCUUAUAGUGGAGAAGCCAUUUAUGAAUGGAAUAUUGACAGAUUAUCUGACCGACAAAUCUCUAUUCUUAUCCAUUGUAUGUCCAUGUAUGCUACUAUUGCCAAAGCCACUGCUUCGCUAGAAAAUCGGGCCAAUCGCACUGACCCAACAAUUUGUAAAUGCUAUUGGCCUGAUUUUCUGGCGAAGCAGUGGCUGUGGUAAUAGUAGCAUACAUGGACAUACAAUGAUAAGAAUAGAGAUUUGUCAGUCAAAUAAUCCGUCAAUAUUCCAUUCAUAAAUGGCUUCUCCACUAUAAGAAGUAUUUGUCUGAUUCCAUUCCCCUUCCUCUAUCAGAACAUCUUGAGGAGUUGGGCGUGGAUAAUAUGCAGUAGACAUAUGGGGAAUAUCAGCGUACUUCUUUCCAGGUUAUUUUUUAAUCAAACCUUUGAGCUUAUUAAGCUCGGAAGAGAUUAUAAUGCCAGGAUUUUCAGCAGAAUCAAUAUUCUCAGCAAAAUUAGACUCAAGAUUUUGUACAAAAUCAUCAGAAAUAUUAAGAGGUUGAAUGUUUAAACGUGAGAAUUUUUUAUCUAAGAGUUUCUCUAAUUGGUCUAAUUGAGAAACCUUUUCAAAUCCUUCUAUUUCAGGAGGUCUUUGAAUACAAGGUUUUGAUAAAAUAUAUCCUUCUUCAUCAGUGAUUUUGGAAGUAGAAGGAAUGUUAGAGGAAUUCAUCUGGGUGCUAAGUUUGUUAACUAACUCAAUUAAUUCGUCAAGUUUUUUAUCAAGAGAGGAAAUGUGUUCUCCUAAAACCUUAACAUAAAGACUCAAAUAAUUAUUUUGGGCGAUAAGGUUAUUUAUUUCAGAAACAGUAAUUUUUCCCACAUCUUCACUGACAAACUUUUGAAAAGCAGAAAAAGUCAUGCCAGUAUUAUUGGGCAAUAUAAAGGAAGACUGAGGAGGAUAGAGUGCUUGAGUAAUUGUGCCAUCAGAAUUUUGAUAAGAUCUUUCGAUUAUUUUGACAUAUGACGGUAAAUAUGCAGACAUGAACCAUGGGACAAAGAAAAUGAUUUUAUUAUGUAAAGCACAAAUUUCAUAGAAUUCUUCUGAAAUAUUUCGUAAUUCAUCAGGAGUAUAAGUUUCAAAAAACCAUGUCCUAAAGGUUUUCCAUUUUUCAGAAAAAAAUUCUUUCUGAAUAUAUUUUCUUGCCUGAGAACCAGGACUAAAAUCAAUAAGUUGUGUCAUCAUGGUUAAACAGAAUUGAUGUCAAAAUCCAUUUCAGAUGGGGUAGGAUUUUCAUUAUCAAAAUCUUGAACUAUAUUAGUUUUUGAGUUGAUUUUUAUCUUUUCUACACCUUUAGGUGUAGUAUGCGAAUCUGCAGAAUUAAUAAUAUGCAAAGAUGUCGUUCGAUUCCUAGCUGGACCAUACUGAGGUUCUAUAGGAGAAAUAUGAUGAAUAGAAGGAAGUCUUCGUGGUAUUGAGAAAGAAUUUCUAUAGACUGGGGGAUUACUAUCAAAUUGUAGACAAAUUCGUCCAGCUGGAUUUUGAGUUACUUGAGUUAACUCUGAUACCUAAUUCUGAUAGUGAGCUCGAUCAGGUUAAUAAAUAUAAUGACUGUGAUAAUGAUGUUUGAAAUUGUGAUGAAAUGAUGUAUAAACUUCAAGCGCAAUUCGAAGAUCUUGAUUUAAAUGUUCAAACUCUUACUGCUGAAAAUGUUCUCGAAUUACUAAAAGAAGUUACUGAUGAAAAACUGCGUGAAAAAAUCCUUAAUUUUGCUACUCAAAAAACUUCUGCUAAUNNNNNNNNNNNNNNNNNNNNNNNNNNNNNNNNNNNNNNNNNNNNNNNNNNNNNNNNNNNNNNNNNNNNNNNNNNNNNNNNNNNNNNNNNNNNNNNNNNNNNNNNNNNNNNNNNNNNNNNNNNNNNNNNNNNNNNNNNNNNNNNNNNNNNNNNNNNNNNNNNNNNNNNNNNNNNNNNNNNNNNNNNNNNNNNNNNNNNNNNNNNNNNNNNNNNNNNNNNNNNNNNNNNNNNNNNNNNNNNNNNNNNNNNNNNNNNNNNNNNNNNNNNNNNNNNNNNNNNNNNNNNNNNNNNNNNNNNNNNNNNNNNNNNNNNNNNNNNNNNNNNNNNNNNNNNNNNNNNNNNNNNNNNNNNNNNNNNNNNNNNNNNNNNNNNNNNNNNNNNNNNNNNNNNNNNNNNNNNNNNNNNNNNNNNNNNNNNNNNNNNNNNNNNNNNNNNNNNNNNNNNNNNNNNNNNNNNNNNNNNNNNNNNNNNNNNNNNNNNNNNNNNNNNNNNNNNNNNNNNNNNNNNNNNNNNNNNNNNNNNNNNNNNNNNNNNNNNNNNNNNNNNNNNNNNNNNNNNNNNNNNNNNNNNNNNNNNNNNNNNNNNNNNNNNNNNNNNNNNNNNNNNNNNNNNNNNNNNNNNNNNNNNNNNNNNNNNNNNNNNNNNNNNNNNNNNNNNNNNNNNNNNNNNNNNNNNNNNNNNNNNNNNNNNNNNNNNNNNNNNNNNNNNNNNNNNNNNNNNNNNNNNNNNNNNNNNNNNNNNNNNNNNNNNNNNNNNNNNNNNNNNNNNNNNNNNNNNNNNNNNNNNNNNNNNNNNNNNNNNNNNNNNNNNNNNNNNNNNNNNNNNNNNNNNNNNNNNNNNNNNNNNNNNNNNNNNNNNNNNNNNNNNNNNNNNNNNNNNNNNNNNNNNNNNNNNNNNNNNNNNNNNNNNNNNNNNNNNNNNNNNNNNNNNNNNNNNNNNNNNNNNNNNNNNNNNNNNNNNNNNNNNNNNNNNNNNNNNNNNNNNNNNNNNUUAAAUUAAGAUCUUCGAAUUGCGCUUGAAGUUUAUACAUCAUUUCAUCACAAUUGCAAACAUCAUUAUCACAGCCAUUACAUUUAUUAACCUAAUCGAGCUCACUAUCAGAAUUAGGUAAUUCAAAAUCAUCUUCAGAGGUAGAAUCAGAUUUAGAAUCAGAGGUAUAUAAUAAAUUAUAGACAUGGUCAUGAACUUCUUCAAAAAGUCCUAAGGACUUGAGUUUUUGUAAUUUGCAGUUUGGAGCUAUAUGACCAUACUGGUUACACUUAUAGCAUUUAAUUUUGGCUAAUUCUCUUUUGGAUCUAUUUUUCGUGAAUCUGGUAGACUUACGAAAAGAUUUUCUAGUUUCACAUUCUUCAUUGGUUCGAUGCCUAGAACGUUUAUUUCUAUAGGAUUUAUGAGGCUUGGAAUAUCUUUGGGGUUUUCGUACGAAGGGUUUAUCCAUACCAAAUUGCUCACAAAAGUCUCCUAAUUGGGAUUUUUCUUUGAGUUUAUCAAGCUUAAUCUGUCUAGCUAAUUUCAACUCGUUGCAAAGGGCUGAGCCUUCUUGAGUACAAGCUACAAUAAGCUGACCAUAAGUUUUUUCUGAAAACUGGACUUCUCCAUAAAAUCGUCUAAGAGAUUUUCUAACUCUUUCAGCAAAUAAAGGAGGAAUGCCAUCAAUGAAUUUAGCUUUCCAAUGGUCAUACUUACUUUUGGGUAAAUCCAUAACCCUACUAAGAAAGGUAUCUUUAUACCAUCUAAUUUCGCCUAAGUGUUUACAUUUUAAACCAUUAAGAAGGGUCCUAAUAUUUUCAUAUUGAUUAGUAAAUCUUCCUCCGAAAUGUUCAAUAAUUGUAAGCAUAAGGGUAUAGACAGCAUCCGAACGUCCUGCCCGAAGAGGUCGUCCUAGAUUAUCUUUCCCGGAAUUAUCAUUGGUGGCAUUAAAAAUAGCCUCAUAUUUUUCAUCGUCCAAGAAAUUAUCCCACCAGCCUCGAAGUUGGCCAGUAAAUCCCGCAACAAUCAUUUUACAAAUUGUUGGGUCGGUGCGAUUGGCCCGAUUUUCUGGCGAAGCAGUGGCUGUGGCAAUAGUAGCAUACACGGACAUUCGAUGGAUAAGAAUAGAGAUUUGUCAGUCAGAUAAUCCGUCAAUAUUCCAUUCAUAAAUGGCUUCUCCACUAUAAGAAGUAUUUGUCUGAUUCCAUUUUCUUUCCUCUAUCAGAACAUAAGAUAGAGGUACAACAACUUCUUGGUCACCUAUGCACUUCUUUAGCAAGGAGACAUAAAAGACUAGAUGAACUGAAGCUAGAUCUGAAGGCAACUCGAGCUCAUAAGCUACUUUGCCGAAGCGAUUGAGAAUUUUGAAAGGACUAACAUAUCGAGGAUUGAGCUUCACUUUCUUACUGAACCUUUUCACUCCCUUCAUGGGAAAGAUUUUCAAUUACACAUGAUCACCAAUCUCGAACUCGAGAACUUUUAUGUGCAUAUUUGAGUAUGAUUUUUGUAGGCUCUGAGCUGUCUUAAGCCUUUCUUUGAUCAACUGAACUUUCUCUAAGGUAUCUAAUACUAAGUCAGGCCCUACUAAUGCGGCCUCACCGACUUUAAACUAACCGAUCAAAGAUCUUCAUCUCCUACUGUAGAGAACUUCGAAUGGAGCAAUCUGAAUACUGGAAUGAUAGAUAUUAUUAUAUGCAAACUCAAUCAAAGGCAAGUGGUCAUCCCAACUACCCUUGAAAUCAAUUGCACACGCCCUUAGCAUAUCUUCCAAGGUCUGAAUGGUCCUUUCUUCUUGACUAUUUGUCUGAGGAUGAAAGGUGGUGCUGAGAUGAACUCGGGUACCAAGACCCUUCUGGUACGCUUUCCAGAAAUGAAAGGUGAACUACGUACCUCUAUCUGAGACAAUAGAUAAUGGAACACUGUGCAAUCUUACCAACUCUUUGAUAUAGAUUUUGGCAUAAUCCUCGGCUGAUAAGUGGUAUGGACUGGAAGGAAAUAAGUUGAUUUGGUCAUCCUAUCUACAUUAACCCAAACUGAAUAAUGUUGAUGACGAGUACAUGGCAAACCCAUUACAAAGUCCAUGUUCACUUCUUCCUACUUCCAAGUAGGAAUAUUGAACUCUUGCAUGGACCCACUAGGCUUCUGAUGCUCAAUCUUAACUUGUUGACAUAUUGAGAACUUAGCCACAAACUCUGCAAUAUCUCUUUUCAUCCCAUUCCACCAAUAGAUCUUAAGCAAAUCGUAGUACAUCUUAGUGGACCCUGGAUGAAUCGAGUAAUGAGCACCAUGUGCUUCUACCAGAAUUUAUUGCCUCAAGUCAUUUAUACCUGGCAUAAAGAGAUGACCUUGACAAUGCAACACACCAUCUCCCCCUUGGGAGAAAACCUCUACUUUUUGAUCUUUGCUUGACUCUUUCAACUUGACUAGACUAGGAUCUCUAUCCUUCUUUUCCUUUACCUCGAAAACUAGAGAUGAUUCUGAACUACUCUAAACCCAUAUGUUACCCUAUACUGAGUCAACUAGGCCGACACCUAGUCGGGUAAGCUGAUGAACUUCCUGAGCUAGCUUCUUCUAAUUUCCUCAACAUGAGCAACACUACCCAUAGACAGUCUACUGAGAGUAUCGGCCACUAUGUUGGCCUUGCCCGAAUGGUAAAAGACACUAAUGUUGUAAUAUUUCAAGAGAUCUAACCACCUUCUCUGACGGAGGUUAAGAUUUUUCUGAGAAAAUAUGUACUAAAGGCUUUUAGGAUUUGUGAACCUAUCUACAUGCACCCCAUACAAGUAAUGCCUCUAAAUCUUUAAGGCAAAAACUAUGGCUGUUAACUCAGGAUCAUGAGUCGGAUAAUUUUUCUCAUGGGGUUUAAGCUAUUUGGAGGCGUAGGCUGUGACCUUACUAUACUGCAUGAGGACAUAACAAAAACCUACUCUAGAUGCAUCACAGUACACUACGAACCCAUCUAAACUAUUUAGAAGAUCUAAUACUAGGGCUGAGGUAAGUCGAGUCUUUAACUCCUGAAAACUCUUCUCGCAAGGAUUUGACCACUGAAACUAGACUUUCUUCUAAGUCAAUCUGGACAUAGGGGAUACGAUAGAAGAAAAUCCCUCAAUAAGUCAUCUAUAAUAGCUAGCUAGACCCAAGAAACUCUUAAUAUCUGAUGGAGAGAUAGUGUGAGGUCAAUUUCUUGCUGCUUCAGUCUUAUGAGGAUCAACUCUAAUGCCAUCACCAAAUAUGAUAUGACCAAGGAAUGCUACUGACCUUAGCCAAAAUUCGCACUUACUAAAUUUGGCGAACAACUGAUGAUUUUUGAGAGCUUGUAAUACUGUUCUGAGAUGGUCUACAUGAUCACACUCACCGCGGGAAUAGACAAGAAUGUCAUCUAUGAAAACUAUAAUGAACAUGUCCAAGUACUACUUGAACACACGAUUCAUCAAGUGCAUGAAAUUGGUUGGGGUAUUGGUAAGACCAAAGGACAUGACUAAGAAAUCAAAGUGAACUUACCAAGUUCGGAAAGCUAUUUUUGGAAUGUCACAUUCUCUAACUCUGAGCUGAUGAUAGCCUGAUUUAAGGUUUUUCUUAGAGAAAUAGCUGGCACCCUAAAGUUGGUCAAAUAAGUCAUCAAUUCUGGGAAGUGGAUACUUGUUCUUGAAUGUGAAUUUAUUGAGCUGACAGUAAUCUAUACACAUUCUGAGAGAACUAUCUUUCUCUUGCACGAAUAAGACUAGUGCACCUUAAGGGGACACACUGGGUCUAAUGAAUCCCUUAUCUAGGAGGUCCUUCAACUAUUCUUUACUAUUUUUGAGUUAUGCUGGUGCCAAUCUCUAUGGAGAAAUAGAUAUAGGCUGAGUAUCUAGAAGAAGAUCAAUAUCAAAGUAUAUUUCCCUUUCGGGAGGAAUUCCUGGAAGAUCUUUAGGAAAGAUAUCUGAAUAUUCGUUCACUACUAGGACUGAUUCAAGACUGGAGUUUCGAAACUAGGGUCCUUAACUCUAACAAGAUGAUAGAAACAUCCCUUGGAUAUUAUUUUCCUUGGCCGAAGGUAGGAAACAAGAUGACCCCUAAAGGCUAAAGCACUACCACUACACUCUAGGAAAAGUUCAUUCAAAAACUAAAAUUGUAAAACUCUAUUUCUACAGUUGACUGUGGCAUAGCAGGAAGGAAGCCAAUCCAUGCCAAAAGUGACAUCGAAAUCAGUCAUCUCUAAUUUAACUAAGUCUGUUGAAGUGAUUUUCUGAAAUAUCAUAACUGGAUAGUUGUUGUAUACCCAUUGGGCUAUGAUGGUUUUACCCACUGAGGUAGAGACUGAGAAGGUCUCUACUAUAAUUUUAGGACUGACUCCUAAAUUAACUGUUAUGUAUGGGGAAACAAAAUACAAAAAAUUUCCUGGAUCUAGCAAAGCAUAAACAUAUACAUAAAAGAUCUGUAACGUACAGUGACCAUAUUAGAAGAAAAAUUUUCCUGAUCUUUUCGGGACUGAAUAACAUAUAAUUUGUUUAGGUAUUACCCAUUAGUGAAUUAUUAGUGGCAUCCUGCUGUUUUAGGUGACCGGACUAAGCUGAGGAAUGGUUAUGCUGUCCUUGAAUGCCUGACUAGGGAUAAUAUCUUACUUUGUGGCCUGGAUUGCGACAUCUAAAACAUACAUCACUGUCAGCUCUACAAAUACCCUUGUGGUUGUUCCUACAAAUCUGACAAAGAGGAUUGAUUCGGACACUGUUAACACUGCCCUAAGAUUUAGAGCUUGGGGCCCUAUCUUUGUUACCCCCCCUGAACGUAGGAACUGGAGCACUGGCUAAGAAAGGAGCUAGAACGGAUGACUUUGGGUGGAACUGAUAACGAUUACUUCCCUUCCAACUCAGGCUUAUUAAAAUUGAAGCUAUCUAUUCUAGCUCUCUUAUUCUUCUUCUCUCUCUCAUUAAUAUUUUGCUUCUCUAUCUAUUGAGCAUGGAUCAUAAGCCUAGCUAUGCCCAUCUCACUAAUCAAUAUGGUAGUCCUUCACUCUUUGACCAAACUAUCAUUUACCCUAGAAACAAACUGUCUUAUCUUAGCCCUGUUAUUUUCCACUACAUGAGGAGCGUAUCUAUCUAGCUGAGUCAACAUGAGAGAAUACUCUUUCACUGUUAUGUUACCCUACCCAAGGUUGAUAAACUCUAAUAUCUUGGCUUCUCUCAGAUCUAGGGGAAAGAAUUUAUCUGAGAAGGCAGUGGCAAGUAACUCCCACUCAAUCCACUGUUUGAACCAUGCGUGAGCCAUAUCCUACAAUUGAUAUAUAGAUAGCUUAGCACUCUCACUAGCGGUAACCCCGAUGAUAUCUAUAACCUUCUGAACCUAAUCAUGGAAUUCCUGAGGGUCCUCGUCUAUCUUAGACCCAAAAAGGGAUGGAGAAUUUAUAUGGGUAAAGUCUCGAAUCCUAGUUGCAGCAGUCUUGGUCGUUGGGCUGGCCAAAAUAACAGUUGACCUUUCAUUAUGAGCAGUAACUGAAUUAGCAAGAGUAAUGAAUGUAGCUCUGAACUAUUCAUGAGAGAUAUGUUCGUCCAAGGGAUCUGCAUGGACAGGCUGAGGGGAUUUCCGAUUUUCAUUUCUUUUUUUGGAAGGCAUGCUCUGUAAUGAAAAGGGAUAAAUGAAUUAGACUAAGAGUUAAAUUUUGAGCUCAUUCUCACUGGCACGACAUGUAUACUGAAGAAAGGGAAACUAUUCCUAAAACAUUUAAUAUUUUCCUUUACAUAAAUGUCUGAUGCAACACACCUAUGUACAAGACUCUACUCGAUGCGGCUUUUUAGACUUCCUAGGACUAUAUUGAACUUUAGACUUUGAUACCAAGUUUGUAACUCCCUGAGCCUAUUGACCAAGAUGAUACAUGAUGCUAAUAAUUAUGAAGGACCACUAGCUAACCCAUGACUGAUAUCUAUAAUGGAGCACUAUAUAAUAUACUAUAUAAAUGCGGAAUAAAAGGCUGAAAGGACAUAAGGUUCAAAAUUGAAUAAUAAUAAUAAUACUAAAUGUGGUAUAAAAAUACCAAAACAACUGAAAUAAUUAAAAACACUAAAUUCUAAAUAUCUAGUCUGAAAGCCUCUAAACUAUCUGAAUAAGGAGUUGAUGGGACAUAUCCUCAACUAACUCCAACUACUGAAAUAAACUAAGUACUAAAAUACUAAAAUGAUAAGGCAUCCUCGAAUGAUGAGGACUCACUGCUAGUCUACUGCUGCUGACUGAAACCUGAGCUGCUAAGUGUGAUAAGAAACCUGAGCAUCCAAACCUAUGGUAUAAAACACCAUAGAGCAAAAGAAAAGUAUGCGUCAGUACGUGAGAAUGUACUGGUACACAAGUAAGAUAGGCUGAAUACAUGGGGUUCAUAUGUAUGUAAUAUAACUAACUGAUAACAUGAACAUGAACAUGACUGUGUGAGGAUGCAGGCAUGAAAACAUAAUAGCAAUUGAAACAUCGAGAUUCUUAAUAUACUAAUAACAUGGAUUACUGAUAAUUGAUAUAACUGAUACAGGAUUCUUAAUAUACUAAUAACAUGGAUUACUGAUAAUUGAUGUAACUGAUACUGGUUGACUAUUUCUGACAGUCUUGAUUCUGAUGGAACUAGCUGAGUUUUAUACUGAGCUAAGUGACUGUAUCUAACAGUCCUAAAAUCUAUAGAACUAUUUGAAUUUUAGUACUGAUAUUAAGACUGAGACUAUGGAAGGAAUUCAUCUAACUGGCAUGCCCCAAAUAAAGAAAUAUACCUGAUUUGGGGUCUAAUCUGUAAACCCAAUUGGAAGGGUGUCAAUACCAUGCCAACUGGUAAAGACAAGUUGUGGCUGACCCUCAUCUGGCAGUGUUCCCAAAAAGGAAUGGAGGAACCCUCAUCUGGCAGUGUUAAUCCACCUCAUCAACCCUCAACUGUCAGUUUUGAUGUCUCAACCUAUGCUGGCUACAUAGUUCUGGAAUGCAAGGAUUGUUUCUAAUGGGUCACACCCUUUACUAUCAGUGUGUACCCUCAUCCUUAGGUUUACUCAGUCCAAAAUCCUACUCCCAACUAAAUAUACACUUAACUAAUUAUACAGAGAUAAAUUGGGCUGAGGUCACUGAGUUCUUCGGACUGAUGGAGUAUUACAAAAAAUUUUCAACUGAUUGAGUUCAUGAGAUUACUGAGUUUUCCUGAGUUAUGUAACUAACUGAUAAUACUACUGAUCAUGGCGUGACUAAGAUUAUCAUGAAACUGACUUAGGCUUUCGGCAUACAGCUAAAUUGUUGGGUAUAAAUACCCCAGGACUUGAUGGCAUAAAAGUAAAUCAUGGCACAUGUUCUAAAGCACAACAAUGGCUAUAUAUAUAUAUAUAUAUAUAUGUAUGUAUGUAUGUAUGUAUGUAUCAAUAAUUCAUUGAUUAAGAUAUUUCACCAAACACUUGACAUGCAUUAGCUUGUACAUGAAUGGAGAUUUCACAUUAACUUGCUAUAAUGACACUUUUCCUUUUGCAUAGACAUUUUAUCAAACACAUGUGGAUCAUGCUUUUGUUAUACCAUCAUCUAUGCAUCUAAUUAUCAUGGUUUCAUAAAUCAAUUUGCAAUUUGAAGGUUUAUCAUGAAUAUUAUGCAAACAUCACAUACUAGGAUCAAUCAUUGGAACAUGUAAUUUAAAACAUGAAUCAAAACCAACAACAACUUGAACAUGAAUUUUAGUUCAACUAAAUCCUGAAUAUUCAUAAAUACAAAAUCUUUGGAUUUUGAAAAGAGAUUCUUGAGCUUCAUGGGUUAAAGGGACCCAUGAAUCAACACUUGACAUUCCUUGAUUGUAAGUUUCUUGAAGAGAUUCUUGGAAUUGGCUUUGAUUUCUUGAAAGCUUGGGUUUUGUUUCUGAGGAGAAAAUGUUCUUGAUUUGGGGGGAAAAGUGAGUAAAUAAUAAUUUAAAAUUUUUUUAGGGAUUAACUCCUACACCUGGACAUGUUAAAACCUUAGGAAAAGACCAAUUUAUCCCUGGAUGAAAUAUUUAAUUUUCAUUAAAAUUUCCCUAUUUGGUAGGCUGGCGCAAUGCAGUGCUACCGCAUCGUGUCAUUGGAAAUUGCCAACUAGGAACUAGGCUGACGGUGCGACGUAGUGGAAUCGUGUUGCGACAUAGUUUGUGAACUGGAAGUGUAUCGUGAUACGGUGGAAUCACGUUGGUACACUGGAAAUUGACAGCUCUAAAAUUGAGCCUCGGUGCGAUGCUCCAUAAUCGCAGAGGCUCACAGGAUUUUGACGAUUACCAUUUUGGCAUGCUCUGCGAUGCAUUGAUGGCUCAGGUGGCACACUGUCUUGCUAAAAUGACUCUAACUCUACACAGGGGUGUUGGAUUUGGGAGAAUUUGGUAUCAAUGGAAAGCUUAUUCAAGUUUUGAUAUAACAAUAAGUCAAAAUCUUGAAAAUUCCACAUUUAUAAAAGUGUAUUCAUCUUUUAAUGCAAGACUUUAACAUUUUUUAGAUGAUUUUAAGCUAGGCAAGAGUACGGGGUAUUACAGACAUUCUUUCAUACCUUGUGUUUUGAGUUAUUUUUCACUUUUCUAUGUAGAUGGUGUUUACUAGGUCUCAAAUAGUAGAGAUGUAGAACUUUCACCCAGAGGGCAAGUUUUGUGUCAUAGAUAGACUCGAGAGAGUUAAUGGACUCCUAGAUCAGCCAUCUAGGGGAAGUGUUAGAUGACUCUCCCCUAAGCCUUAUGUUGAGUAUGUUGGGGUGUGGUUUUAGUUCUAGUUCCUUACAGUUCAUCUACCCCAGUCUUUGAGAGUUUUUGGUGAAUUUGCUAACCUACUUAGAGGGUUCUUCUUUUGUUAUGUUAUGUGUUCUUCUAGUUCUGAGUGUGGAUCCUCCUGUUGCAUCUACUUUUAUUUUGGGUACUACUCGGACCUCGAGUCAUAUUUUUAUUUCAGCGCCAGUAUAUGAGUAUGGUGUUUUGAGUGCAAGAGUUUAACCUUCAUGUAUAUUACAUCCUCAUAUUAUAUCUUAGCCUUCCAGAUUCAUUAUGCCUCUUCUUGCUAGAAGUACUGUUAUGUCUUCUGAGGAUCAGACGUGGUUCAAGAGGUUUACUCAUUUGGGUCCUUCUAGAUUCAGUGGUGCUGUGGAUGAAGAUGCUUCUGAGUUCCUUAUUAAUUUCCAUGAGAGGUUGCAUUACUUAGGUUCUCUUGAGAUGCAUGGAGUUUCUUAUACUACUUAUCAGUUGAGAGAUACUGCUAGAAAUUGGUGGAGGUCACUGGUUAGUUGUAGGCCUCUUGAUUCUCCUAAUGUGACUUGGGAUCAAUUUGCCAAUGCAUUUCUAGAGAGGUUUGUCACUUAUAGUUUUAGGGAUAAGAUGCGUGAUGAGUUUGAUUGCCUGGAUCAGGGCUCUAUGAUUGUAGUAGAGUAUGAGGGAUUCUUCGAUGCCUUGUUUAGAAAUUCCUAUGCUAGUAUUUCCACCAAGCUUGAGAAGAUUUAAAAGAUUAUGAAGUGUUUGGAUGUGUCCCUUCAGUUAGCUACAUCACAUAUGGUUGUAUUUUAGGCAUAUUUUUAGAGUAGAGUCAAUCAUGCUAAGAUGACUAAGGGUAUUUUUUGAGCAUCUCAUGGAGGUGCCAAGAAGUUUUUCUAUUUUGGUGAUUUUAGAGGUCGAGUUUCUUGUAGUAGAUAUUUUAGAGGUUCUCAUGGAUAUCAGGGUAGGCCGAUACAGGUGGCAUUGUAUAGUUUGGAUGGUCUAUAAUUUGGUUCAGUAGUUCAUGGUCUUCGUCUGAGCUUAAUUAUAACUUCUCCUAUUGAUUCGAGUUAUAGAGUCUGCUUUUUCUUUUAUGAGAUAGGCCAUACAGUCAAAGACAUUCCCUGUCAUGUGUUUAGACCUACUCUUAUUUCAGCUAUGAGGGGUAGGAUGCUACUAGAGGUGCUAGAAAAAUAGAAAAUGGAUCUCGUGAUGGUGGUUGUGGGGCCACUAAAGCAAUUAGUUGUCGUGGGCAGUGCUAUGUUAUACCAUCCAAGCCUGAGGCAGAGGCUUUAGAUGUUGUGAUCACAAGUAUUGCCCAGAUUUGUUUCACACCGGUAUCUAUGUUAUUUGAUCUCAGAUUUUAGUUUCCCCUAUGUGUCUGUGUAUUUUUCUUCAAGUUUUGGUUUUAUAAGUAAGACUCUUCCAAAUGCCUAUUCGUGUAUUUACCAUGAGAGGUGAUUCUUUAGUGGUGGAUCGGGUGUACUGAUCUUGAGUCAUGACUUUUGUCGAGCAUGAGACAUUGGUUGAUUUUCUUGAGUUAUAUAUGGUUGAUUUUUAUGUUAUUUUUGGUAUGAAACUGUUGGCUCCUUAUCAUGUUAUCUAGAUUAUUUUGCUAAGACUAUUACUUUAGCUUCUUCGGGUGUACCGAGUAUAACUUUAAAGGGUGUGCAUCAUAUCUUAUAUUUAGGCUUAUAAAUUUAUUGAGAGAGGGUAUUUAUCUUUUUUUUGGCUAGUAUUUAUGAUACUUGUGUUGCUUUGGCUUAUUUCUUGGAUUUUUUUCGUGUUAUACAAGAGUUCAGGGAUGUGUUCUUUAUUGAUUUAUCAGGUAUUUAUGUUAAGCUGGGUACGAAGCCUAUUUCUAUUCCUCUUUAUUAGAUGGCCCCAACCAAAUUAGAGGAAUUGAAGAACGAGUUGUGGGUGUUAUUGGAUAAGGGAUUUAUCGUUCCUAGUGUAUCACAAUACGGAGCGCCUAUUUUAGUUGUGAAGAAGAAAGAUAAAUCUAUGCGGAUGUGCCUUGAUUAUCGAUAGUUGAACACGGUGACAGUUAAGAAUAAGUAUUCUCUUCCUCUUAUUGACAAUUUAUUUAAUCAGCUUUAGAAUAUUAUAGUGUUUUAAAAGAUUGAUCUGAGGUCUGGUUUUCACUAGUUGAGGACUAGAGCCUUGGAUAUUCUAAAUAUAGAUUUUCGAACUCGAUAUGGUCAUCAUGUAUUCUUAGUCAUGCCUUUUGGGUUGACUAAUUGCCCAGCCGCAUUCAUGGGGUUAACAAAUCGGGUAUUCCAACUAUUUAUCGACUCCUUCAUUAUUGUAUUCAAUAAUGAUAUCUUAGUUUAUUCCAAGAGUAAGUUAGAACAUGAAGAACAUUUGCGGAUUAUGCUUUCAAGAUUCAGAGAUAAGAAGUUGUAUGUGAAGUUUUCCAAGUGUGAGUAUUGAUUGGAGGCUUUUUCUUUCUUGGGUCAUGUGGUAGUUAUUAUUGGUGUUUUGUUGAGGGAUUUCAUCCAUUGUAUCUUCUUUGACUAAUUUAACUCAGAAGAAGAUUUAUUUUCAGUGUUCCAAUGCGUGUGACGCGAGCUUUUAAAAUAUCAAGGAUAUGUUGACUUCAGCUCCUAUUCUUACUUUAUCCAAGGAGGGCAUGGGUUUCACCAUUUUUUUAUUCUUCGAGUAUUGGGUUAGGUGUUGUGUUGAUGCAGGAGGGUAAGGUAAUUGUGUGUGAUUCUCGUCAAUUGAAGCCUCAUGAGAGGAAUUACCCUACCCAUGAUUUGGAGUUUUGUGUGAUUGUUUUUACUUUGAAGUUAUUGAGGCACUAUUUGUACGGAGUCCAUUGUGAGAUUUUCUCGGAUCAUCAUAGAGUUUUGUACUUCUUAAUCCAGUGAGAUUUUAAUAUGAGGUAACUCGUUGGCUUGAGUUACUCAAGGAUUAUGACUUGACUAUUCUUUAUCAUUAGGUAAAGUCUAACAUGGUUGUGGAUGCCUUGAGCUAGAAGUUGAAUACCAUGGGUAGCUUGGCGCAUAUUUGACCUAGAGAAGCUUUUGGCCUUAGAGGUUUAGUAUUUAUCUAACCAAAUAGUUAGGCUUGAUAUUUUGACAGCUAGGAGUGUUUUGAAAAUCUUGGAGGCUAGGUCUUCUUUGAUAGAGCAGAUUCAAACUUAUCAGUUUGAUGAUGUAUGAUUAAGAUCUAUUAGAGCUAAGGUGUUAAGUGGCAAGGGUAAGGAAGCCUCACUUGAUUCAGAUUGUUUUCUAAGGAUUGGAGGCAGAAUUUUUGUGUUUAGAGUGGGUGAUUGGAUAAAAUUGUUUUUGGAGAAGGCUCAUUGUUCCAGGUAUUCUAUCCACCCUUGAGUGACCAAUAUGUAUCAUGAUUUGAUGAAGCAUUAUUACUGGGGUGGUAUGAGGAAGGGUGUAUUGAAUUUUGUAGCUUCAUAUGCUAUAAAAAUAUAGCACUUUUGAUACUUGAAAUAAGUAAAAGAUCCAUGUUUCUAAGGUUAUUUUGUUAGAUAUGAUGCCUUUUGGGUAUGUUUUGCAGGAAAUCAUGUUUUGGAUGAUAAGUUCGUGAAAAGGGUGUUUUUGGCAAUCUUUUUAGGAAUUAUGGAUAUUCAGGAUGUUUCCAGAUUGUUCAUGAUUAAAGCACGUUCGAUAAUCAAAGAAGAGCUAAAAAGAUGACUCCCGACACUUACCAAGUCAACAUGUGGCUGCAAGUAGGACCUACGGACUACACGUAGGCAAACCAAGUACCAGAAGUCCAAAAUCCUGAGAGUGGAACAUUGCAUGAUUUUUAUCUCCUAGUACCUAUGGUUUGUAACUGCACGUUGUGUAAGGACCGUAGGUACUACCUGCGCUCGAUGCCAGACUGCAGGUGUGGACCACAUAUGGCCACCGACCCGAUUUUCCCUUAUUUCAUCCGGGCAUUGAUUUUAGGGUUUCCUCUUGUAAUAUAAAUACCCUUUAUAUACUUUUUAGUCAGAGUUACACACUUUUUAUAUUCCCAAACAUAUUUAGAUUCCAAGAUCCAUAUUUGAUCUUGGGAUUUUCUUGUACUAACUAUGGUCCAUUAAUUUAGUUACGAUUGUAAGUUUUAUUACUUGUUAGCAUUGUGAUUUCUUCUAUGCUUUCGAAUAUGAAUAUUACUGAUUUCUUCACAAUCAUAAGCGGCUAAAACCUAUAGUUAAGGUUGUAGAAACCCUUGUGGAUUGAUGAAGUAGGGGAACUGCUUUCGUUGUUCUAAACCGAUACCUAUGUAUGUAUUGCUUGUCUUCCUUAUGAUAGAUUUCUGAAUAGGUGCACACUUUAGGAUCACGACAAGAUACUGUUGCUUACUCCAAAAAAAGGAGUAGUGACUACGAAAGGAUAAAAAUAACAGUAAUUUAGAGUUUAACUAUCGAUCCAGGCUUUUAGGUUCUAUCUUAGUAAGAUGGUUAGGUUUUAUCUAAUAACUAUAAACUCAAAAGGUAAUAGUUAACUAAGAUCAAGACAAGGUUAGUAAGGAGACAUCCUGAGACUUAAAAGGUAAAGGGUGAAAUCCUUCUGCUCAUCCAAAAGACGGCGGAAGGUACAUAACUUAUCGAUUCUACAUGUAAUGUAUUAUGUUAGUUCAACAAAGAAUGAUAAAUACAGAGGUGAGAUGACAGGGGGAACACAAUCUUAGUACUCUCCUACACUAAUUAUAACCAAAGUUAAUAUAGUUACUUGCUCAAGAUUACUAUACAAAAACCCCUCAUUUACUUUCCUUGUUCUGCCUGCGAACUACAACUACUACAACUACUGAGAUCUGCAAAUCCAGUGUUGUCUUGGGAUUCAAUCCCAACCUCUGUUGGGUUACUAUAUUUUUACAACGGCUGUAAUAUUAUCUAAUAGUAGGUAUUUUUGGGACAUAAUCAAAAAAUUUGCACCAUUCCCGGGGAACACGGUGUUGAUUUAUGAUUUGAAGUUUUUUUAGUUUGGAUUUUAUUUUUGUUCUUAGUUAGGCAUACACUGGUGUAUGCCUAACACAAAGAGUAGAGGCGAUCCCUUACACCCACUAAAUCCAAAUCCAGAGAGGAUCCUACAAACACCUAGUAGGAUGUUUAAGCAUAAAAGAGAUGAACCUUCUGAAGGGGUUCAUGAUGUUGUACCUCCUUCUGCUCCUAAAGAAGUGUAGGAUAUUGUUGAUUGACAGACUAGUGAGUUAUUAGCUCAUGCUGAAGACGAGAGAAGGGAAAUGAAAAAUGCUCAGUGAGUAGCUAAGGAGGCAGAGCUAGCUGAGCAGAGACAAGCAGCAGACUGCUGUGUAGCACAUGGUGGAAACUAGAACAGAGCUAUAGUUUCUCAUUUUCCAGUAAUCCCAGCAUAUUAGUAUGUGCAUCCAUAUAUUGAUGAUGAAGAAGACUUGGGUUACGUUGAGCUAGCAGAGACAGGAGCCAUAGUUCCUCUCCUUUUUCCCCAUGUAUAAAAUUCGAUAUUACGAGUGCAAUGAUCCAACUCUUAAAUCUGAAGGGGGUGUUUGAAGGACUACCUACAGAUGAUGCAAAUUUUCACUUGCCAAUUUCCUUAGGAUCUGCAGCUCGUAUACAAAUCCAGGGGUAAAUUAGGAAGCACUUGAACUUAGGCUUUUCCCCUUCUCACUUAAAGGGGAAACGUCUUUAUGGUUAGCGGAACUGCAAGAAGACUUUAUCACUACAUGGAAUGAGUUGCGCAAGUAAUUUUUGAACAAGUUCUUUCCUCCAUCCAGGAUGUUGGAGCUUAAGGAUGAGAUUUAUAACUUCUAGAAGCUGCAGUCUGAGUCUGUGUACAAGGCUUGGUUCAGGUUCAAAAAAAAGCUAAGUAUGGUUUCCAAUCAUCGGUUGUCAUGGACGAUCUUAUUAGAGAUAUUAUAUAGAGCACUGACCAUAAACUCCAGAGCCAUAGCAAACACCAUAUCUGGAGGGAUUUUAUGAGACUAUGUUGGGAGGUAUCUUGAAUAUUUUAAAUUAGAUCUCUCUCACUAACCGAGGUUGGCAAACUCAAGAGGCUAAGAGGGGAUCUGCUACUUACACUAUUGGUGCCUCCUGUAACCAAAAAGUAGUUGAUAACACGGUAGCAUAAGAAAUUCCAUUUCUAAGGAAUGAUAUUUGGGUAUAGCAAAGCAUUAUAUAGUAGAAACUUCUGAGAAAGUGAAUAAAGUAGCAACACAUAGGUUAGCUUCCAAAGCUUACAAUUAAGAAUAAGAAGAGAAAGAGAAUUAUCGGGAUAGUGAGAUGGCAGGUUUUUUAUCCCAAGGCCAAGGGAUCCAAGGUUGAAACUAUUAUGAUAAAUACAUAUACCAUAGCAGAGAUCGAGAUGGUAACUGUAGAAAGAAGGAUGACUAUGGAAAGGAGGGAGAUAGAUAUGUUCAACCUAGAAAAUGAGAUACAGAAUAUAAAAUGGAAGAAAUGCUGGAUAACAUGGUGAAAGAGCCGAAAAACCAAAAGAUUAGCCUUAAGAAUAUUAAGGCCGACAUUUUAGGAUUGAUGCAGAAGGUCAGGAAACUUGCCACUGCAAUCAAGUAGGUCAGCAACUCUGAACCUGAGGAAACCAGGUACCCUUCCGAGCAACAAGAUACAACAUCCUAAAAAUGAUGGUCACGUACUUACUACUACCAUGAGGAGUGGUAUCAUUACUAUGUAUCCUCCAUGAACUUCUGCAGAAGCUAUUUAUAAUGAGACACCUACUAUUAAGUCUGAGAAGGCCACAUGUGAUAAUGGUAAAGCUAUUAAAGAUAAAGGUAAGGGUCCGAUCACUGAGCUAGCAAUCUGACAGAUUCUAAGACCGCCCCCACCUUGAAGCAGAAGAAAAAGGAAGGUUAGUUAAAUCAAUAUAUUAAUAUGAUAAAAAAAAUGUAGCUUGAACAUACCUCUCAUGGAAUAACUAGAGUAGAUCCCUUGAUAUGCCAGGUUCAUGAAACAAUUGGUCACAAAGAAGAAAGGAGCAACAUUUGAGGAUUUUGAUGGUAUGAACCACUGCAGUACAGUCACGACUAUGUAUUUAGCAUAUAAAAAGGGUGACCCAGUGCAUUUACUAUACCAUGCACUCUUGGGUCAUCCAAAUUUUCCAAAGCCUUAUAUGAUUUAGGGGCCAACAUUAAUUUGAUUCUAAUGGCCAUAUUCAAGCAAUUGGGUUUAAACGCUUCGAAACCAACUUUUAUGCGGCUAUUGAUGGAUGACCAUAUAGUGAAGAAUCCUGUGGGAAUCUAUUUUGAUGUUAUUAUGAGGGUCAAUAAUUUCAUCUUUCUAGCUGACUUCAUCAUCUUGGACUGUGAGGAUGACAUCGAGAUGCCCAUUAUAUUGGGAAGACCAUUUAUGGCAGUAGGGAGAGCUAUAGUUGACAUGGAAAAAGGUGAGCGGAAAUUUCGAGUUAAUAGUAAGGAGGCUACCUUUAACAUUCAAAAGUCAAUGAAGUUAUCAACCGACAUAAUGGUAGUAUUGGUGAUUGAUUGUAUGGAUUGCCCUGUAGUAUAUUUCUAUAGGUAUCUCUAUGAAUUCUUAGUAGUUAAAUUACCUGCAUCAUGCUGUGAUGUUAAAUCAAGCUGCAUGGGAGGAAACCCAUGGUCUUAUUGAUGAAGUCUGAGUAACCAAGAGGCAACCAACUAUUUUAGUGUUCAUGUUUUUGUUGUUUUUUUCUUUUUUUAUGUUCUUAGAUUUUGGACCUUACCUAGAAUAUGGUAAAAUUUGUUACAUUAGUCGAUUUCUAGGUGAGGGGACUGCGUGAUCAACCCAUCAUGGUCACAAGUCCCACAUGGUAAGUUGAGUAAUAAAUUUAAAAUUUGUAGUUUUGAGGAUGAAAAUUGGUAAUUUAUGGACUUUUGCAUCUAAUUUUACUUUUGGGACUUAAAACAUAGGUUGCGGGAUAGUAAGUAUCUAGAAAAGUACAAAAAUGCCAAGUCUGCGUUGCAGAAAAGCGGGGCAAAAAUUUUGGCCCAGUACCUGCGCUCAGCACCUAUUGGUCAUAGGUGGUACCUGUGCCCAGAGCUAGAUCACAAGUGAUGGCCCUAGGUACAAGCCACGGCAAGGUCUUAUUUUUGGCCCACUUUUCAAUUAAAAUUUUGGGCCUACCAACACUUAAAUAUGAACUUAAACAUCCCUCCACCUAUAUAAAAAUAUUCUUACCCUUAUUCUAACCCAUUCAAAUUCUUAAAACUUUACUUUUCUCUUUAAUUUAAACAUUUCUGUUAAAACAUAAACUAACCCCACACUUAAGUAAAGGCUAGAUUGAAACUUAUUUGAGAUAUCAACUUGUCCCAACAUGCUAAAAACAAUUUUUAACUUUGGUUUUGCUUGAGUUCUUCAUUAUUCACUUCUGGUUCUUCAUAAAAGAGGUAACUUUCUCGGCUCCUAAUAGUUAUAUAUUGGUUUAUCUAUUGUUUUAACAAGUUGAUAUGUAUAUUCCAAUGAAAAAUUUAUGGAAUCCAUCAUGCUUGCGUGUUGGAGCCGUGAAGUAGCCUAAAAACAUAAUGUAGGGCCUUGGUUUGAAGAAAAAUAUAAAGGUAGCUCCAACCGAAAAGUGAACUUAAAUGAAUAGAGUAAUACCUCAAGCUAAACAUGUUUGUUUGUUUUGAAAUUCAUAAUGUUUGAUUGGUGUAUGCACAUUUGACUUGUUGGGAUUUCAAAUAGGUCUUAGGGGUUUAAAAAUUGUGGAAAAUUUUGAACUUUUCAAAUUUUGUGUUUUUCUUCAACUUUUGCUACCCCUCACUUUUGUUGGAAACUAACAGUUGGAUUUUUAGGUAAAUAUGGAAUCUAAAGAGGUGAAUAAUACAAAAUCCCAUACUUAGAGGCAAUGGGAAUAGUCUCCCGAUCCUAGUGGUUCAGUGGAGGACUAACCAAUGAAGCAACAUAGAGACACUAUUGCUGGGGUGACUCACAGAGUCACGAGAGGACAGACUCACCAGGCUACUAAGUUAUCUAUAGCUUAGUCAAGGAUGAAGUCUACACAUAUAUCACCCCUUCAUACUCCUCCACUUAAUAAUGAUGUGGAGGAGAAGACAAAGUCUAAGAUGACUCUAUAGGUUACUGCUCAGGACCCCAGUCUGAGAAGGGGUCCUAAGAUUCAUAUAAUGAGGUUGAGCAUGAGUAGUCAUCAGCAGUGCCCCAGUAUAAGGAGGGGACCACUGCUCAUAUACGGUAGAAAGAGGUACCCAAUAUGAUGAGGGUAUUGAGUAGCAUUCUAAUGGUGUAUUAGUAUAGAAAAGCCCCGCAGAUGCACAUACCCCAAAGGCACCUAUCAAGGAUGGACCUCUAACGUAGUGUGUGGAAGUGAACCAGCAUAUAUUUGAGCUUGACAGUCAUCUUUAAGAGCUAGGCAGGCCUAUGAGGUGUAUUUAUGAGGAGUGCCAGAUUGACUUAAUGGGGCUAGAUUGAGUACCACCUUUGUGGGUGGCAUUUGAUAGAUAUUAGCUAGAGUCUAUGACUAGGCCACUUGGUUCCUACAACCUAGCUAUGGUAUGGGGAUUUUAUGAAUCCUACAAAGAUACCAUGGUCCUUCUAACACGCAAACAUCCAGGACAGAUCAAAUUUGUGCGGUGGCCAUAGCUUGAUCAUAUAAUGGUUAGAGGGGUCAGAGUUGAUAUUAUAGAGGAAACUAUCCACAGAGUUAUAUUCGGCUAAGAUUAUAUCAUUUCUAUAUCUACAGUUAAGUACGACCACAAAUUGAGGACACAAGUGAUCGACAUAUCCUAUGAGGGGAUAAGAAACGAUGUGAGACAAUCAAGAUGGCUAAGUGGAUCGAUAGUUAUAUUUCAUUGCUGGGUAAUACGAGCCCAUGGAUCGAGGGGAAAGUUAAGGUCAAUAAGGACAAGUUGACAUUGGAGGCCUAGUUUUUUUGGUUGCUGAUGAAAUACCAACUGAUAUCCACUGCUUUGGAUAAUGCAUUGCAAUAGGAGAGAGCAGCACUGGUUUCCUUUCUGAUGGUAAGAUAUGAUGUUAAUUUUGCUACUAUUCUUUUCUAUGAGUUACAUAAUUGAGCAUUUGGGGAUUAGACUAAUCUGCCCUUCUCUUGCAUAAUUUAGAGGUUGUGGGAUGAGGUCAGUGUACCUAAUAUACCAGGCAUAGAUAAGAGGGUAGCUACGAUGGCAACUGCACAAAUGAGGACCAUGAAAGGUUGUAACAUCUAGGCAUAUCUAGGAGAUUAAGACAAUAGGUGGAAGGAGCACGAGUUCAUUUUAAAGGCCUAACAGUUUCCAUAGAUCCUGAUGAGGCACAUCGAGAUAAUGCGUGUGUUAGUUUUGAAAUAGAGAUAGGAGAGAAGAUAGAACUCCUAAUUUUAGUACACAGGGUUAGGGAACACAUGCAACUUCUUCUUAAGCCUCAGCUUUUACAUCAAAGAUAAUGGGUGCAUCUAUAGAGCUUAAUUGCCCAUCUACUACAGCUCCCACGUUAAGUAUAAUUUGUAUAUCUAGUGAGUUUUUGCAAAGAUUAUUGGAAAGACAGAGGGACACAGAUUCUAGAGUGUGGGUUGUAGAGACUGAUAUGACUACCCUCUAUGAUCAAAUGAUAUUAGGGCUUAUGAAACACAUUGGGUUUUAUUCCUUUGAAAUUUCCUGAGCUUUGAGGUCACUGUUAUUGUAAUGACUAACCAUACGAGUUGUAUAUUAUGUGUAAUGAUCCUACAGAUAAUUUUCCAUAAUUAUGAUUAUCUUCAUAAUUUGAGCUUUUCUAUCACUACCCUAAGUCAUUUAUGACUUGUUGGGAUUGACGGUUUGGUUAUCGGGCAGUUCAUUUAGUUUUAGAGCUAAUUUCGUGUUUUGAAGUCUUCGUUGGUUCCAAAUGGCCAUGAGGCAAAAAAUUUAGUGAAACAAUCUGGAUACAAAUUCCUACUAUGCCAACAGAUCCAUAAUAUCGAUUUUACCCUAGGUAGGACUUUGGAUUGGGUCCUAAUGGACCCGAUCUCAUUUCGACCUAUUCGACGGAAAUUUGAAAAUUUGAAAGAAUGGGUGUGGGACCCAUAUUUAGUUAGAACAACCUCGGAUGGAAACUCCAACUUUUCUAUCAUAUCCGUAAAGUUGAAUUUAGGCUAGGGAGUCCCUUGGUUAAUGUCCCAUGGCUCCUAAACUUAUGUUGGGAUAUUAAGUGAAUUUUUAUGAAAUAUAGUAUAAAUAUAGGUAUGGGCCCACUUUUUGCAUGAACGAUCUCCUAUGAAAGUUUUUAUGAUCUCAAUGGAUUUGAAAUGUUGUUUAUACUCAAAAUUCACUAUUGGGUCAUGUUAUUUGGAUUAUGGAUGAGUUCGGAUGGUCAAAAACUUAUUUUUCAAAUUACUGUCAUCUGGUGUAAUCAAGAUUGCAACCAAAACUAUGCAAUCGCGGAAGCACAAUCACAUCAUGUAUGACUGUGAUAGUUGCACCUAACAACUUGUAGGGGCUAUAUAAAGGUCCCAAGAUGUGUUUGGACCAUUUCCCCUUCCCCAUUUAGACCUAAAAACCCCAAAAUUAGUGUAAUAACUCAAAAUUAGUCAUGGGAGGUGACUUGAGAACUUAAUUAUCAUCUUGUAACAUGAUUAUCUUUAAGAUUAUGAUAAGAAUUUCUUGAAUUCAUGCUUUAAUUUCUUAGUUUUCACCUAAAAUCCUAAUUUAGCUUAGGGCUUGAUUUUAGCCCAAAGUAUGCUUAGUUUUCACCCAUUAUUUGAGGGUUAUGAUUCCUUAUUCAUGUGUGAACAUUGGGUUGGCCUCGCAGACUCAUUUUUUGUAUAUGGUACCUACUUGAGAUUUUGGUGUCAUUUUUGAACUUAAAGCACAAUAGUGCAAUAUCGGUAUCGUUAGACUUGUAUUGAUGAGUAGAUUAUGGUUUUGGUAGUGUGAUGGCACUUUGGGGCUUUUGAAGCAAAGUUGAGCGUAUGGCGCAUGAUUUGGGAUUUUUUGAUUCCUCUUUGAGGUAGCCUUCUGUCUACUCUUUUCCAUGGAUGACGUAUGAUAAAUAUUGUGUGUGAAUGUUAAUGUCAAGAUUGCUUUUGGAUAGUGACUUAGUAUUGAACAUAUAUAUAAGUUUAGGGAUCGGAUGAGGGUUUGACCCAUGUUUUGAAUUACUUAAAUUCCUUUAUAAUCAUAUUUCCUUCUCCCUAGUAUUGAAGCAUGGUUUGUAUAUUUAGCCUUUUUGGGCUAGUGUGGUAUUCUUGAACCUGUAAGUUGGGUAGAGUUGACUUGAGUACCCUUGUUUCUAGUCGAAGUUUCUAUCUUAGGCUUGAAUAUGGCUUAUUUGACAUCUAUAAAAACUAGAUGCCUUAGACUAGUUUGUGGUAGAGUAUGCCUAAUUAUGGAAAUUGUUGAUUAGAACUGGUAUCAUUCGGCCCUUUUAGGUCUAAGCUUGUGUUAUGUCUUGUGGACUUAGUUACGGAUGUUAGACAUAGAUGAGGCUAGUAUACCUUAGAAUAAGGUUACAUCAUAACUUGGUAACUUGUAUUGACGUUCCCGGAUUGUGGCUUUUGUGUUAUGGUUAGGAUACUCCUUAUGGAAGUGAUAUUGGGCAUUUAGAGAUGAUAUUCAUUCUAGAUAUGUUAUGUGGCCUAUAGAGAUACAAUUUUCUCUUAGACUUGAUGAUUGCCCUAUAGAGAUGCUAUUUCUACUUAGACUUGAUGAUUGGCCUAUAGAGUUCAUAUUUAUUUUAGUCAUGAUAGUUGGACCUAUAGACACAAUGUUCCUCUUGGAUAUUUAAAUUGUCCUAAGGAAGUGAUAUUUCUCGUAGUCAUGAUGCAUGACCUAUUGAUAUAAGAUAUCCUAGAGAAGAUUACCUGCUUAUUCAUAUUAUGCUUCCUACAUGAGAGAUUUCUCCUAUAUGUGAGAUGAUUAGAGAUAAACUAUUGCUUAUAAAUAUGAUUAUUGAUUUACGUUUCGAAUAUGAUUAUGGGCCUAAGGCCGUGUUAUGAUGUUGAGAUUAUUUUGGAUAAAUCAAUGGGCUAAGGGACAUGUUACGACAUUGAUUGAAUAUCCAAGAAGUGCUUGUCAUUAUAAGUAUGAUUACAGUUUAUUAAUAUGAAUAUCUAUAUGUUUGUAUACAUAUCUCUCCGGUAUAGGAUGGAGGAAGAUGUGGUAUGAUGCUUAUUAUUCCACCGAUUGAAUAAUGGUGAUGGCAUUGAUAGAUUAUGUACCUUCUUGAUUAUUAUAUUGGUAUUUGAUGUGAUUCUAGUUGAAAUACAUUCUUAUGACCAUUCUUCCUAAUUAAGCGUUAAGAUAAGUGGUAGCUAGAUGUCUUUUAGGUGGCUAGAGUAAAUGAUGGCUAGAAAUCUAAUGUACUAGUUAAUGAAUCUUGCUUAUUUGAGAUAUGGUAACUAUUGAUGAUUGAUACGUGGAUAAUAAUGAUGUUGAAUAGUUGAUAAACAAGGAUUAGUUGGUAAAUGAUUUUUAGUAAACGAAGGAUGUUAGGUAAUAAAGAAUAGUUAGAUGAUAAAUGGCAAAUUAUAGACUAUUACGAUUAACGAAUAUAGUAUGAAUAGUUGAUAUUAACAAAUGAUGGAUAAAUGGAGGUUUCGGUCUAGUGAUGAACCUUGACUAGAUGUUAGAUGUUUUAUAUUUAAUAAAUAGUAGUUAGUUGUUAUCCCAUGAGUAAGGAUAAUAUUUAGGCUAAUAACUAGAGGUUAUGUGAUGAUUAGUGGACUAUUGAUUCAAUUAUAAUAAGUGUUAGUUAACUAAUAAUGAGUAGUUGGGAAGUAUUAAAUAGAUAGAUAUUCUAACGUGAUAUGAUUAUGUUUAUAAGUAUUUUAGAGUAUGCUAUUCGGUAAUGACCAUUGUGACGAUAUUGAUACCCAGCAAGUUCGGAGAAUACAUUGUGAUGAUAAUGAUAGUUGGAAAGGAUGGAGGAUACUGUUGUGAUGAUACUCAUACCCGACAAGGCCGAAGGAUAUAUUGAUGAUAUGUUGAUACCCUACAAUGCCGGAGGUUACAUUAAUGAUUGUUGAUACCCAACAAGGCCAAAGGAUAUAUUGAUGAUAUACUGAUGCCCGGAAAGGCCGGAGGAUAUAUUGAUGACAUGUUGAUACCCGACAAGGCCUGAGGAUAUUAUUUAUAAUGAGUUGCUACCCGAUAAGGCCAGAAGUUAAUUACAAUGAUAAUAGUCCUGAUGAGGAUAGUUAUGAUGUUUUGUGAUAUUAAUUAUGUACUUUGCAUUCAUUCCUGCAUGUGCACUACCUAUCACCAGUAUACAUCUAUAUUUAUUAUUUGAUGUGGGACGAUUACAUAGAUUUGGGUGAAGAAUAAGCCAUGUGUUGUUGCAUGCUAAUUGGACCUUCUGAGCCUAGGGCGGUGGGGGUAUGCAUAGGCUUGAGCCUAGGGCGGUGGGGGUAUGCAUAGGCUUGGCUAGGUAUUUGGUUGUCUGGGGUAGACGGUUAUUCACUCUGUUAUUGAUAUUAUUGUUAUCAUUGUUAUGAUCAUUAUUAUGGGUAGCUUAUGAUAGAUUGGUCAUUGGUCCAGUAUCGGAAUUUCAGUUAUGUCUUCGACCUCUCCUAACUAAUGAUUGCAUUAUUAUGCUUGAUUAUUUCAUGUCUAGCCUUGUGGACUAAAAACCAUGAGUAUGAUAUUAUUUAAAUCCUUAUAGUAUUGUGAGGUCUUAAAAUGAGAACAUGAUGAUAUAGGUCAUGCUUUGAGAUGACCUCGUGUUUAUAUGUAUAUAUACCUAUAUAUAUCUAGAUAUAUAAAGAUACGAUGCUAUCGUCUAUCCCUUCCUACAUUAUUCAUAUUGUAUAGUCGCUUCUUCGCCUUAUGUAUUACUAUAUAUCUUUCUUUCACUCUUUAUUCUUAUAUUAGCAUGGGAUAUACAGUAUAGCAUUGACGUAUAUUGAAUGUAGAUAGAAUAAGAUGGUUCACCCUGAUACUUUCUUAGUUUUAUUAUGUUAGACUCUUGGACAUAAAUAAGAUAGAUGUUCCUUAGUAUCUUAUUAUGUAAUCAUAUUAUUUCUGGGCUCUUGGGUAUAGUUUCUGUUCUGUUUAUAUGCUAUAUAUAUCUGCUUUAUCUGUGGAGCUCAGUUGGCAGUAGCCUACUGAGAACUUUUUAUUUGGUACUCAUAAUACACUUCUGCAGCCAACAGAUCAUAGUAUGGGUUAUCGUCGUUGAUGAGUGCAUCAUACCGAGCAGCCCUAGUUCAGAUACUUAGAGUGAGCUCCUAACAUUUGGAGUAUUACAUAUCUCUUUCUUCUGUAUUAGACUAGUCACAAAGUCACUUUUGUAAUCUUUUUAUAUUAGAAGCUCUUGUACUGAUACUUCCAGGUUUUAGGAUGCUUCUAUGUAUUGAUCUUUAUUUCAUAUAGUCCGUAUUUUUUCGUUAUAUUAUUGAGUAGCCCAUUACUAUCCGUUCUGGACUAUGGGUUGGCUUGCCUACUGGUGGGAUAUGGUAGGCCCCAUCAUGAACUUGGGUCGUGAAAAAUUGGUAUCAGAGCCUACAUUUCAUUAGUGUAUUAGUACAAGAGAUAAGUGUUAGUAGAGUCCUGUGGAUCGUUGCGGAGACGUCCGUAACCUAUCUUCAGAAGGCUACAGUGAUAUUUUAUGAAAUUCACUUCUUGAAUCCUUGUCGUGUGUCCAUAUUCCUAUGACCUUCAAAAACAUUCUUUGACUCUAUUCUAUCCCCAAAGGAUGAUGCAAUAUUGUUGACUGAAACUGAUGAGGCUUCAAAAUGUGCUUCCAGAGUUUUAAUGUAGCAUCGGACUAGAGAAUCAGAGAUGGAUGUUAAAGAUCCUCAGUAGCAGCUAAAACAGAUUUUAGAAUGAUUAGUGGUGAGUUUACCACUCAUUUUUCAUUCACAUUACCUUGUUUUGAAUGAAUAAAUGGAAAACAUCUAAGGAUAGAUGCACUAAUAUCCACUCUUUGCAAGAAUAAAAUUAAAAAGUCAAAAAGAUGUGGAAUGGAACUAAAAAUGAUGAAAAGGGAGAAAAGAAGAGUACAACUGAAGACCUAGACUACAUCAGUCACGACUGCGGUCCUCUACCCACAAAUGCGAUCAGUCAAGAUGACCAAAGCAACGUAGUUGCAACACAUAGCCGCGGUCGCACGUUCGCAAUCGCGAACAAAUGUUUGCGAUCAUGGGUAAGCGGGAAUAGGCCUAGGGGAAGACCUGUAAAAACACUUAGAUACAUCCCAAGCCUUAGUUAAGAAAAUGUCCCUUCCUCUUUAGGAAGCUUAGCUCAUAAGAUAUUUUGUAAUUCAAGACUUGAAACCCUAAUCUUUGUUUAGUGUGUAAUAAAUUUUGGAGGAUAAAUUUUUUAGUUUUUGGUUGAAGAAUGGAUUCUUUGAAUGACCCAUAUGGUAUAUUUCUAUUUACUUUCUUCAUAAGUAGCUAAAUAAUUUAGUUUGGGGAUUAUGUUGAAUUAGUGUGUGAUUGUGAGUGGGUAUUGUUGUAUUUGCUUGGAUUUUAGUUUUUGAGUAUGGGUUUCACCAUUGCUUGAGCUUAUGAGUUUGGAUUUGAUGGGUGAAAACUCCAAAUUUCCAAAUGGGUUUGAUAGGUGAAAGCUCCAAGCUCUAGAAACUCUUUGUCAUCCUCAAAAGAGGGACUUACGUGAAUAUUAAGUAACCCAUAACAUCCUCGAGAGAGUGUUAUCGGGGGACAAGGCAAUGGUGAACAACUAAUCAUAUGGUUUACUACCCUUUGCAAUCUUAGAAAUAAGUGCUUAGGGAUUUUAAUUAAUGUCAAGAGCAUCAUCCUAAAAAUAGGAAUGCUUGGUUGAGGUUUUGGGUGGCUACACAAACUCCACACUUGUUAGAUGCUCAAAAGAGAGAAUGAGUGAAACCAUUGAGGUUUUAUUGAAAGAUUGACCUCAAUUAUCUUUGACUUAGCCUAUUAAUUAACAACUAAAUUCCACACUAAACCAAAAAUAUCCAAUACACUUCACCUCUAACGAUACAUGGUCCCAAGAUUCCUCCAAACCUUGAAUUCACAUCAAAGAUAUCAUUUACUAAUUACUUGCAAGAGGUUGUAGUGAAAAAGUUUUCAAACAGUUUCCCCUAUUUAAUUAUACGUGUCUUUUUCAUCAUAAUUCUAGAUGACCUUAUAGUAAUUGUAAAACCCAUAGGUUUGAAGUCUAUAGCUUUCACUCCUCGUGAUUCCACCCCAAUUGACAUUGGGUUACUUGACAACGACUGCCUCACCCCUUAAUUAUAAGAGUGAGUUGAGCGUUAUCAAAAUAGCGCCAUUGUCGAGGAGUGAAGUGUAGAUUUAGCUUUUGUGGUGUUAUUUUUACUUUGGAGCAUCCAGAGUGUCACUUUAUUUUCCUUGUUGUUUUUUAUUCGUUUAUAGGUAAUCCUAGCAUAAAUUGAACCAUGAGUAAAGGCCCAAAUCAUGUGGAACUAUCCGAUGAUACCCGAUGAGAGAGUAACUUAAGUGAUGGGUAUCAUGCGGAUAAAAAUCAUACCACACCUCACCUUGGGAAUAGGACUAUUUAUGUGUCUAGUGUCAUGCUUCAUGUGUUGCAAGAUAAGGGGCUAUACGGAGGCCAAUCCCAUCAAGAUCCUUAUGUUCACUUGAGAAAUUUUUGGGGGGUUUGUACUCCAUUCAAUAUUUUUCCAAGUACUCAAGAAUCCUAUUGGCUUCGUCUUUUUCCAUUCUCAUUAACGGGUGAAGCAUUCUUAUGGUUCCACACACUUUCUUCGACUUCACUUAAUUCCUGGAAGGAACUCACAAUAGAGUUUUUUGAUAAAUACUCAUAUCCAUCCAAGGUGUGUGACUCAAGGGAUGAAAUUAUGAAUUUUAGGCAAAAGGACAGAGAGCACCUACAUGAAGUAUGGGAACGAUUCCAUAGAAUGUUGGCCAAAAUUCCCAAACCAUGAGAUUCUAGGGAAGACACUCCUCCAAAUAUUCUAGUGGGGGCUAGAUCCUUUGAACCAAUCGAUAGUAAACAAGCGGCAGAAGGUCCUCUCUUGAACUUGCUCUUUCAUUCAGCUGGACAAUUGUUGAGAGAGGUGACUAGCCAAAAUCGGGUAGGUCACACUCAAGAAAUCCACAUAUCAAAUAGCCCUUUAACUAAACAUGUGACUAAUGGAUACCAAAGGAAGUGGGAAGAGAAUCAAGAGAUAAUCUUGGAAAAGAUCCAUGCUCAACUUGAACUACUAACUAAGUAAAUCAUGGAUACUAAUAGAGGUGGAACGGAGGACCUCCUUGCAAGGAUUUUGAGUAAGGUUGAACGAACGGACGAUUUGGUCCACGAAGUUAAAAAUGACUUUAAUUCACUUUCUUAAAAGUAGCCUCCCAAUCAGCUUCCAUAAAAAAUUUGGAGAAUCAAAUGGGACAAAUAUCUGUACAUCUUUAUUCUAAGCCUAAAGGUGACUCCACUAGUGGCAAAACCACAAAUCUUCAAACUGAGGGUUAAAUUUUUGCAGUGGGUGUAGUGGAUAAGAAUCCAAAGGAGAAUCACUUGAUGGUAGAAUUUUGGGGAAAUAUUCCCAACACCAAACUAACAAAGAGGAUAUCCCAAAGUCGAUUCAAAAAAAAAAAAGUGGAAGGCAUUAUUGAAAGGUUGAUUGAUGAAGGGGAGUUUGAUAAAUACAGUCCUGUGGACCCUCCAUGAUAAAUUGAUACAUGCCAAUGUCAUGAUGAUAACUAUGGCGCUAUGUGGUAGGCAACCCACAAAUUCCACAAGGAUAGCUCAUAUCCUUUUUAUUAUAUUUCUAUAGUUUUGAUGAAUUUUUUUCGUAAGUGAACAACACAUGCAUGCGUGACACUAUGGAGAGCUUUGCAUAAGCUUAGAAAUAAGAAAGUGUGCAUAAUUUGAUGGGAAGGCAAAUCAAAUAAGCAAUAAGCUUCAAGUGUGAAGAAAUGUUGAAUAAGGGAAAUGCAGGGGAGCAGACAUGCCCUCGAGUAUCACGGCUGCGGUUGUGAUCGCAAUAAUAGAAUAUCAUUGAUUUAUCGACUACUUCCCUAAUUUGCUCGCACUCUCGCUUAAGUUCUUACAUGUAUGAGUUUUCUAACCUCAAGAUAAUUGGUGAUGGUGCAAGGUAUAAAAAGAAUAACGACCUUUGAUGGAAUUCAGGGAGCACCCUUAUCUCUUUAUUAGCUUUGAUUGUUCAUGCCGGAGGGACACUGGAACCUUUUUGGUUGGAGGUGUUUCCUUAUUAAUUUCAUUUGGGAUUGUAUUAAUUAUAUUGUUGAACACCUUUCUAUAUUUUAAUACAAUUUUUAUCGUAAUCCUUAUUUGGGUUGUAAUAUUCGGGCACUGAUGGUGUUCACAUUCGCACAAAUUAAUUAUUUUUUUCUGAGUUGGCAGUUUCAGCCUAACUUUCAUUAGAGCUUUUCCUUUGUGAUCGGGUUUCCAACCAUAGGUGCAGGGGAAGUCUGAGUACCUAUGGCAUCAUGGCCUCAGAAUCCAGGGGAAGUCUAAGUACCCAUAGCAUUGCUAAUUUGGGGUUGCAUUAAGAUCCAUUGGUGAAGUCUGAGUAAUCAUAUGGUUGGUCGCCCAUGCUAUGAACUUUAAUAUUAGAUAAUAACUUAGAUGGUUUCCACAAUCAGAAAAUCAUGUGUGAUGCAGAUGCAAAAGAAAAUAACCCCUCCGUCCAAAAAUUUUGUAAUAGUCUAAGGCAUAGGCGUGAGCAACUUUGUGAAAAAAAUUUCCUCUACCUAUGACUCCAAAAGUUGACUUUCGAAAAAUAGUGAAUAUUAUAUCUUUUUCUCAAGCGAGUAGAAUAAUUAAAUCCCUUUUACGACAUUCGAAUGUCAUUUGUGGUGAAAAUAUUACAUUCAUCUCUUGUAUACUUGUGUUAUCUAGAACAUGCCGUGUUAGUUUUUCAAAGCUAAUUUUAAUUGUAGUUGGUUGGAUAAAUGAUCUUAGUCCAUCCUUGUGAUUUUGGAAUCCACUCAAGCAUAAAAUCCUACCCAUGCAUAAUCGUAAUCCCUAGUACCCACUUUGAGCCUUUUUACCUUUCUUUGUCAAAUACAUUACCAGUCGUGAACUAUUCUUUUUGUCCCUCUAUUGAACCCUACCCUCCUUGGACUUGAAAAUAAAUUGGGUUAAAAUCCUAAGUUGGUUGUGGUAAAGAUCGAUGGAAGUACAUUUAUGUCACGACCCGAACUAGGGCCUGGCCGUAACGAGCAUUUUGAACCAUGGAGACCCGAAACACCCCUAUCUUUCUGGUAAUCAUGCAUCUAAUUCAUAUGAUCAAAGUAAUGUGGAAGAAACACAAUAUAAUGGAAACAUGGUCAAGAAUUAUAUAAAAAUGAAAAUGGGGAAUAGUGUCCCGCAAUCUAAAUCAACAUCUCUAAAACCGUCUGCGAAAUCUCUACUACAUGACUGAAACAAUGUCUAUCUGGAAACUGGGACAAGGCCCCCAGUAGACCAAAAAACUGAAUAUAAGAUAAAAGGACUGCAGGACAUAAGACCUUUGGAAACAUAGAAGGCUCACCACUUGUCUCUACAGCUUUUUCUGAAAGUUCUACUGAAUCUCUUAACCCCUAGACUGGGCCUCUAAACCUGAGAGGUUGGAGAGGGAGGGGGUUAGCACAAAAGUACUAGCAUGCAGAGAUAUCAAAACAAAACAUAAUAUUUUUACAAAGUAUAGUUGAGAGCCAUUAUAAAACAAUUUCGUAUAAAAUCAUUUGAAAACACAUGGGUGUAAUGCAAUAGUUUUUCUCAACAAUAAUGAAAUGCAACUGAGCUAGGUGGAAUACCCUACAUAAUUUACACCAACUGUCAAACCUCGGUUGCCGCCGAGAUUAGAGUAUAAGUGAGGGAGAGACACUCAAGACCACACAACAUACCUGACUUGCAAGUCAUCAAUAUCACAUCCACAUAUGCAUAAUCAUGUAAAAACCAAGGUGCUUCAUCAUUUACAAAUGUUGAACAAUAUUUAUUUCAAAUUCAUGCUCUGUUUUGAUGAUCAAAAUAUAAUAUGGAGUAUCGAAACAUUAUCAUGGGAAUCUGAAAACAAUUUAUCAUUCAUAUUUAUCAAAUUCCAUGGAAAAUCUCAAAUCACAUAUGCAUGGUUUCAACCAUUGAAGUAUAUAGGCAAACAAUUCCUAUGACAUANNNNNNNNNNNNNNNNNNNNNNNNNNNNNNNNNNNNNNNNNNNNNNNNNNNNNNNNNNNNNNNNNNNNNNNNNNNNNNNNNNNNNNNNNUUUUGAAACCCUAAGGAGAAUCUUGAGCACUUUUGAUGAAAGAAUAUGUAUUUUGGGGUCCUUGGAACUAAAUAUCAUGUUUUAGGGAUAAGUAAGGGUGGAAAAAGACCACUUUGUCCUUAACACAGAGUGUUUAAUUCACCAGAAUUCCUUACACAGCGCCGCCCAUCCCAUCACCUAUCUUCUCAUAGGCGCCGCCUAGGCUAUCACCUAUGGUUACAUAGGCGCCGCCUAGGCUAUCACCUAUGGUUACAUAGGCGCCGCCUAGGCUAUUGCCUAUGUUCACGUAGGCGCCGCCUAGGCUAUCGGCUAUGGGCGAUUGGUUAGGCGUCGCUUAUCACUUUGAAAUGUCAUAACUUCUUGCUCGGGUAUCGAAUUUUAGGAAAAUUGGUAUCGUUGGAAAGCUAACUCGAAUACCUAUCAUUUGAAAUUUAGUAGGAUUCCUAAUUCGACAUAUACAGAGAGUUAUGGUCGAUAGAAGAUGACACAUUUUACAACGUCUACUAAAACUUAGUCGAUCGAAAUAGUUCCAACUCGUCCUUGAGUUGAAGGACCUCUAUGGUCUAAAUUCAAGCUGGAACGGAUUCACAUACUACACGAUAAUUAACAUGUCGUAUUGUCAUAGGAUUUUAUGGCUUCGAGAUUAGCAACGCAUCAAAAUCAUGGUCUAUAUUAUAGCCCAAAUUGCGGGGCAUUACAUUAUCCCCCCUUAGGAUCAUUCGUCCCCGAAUGAUGAUGCGGGACAUAGAUAGACACGAUUUCAAGUAUAAUAAAGGACUAGGAAAGAUACGAUAGGAAUAGUACCUUCUGUCUCCUCCUCCGUCAAAGCAAAUAAAUUGGGAUAUCUAAUUCUCAUGUCAUCUUCUGACUUCCAAGUUGCUUCUUCAACUUUCUGAUUCCUCCACAGUACCUUUACUGAGGCUAUCUCUUUGCUCCUUAGCUUUCAAACUUGGCGAUCUAAAAUUUCAACAGGCUCUUCUUCGUAAGACAAGGAGUCUGUCACUUUGAUACCCUCUACUGGCAAUACCAUAGAAUGAUCUCCAAUGCAUUUCUUCAACAUGCAUACAUGGAAUACCGGAUGAAUGGAACCCAAACUUGCAGGCAAUUCCAACUCAUAGGCAACUAUACCAAUCCUUUUCAAAAUCUGAUAUGGCCCUACAUAACGAGGGCGCAAUUUACCCCUUUUUCUAAACUGCAUAACUCAUUUCAUAGGAGAAACAUUGAGAAACACCCAAUCACCAAUUUCAAACUCUAAUUCUCUUCUCCGAACAUUGGCGUAGGACUUCUGACGACUCUGAGUAGUCUUGAGUUGUUCUCUAAUGAUUUUUACUUUCUCCAUUGCCUGAUGAACAAGAUCAGGCCUAUACACUGAAUCUCACCCACUUCAUACCAUCCUAUCGGAGACCUAUAUCUCUUCCCAUACAAAGCCUCAAAAGGGGUCAUCUUGAUGCUGGCAUGGUAACUAUUAUUGUAAGCAAAUUCAACCAGUGACAGGUGAUCUACCCAACUACCUUUGAAAUCAAUGCCGCAUGCCCUCAACAUAUCUUCGAGGGUCUGAAUGGUACACUUAGCUUGCCCAUCUGUCUGAAGGUAGAAAGUUGUGCUCAAAUUCACUUGUGUACCUAAACCCUUCUGAAAGGAUCUCCAGAACUGAGAUGAAAACUGUAUACCUCUAUCAAAUAUAAUGGACACUGGUGCACCAUGCAAUUGAACUAUCUCCUCAAUGUAAAUCUUAGCAUAAACCUCUCCAGAAUAAUUAGAAUAAUUAGUCCUCACAGGCAAAAAGUGAGCUGACUUGGUCAACCGAUCUACAAUCACCCAUAUAGAAUCAGACUGGUUUCGGGAUCUCAGAAGUCCUGUAAUGAAGUCCAUGUUUAUCAUCUCCCACUUCCAUAAAGGCAGGGAUAUCUCUUGGGAAGUACCACCUGCCCUUAUGUGUUCUACCUUCACUUGCUAAAGUUUAAGCACUCGGACACAAAAUCAGCUACAUCACGUUUUUUGUUAUUCCACCAAUACAACGUUUUCAGAUCAUGGUACAUCUUAGUAGAGCCUGGGUGAAUGAUAUACCUCAAAGUAUACGCUUCAUUAAGGAUUCUAGCCCAUAGACCAUCGACAUUCGGAAUGCACAACCUAUCCUGAAAUCACAGAAUACCAUCGCCAUCAAUUUCAAACGACAUAACCUUUUAUUGACCCACAUCUUUCUUGAUUUGCAUCAAGAUGGGAUAUUCAACCUACUUCUCCUUAACUUCAACACAAAGAGAUGACUUAGCUAACUCAUUAACAAUCACCCCUCCAUCUUCAAAAUCUAAGAGUCGAACUCCCAGAUUUGCAAGGUGAUGAAUAUCCUUCACCAUCUCUUUCUUUCCUUCUUCUACAUGAGAAAGGCUACCUAUAAACAGCCUGCUGAGGGCAUUGUCUACAAUAUUUGCCUUUCUCGGAUGGUAAUGCAGACUCAUAGCUUGGUUUUUCAAAAGCUCCAUCCAACGCCUCUUCCUGAUGUUCAAUUCUUUCUAUGAGAAAACAUACUGCAAACUUUUAUGGUCAGUAUAAAUAUCAACAUGCACUCCAUAGAGAUAGUGCCUCCAGAUUCUAAGUGCAAACACCACGGCUGCUAACUCCAAGUCAUGAGUAGGGUAAUUACGCUCAUGCCCCUUUAACUGCCUAAAUGCAUAAGCUAUCACCUUACCACACUGCAUUAAUACACAACCAAGUCCCACGCGGGACGUAUCACAACAAACCACAAAAUUAUCUAUACCCUCAGGAAGGGUCAAAAUAGGAGCAGUAGUCAGCUUGUCCUUCAAUUUCUCAAAACUAUUUUCACAUAAGUCAGACCACACAAACUUCAUCUUUUUCUGAGUCAGUUUAGUAAGCGGAGCAGCUAUGGAAGAAAAGCUCUCUACGAACCUUUUGUAAUACCCUGCCAAAUCCAAGAAGCUCCGAAUAUUGGUUGGAGUCAUGGGUCUGGGCCAUUUUCUCACUGCUUCAACUUCCUGGGGAUCCACUCUUAUCCCGUCACUAGACACAAUAUGCCCUGGGAAGGCACUAGAGUCUAACCAUAAUUCACACUUAGAAAAUUUGGCUUACAACUGAUGAUCCUUAACGGUCUGAAGAAUAAUUCAGAGGUGAUUGGCGUGAUCCUCUUUACUCUUAGAAUAGAUCAAAAUAUCAUCAAUAACUACAAUGACAAACAAGUCAAGAAACUGAUGGAACACUCUAUUCAUAAGAUCCAUGAAGGCUGUAGGGGCGUUAGUCAACCCAAAGGACAUGACUUAAAAUUCGUAGUGACCAUAUCGGGUUUGGAAGGCUGUCUUGGGUAUGUCUGACUCCCUAACUUUCAACUGAUGAUAACCCGAAUGAAGAUCUACUUUUGAAAAAUCCUUGGCACCCUGAAGCUGGUCAAAAAGGCCGUCAAUCCUAGGAAGAGGAUAUUUAUUUUUAAUCAUGACCUUAUUCAACUAGCGGUAGUCUAUGCACAUAUAAAGGGACCCCUCUUUCUUUCGCAUGAAGAGCACGGGUACACCCCAUGGGGAAAUACUAGGACAAAUAAAACCUUUGUCUAGGAGGUCUACAAGCUAUUCCUUUAACUCCUUUAGUUUCGUGGGAGCCAUUCUAUAUGGCAGAAUAGAAAUAGGACAAGUGUCUAGAAACACAUCAAUGCCAAAAUUUAUCUCCCUAUUAGGGGGUAUCCCUGGGAGAUCUUCGGGAAAGACUUCUGGGAAUUCAUUCACUACAGGGACUGACAGCAGAGGAAGUUUUCCAACCUUUGAAUCUUUUACUCGAAUUAGAUGGUACACACAGCCUUUGGAGAUAAGCUUUCGGGCUCUAAGAUAAGAGAUAAAGUGACCUUUAGGUUCCAUGAAACUCCCUUCCCAUACAAUUGGUGUCUCAUUCAGAAAAGAAAAAGUUACCUUUUGGGUUCUGCAAUCAAGGACAGCAUAACACGAAUGGAGCUGGUCCAUCCCAAGGAUGGCAUCAAAGUCUAUCAUAUCCAGUUCUAUAAGGUCUGUCACCAUUUUCCUACUAUGAAUAGACAUGACACAAUUUCUAUAUACCCUUUUAGCAACAACAGAAUCACCUAACGGAGUAGAAACAGAGAAGGGUUCUAUAAUAACUUUGGGCUCAAACCCGAAACCAACUACCACAUAAGGGGUCACAUGAGAUAAAGUAGACAUAGUAUCAAGCAAUACAUAAACAUCACAAGAAAAGAUUCAUAACAUAACGGUUACAACAUUCAGUGAAGCUUCUGCCUCCUGGCGGUUAGUCAAAAAAUAUAACCGGUUGCGACCACUUCUGGCAGCUGAAGGGGUACCCUUAGGAAAAGAAGCUAUGGAGGUGGCUUGGGACUUAGACCCCCCCCCCCCUCCCGGCCACAUUUCCUCUAGCAAAAGGACAAUCUCUUUGAAGGUGACCCAAUUUGCCAUAAGUAUAGCAGUUUCUCCCCUCAAACCAGCACUUUCCUAGAUGAUUCCUUCCACAAACCUCACACUGUGGAUGAGUAUGACACUGAUGGGCCACACUACCCUAAGGCUGUGUACCUAGAGCUUUGGACCCAUGAGGAGUCUAAAAAUUCUGAGUUUGUCGGUCUGUCGGUGGUCUGGGUACUGGGGCACUGGCUGCUAACUGUGAAUUAUUCCAAAACUUCUUCUUCGACCACUUAUUACCCCAGUCACCACUCUGCGGCUGACUCUGGUGCUGGUCCGCAGAUCUAGCUCUCUUAGCCUGUCUGUCUUUCUCUCUAGAUACAGCAAUAUUUUUCUUCUUGUCUUUCACUUGAUGUAUAUGAAUAGUCAGUCGAGAAAAGUCUAACUCCUUAUUCAACAUAGCCCCUUGACACUCAAGUACCAGGUCAUCAGUAAGGCCAUAUACAAAUUUUCUCAUCCGGGCCCUCAUAUUACUAGUCAACUCUGGUGCAUAGCGGGUUAGUUUAUUAAACUUUAAAGUGUACUCUUGGACACUCAUACUGCCCUAGUUUAGAUUCAUAAACUCUUCCGCUUUGGCCUCCCUCAACUCCAGAGGAAAGAAUCGAUCAAGGAAGGCUUCCACAAAUUUUCCCUAAACUGUGGGCUCAGCACUUUCACCUUUUUCAUCUUCCCAGUCGGCAUACCACUGACUCACAAUGUCUUUGAGCGGAUAGGUUGCUAACUCUAACCCUUCAACCUCAUCCACAUGUAUCACCUUAAAGAUCUUUUCCAUAUCAUCCACGAACUCCUGUGGAUCUUCUUCCACCAUGGUGCUAGUGAACUUAGGUGGGCUCAUCUUUAUGAAAUUUCCAACUUUAGUAGCCUCAGAUGUAACAGAUAUAGACCCAAUAUCUUCCGAUUGUUAAGCUUGGUUGGCUACCAACUGUGUCAGCAUAUGAAUAGACCGUCUGAAUUCUGCAUUUGAAAUAUCUCCCUGAGCAGUUGGGGGAUGGUUGACAUAAAUCUGCGGAGCCCGAGGUGGAUUGGUAGGGACUUGAGGGACUCCCGGAGUAGGGAAAAAUUCUAGAGUAUGAGCCCUAUUAUGGGUCCACAUCCCAUGGGUGGGACGGACCUCAUCUGCCUAAGCAUUCUGAUCGGCGAUACGGCGUGGAGCCAUAACUAUGUUUUUGAAACUCAAGUGAUCAUUGAUUAGGGGACAGUUCAUACUUUGAAGCACGAACUAAAUCACAAAGAAGGAAAAUAUUUCCUAAAUGCCUAGCAGCCUCUUGCCUAUAAGUGUGGCGUGCUACACACCCAUAAACAAGACUUUACCGAACGUGAUUUUGUAGACACCUUGGGACCAUGAAUCGUGCUUUGAUACCAAGUUUGUCACAACCCAAACUAAGGCCUAGCCGUGAUAAGCAUUUCAAACCAUGGAGUCCCAAACACCCCUAUCUUUUUGGUAGUCAUGCAUCCAAUUCAUAUGAUCAAAGUAAUGUGGAAUAAACACAAUAUAAUGGAAACAUGGUCAAGAAUCAUAUAAAAAUGAAAAUAGGGAAUAGCUUCCCACAAUUUAAAUCAACAUCUCUAAAACCGUCUAUGAAAUCUCUACUACAUGAUUGAAACAAUGUCUAUCUAAAAACUAAGACAAGGCCCCCAGUAGAACAAAAAACUGAAUAUAAGAUAAAAGGACUGCAGGACAUAAGACUUUCUGAAACAUAGAAGACUCACCACUUGUCUCUAUAGCUCUGUCUGAAAGUUCUACUGAUUCUUUUAACCUUUAGACUGGGCCUCUGAACCUGAGAGGUUGGAGAGGGGAGGGGGUCAGCACAAAAUACAAUAUUUUUACAAAGUAUAGUUGAGAGCCAUUAUAAAACGAUUUCGUAUCAAAUAAUUUGAAAACACAUGGGUGUAAUGCAAUAGUUUUUCUCAACAAUAAUGAAAUACAACUAAGCUAGGUGGAAUACCCUACAUAAUUUACACCAACUAUCAAACCUCGGUUGCCAUUGAGAUAGAGUAUAAGUGAGAAGGAGACACUCAAGACCACACAGCACGGUGUCUCGACCCAAUAGUAGUGCCCAAGAUCACUUGGAUCGGGCUCCUACCUAUAGUCCCAAUUUGAGAAUGACAUGAAGUCAAGUACACAGAUCGCUUAGCCUGGUACCAAUAUUCUGUGUCGGCAAACACAUUAUUCCAGCAAUAAGCCCUUGUGUCUCAAACGCCUUCUUCAGGCAUCCACCUUUCUCAUGUAAAAUUAAUGCAUUCAAAUUUUAUUUAAUUCAACCACGUAUCAUAUUCUGCAGAGUAUCAUCAUACUCGACUUGCAAGUCAUCAAUAUCACAUCCACAAAUGCAUAAUCAUGUAAAAACAAAGGUGCUUCAUCAUUUACCAGUGGUGAACAAUAUUGAUUUCAAAUUCAUGCUCUCUUUUGUUGAUCACAAUAUAAUAUGGAGUAUCGAAUCAUUAUCAUGGGAAUUUGAAAACAAUUUAUCAUUCAUAUUUAUCAACUUCCAUGGAAAAUCUCAAAUCACAUAUGCAUGGUUUCAACCAUUGAAGUAUAUAGGUAAACAAUUCCUAUGACAUAAAGAAAAUGACUUAGAAAUCAUAUUGAAAGCAAGAUAUUAGCAUUUUAUUUAAAACCCCCAUUUAAAAGCAUGUAUGUUCAUAAAGACUACACCCAUGAGAUUUUUGAAUAACCCCACGUCCCUCUAUUUCCAAGGAUAAUAGGUGUUUCUUGAAGCUUGCGGAUUGAUGAAUCCAAAUAUGCAAUUAUCUUUGAAAACCUAUGGUCAAGUCUUGAACUAUUUGGGUUUUUAUUUUUGAAACCCUAAGGAGAAUCUUAAGCACUUUUGAUGAAAGAAUAUGUAUUUUGGGGUCCUUGGAACUAAAUCUCAUGUUUUAGGUCUAAGUAAGGGUAGAAAGGACCACUUUGUCCUUAACACGGAGUGUUUAAUUCACCAGAAUUCCUUACGUAGGCGCCGCCCAUCCCAUCGCCUAUGUUCACAUAGGCGCCGCCUAGGCUAUCGCCUUUGCUUUCCAGUGGCCAUGGGCGAUUGGUUAGGCUUUGCUUAUCACUUUGAAAGGUCAUAACUUCUUGCUCGGGUGUCGGAUUUUAAGAAAAUUGAUAUCGUUGGAAAGCUAACUCUAAUACCUAUCAUUUGACACAUAGUAGGCUUCCUAAUUCGAUAUAUACAGAGAGUUAUGGUCAAUGUAAGCUGACACAUUUUACAAUAUCUACUAAAACAUAGUCGAUCGAAAUAGUUCCAACUCAUCCUUGAGUUGAAGGACCUCUAUGGUCUAAAUUCAAGAUGGAGUGGAUUCACAUAAUACACCAUAAUUAACAUGCCAUAUUGGCAUAGGAUUUUAUGGCUUUGUGAUUAGCAACGCAUCGAAAUCAUGGUCUAUUUUUUAGCCCGAAUUGCGGGGUGUUACAAUUUAGGGUCAUGAAGUAUUGGUGAAAUUUCAAAUGUGCCUAAGUGUUGAAAAUAAAUGUUUAAAAAAAGGAUCUCAUAAAAGAAUGACUUACACAAAAGCACAGGAAAGUUAAAGUAGAAUGAAAGUGGAAAACAAAAGAGGCAAAAGAUAGGCAUGAAUAGAGACAGAAAAUAAAGAACAACGACCAUUGGUCAAAAGGAGAAGUGUUGUAAAUUGUGAUAUAGAUGUUCAAGGUAGGGUGCAACCAAGUCCCCAAAAUGAUAUCUUACCCUAACCCAAACCUACGUUACAAGCUUAGAAAGUUCUUUGAGAUUUCCAGCCAUUUACCUUCUUUGUAGUAGUGAUUGAAAAUAGGGGGAAGCCUAUGUCAUGACACUUGUUAGCAUAGAGAAUUUCUUGAAAGAUUGAGUGGUUGCACUUAAAAUUUCUUGUUGCAUGGUUGGUAACAAGGAGUGUUAAUUUCUCUUUGCUGGUGAGGCGGCAUGUAAACUAGUUGAGGCAAGUGAUUUUACCAUCAUUCGCGCAUUGAGGAAAGUGGAAGUAGUCAACAUGUGAGUCAUUUUUAGAGUACUAGUAGUUGUCAGAUAGUUGCUCCCCAAAUUCUUUUGCACCCUUCACUAUUCUAUUUUAUGAUGAGGAGAGUCGUUAAAAGUCCAUUUGCCCAUGUGUGGAAUGAUUUUGGUGGUUGCAAUCAAACAUGAGUCUUCGUGAUCAUUAAAGUGGUAGUACGAGGGCAUAUAUACAAAAUUGUAUCAUAAUAAAUGGUAGCAUUGCUUAAGGACAAGCAAGGUUUUAAGUUUGUGGUGUUGAUGAGUAGUAAGUUUACCACUCAUUCCCACUCAUUUUUGUGCACAUUAUCUUGUUUUGAAUGAAUAAAUGAGAUAACAUCUAAGGAUAGAUCACUAAUAUCUACUCUUUGUAGGUAUAAAGUUGAAAAGAUCAAAAGAUGUGGAGUAGAGAUUAAAAUGAUAAAAAGGGAGCAAGGAAGAGUGCAGCUAAAGACCUGGACUACAUCAGCCUUGAUUACCACCACCGUAGUCCUCUAUCCAAACUCAUAGUUAGCCAAGAUGGUCGAGUAAUACAGUCACAACACAAAGCAGCGAUCAUGGGUUCAUAGUUGUGGACAUAUAUCUGCAAUCAUGGGUAAAAGAGAAUAGGUCUAGGGGGAUAUUUGCAAAAUCACCUAGACGUAUCCCAAGCCUUAUUUAUACAAAAAUCCCUUCCUCUUUAGGAACCUUAGCUCUUAAGAUAUUUUGGAAUUCAAGACUUCAAACCCUAAUCUUGGGUUAGUGUGUAAUUAAUUUUGGGGGAUAAAUUUUUGGUUUAUUGUUGAAGAAUGGAUGCUUUGAAUGACCCAUAUGGUAUAUUUCUCUUUACUUUCUUCAUGAGUAUCUAAAUAAUUUAGUCUUGGGAUUAUGUUGAAUUAGUGUCUGAUUGUGUGUGGGUAUUGUUGUGUUUACUUGUAUUUUAGUUAUUGAAUGUGGGUUUCACCAUUGCUUGAGCUUACUUAUUGGGAUUUGAUGGGUGAAAACUCUAAAUUUCCAAAUGGGUUUGAUGGGUGAAAGCUCUAAGCUCUAGAAACCCUUUGUCAUCCUCAAAAGAGGUACUUAUCUGAAUAUUAAGUAACCUAUAACAUCCUCGAAAGAGGUUAUCAGGGGAUAAGGCAAUGGUGAACAACUAAGCCUGUGGGUUAAUACCCUUUGCAAUCUUAUAAAUAAGUGGUUAGGGAUUGUAAUUCAUGUCAAGAUCAUCAUCCUAGACAUAGGGAUGCUUGGUUGAUAUUUUGGGUGGCUACACAAACUCCACACUUGUUAGGUGUUCUAAAGAACCAAUGAGUAAAAUUGUUGAGGUUUUAUUGAAAGAUUGACCUCAACGAUCUUCAAAUGAUCCUAUCCAUUAAUUAACAACUAAAUUCUACACUAAACCAACAUUAUGCCACACACUUGUAAUACCCCGCAAAGUCUUUCCUAGUCUGAGCCUUAGAGCGUGUUUAGUUAAGCGAAAAUCCGAGUCUAAAAGUUUUAGAAAUAUCUUCCCAAUGUGAAAUAUUUUAAACCGUGUAGAAUUUUCCUAAUUUUUACAUUUUUUCAUGUAGAUCAUUGAAUAUGCUUUCCAUCGAUACCAAAUUCACCCAAAUCGGAUACUCAGAGUUUGCGCUAUUUUAGUAAGACAGUGUGCCAUCUGGUACUCAGGCACAUCACGGAGCUAGCCAAAAUGGCAAUUUUCAAAUUCCAGCAAGCCUCCAUGAUUCCUCUGCAUUGCGGUGAAGUUCCAGUUCACAACAAGAUGCUGAAAUGAUCCCCACAGCAUUGCGCCGUCUUGCAAUUUCCCAAUUGUCUAAUUUCUAGUGGACUGUCGCAAUUGUGGUGCGUCGCGCUAGUAUGUAAAAUUGGGAAUUUUCAGUAAUUUUUCCAAGGGGAUUUUUGGUCUUUUCCUUUUUCUCCCAACCUCUAUAAAUGCCCACUUAAGGGAUGAAAACCUCAUUCUCUCUUCCACUCCAAAAAUUAGGGUUUCCAAAAUCAAAAACCCUCUCUUCUUCUUCCACCAAAAAAUCAAGAGAAUCAAGAAAGAAAUCAAGAAUUCUUCCAAGAGCCAUCAAGGAAAGAGUUUCCCCAAAGUAUACGGAUAUUGAUUCUUGGAUCCUUUUCAUCCAAAAAGCUUAAGUAACCCUUUUUUAAAUCUUAAAGAUUUUAUGUUUAUGAAUUUUAAUGAUUCUUGUGAGUUGAAAUUGAUGUUCUUGCUAUGAUUGAGUUGUGAUUCAUGUUUGUCUAUGACAUUAUUAAUCCUUGGCCCUAGUGUGUGGUAAUUAUGUGGUAAAUGGAUUGUGUUCUUGUUGUUUAAGUUGAAUGAUUUCGAAGAUGGAAGAUUUAUGUGGUUUGUAAGAAUCUAUGAUGUCAUAUAAGUUGGAAACAUGUAAAUUUGGUUGUUCAUGGUGAUUAUGUUUAUUAUUACACCUAUGCCUAAGUUGUUCAAUGGAGGUGUUCGAUAAUAUGUCCAAGAAACUAGAAAUCAUGUAUUGUAGUUAAAUUGUAACCCAAAUGACAAAUGCAUGCUAUACCCUUAUGAAAAUAAUGACUUCUAUAAUAUUGUUAUGGGUUAUGGUUGUUGAUGAAGUAUUCAUGAAUCUACGUCGAUGUAUAUAGGGCAUGGUGUUAUAUGCACUCCUCUCCAUGUAUAAGACUUGAAUAUUAUGUUUACCAUGAAAUUCCCAAUUUGGUGCAGCCCAUGAAUACCUAGUGUUUGUUGAAAGUCUUUAGUAAAUAGAUUAUGCAAUGGUAGAGUAAAAUCCUCAAAUAGGUUUAAACCCGUGCAUGCCUUGUGUUGUCAAAAUUCCUUAGUGAACAGGGCAAGAUAUGAUGGCUUUAAAUUCCCCAAUUAUGUGCUCUUUGAUAUAUGCUAGGAUUUCAAUACAUGCCAAGUAGUUAGCAUGUAAGUUGUGAUCUAAUAGUAUGAAGUUUCCUCCAAAUCAUGUGAUAUCCAAAUGCAUGUCCAGACCGAUAUAUGUGUGAAGUAAUUAAUGUAAGACCUUGUUGAAUAGACUACAACCUAGUAGUAAGUUUCCCCUAUGCUUUUAUAUGUUUGUGGUUUUGGAGUGCUUGAAAUGAUAUCUUAGUGAUCGUGAGGGUGAAUAUAUGAUAUGAUUCCCAAUUACUUGAAAAGAUGCCUUAAUGAUUUUUAUGAUAAAUGAAUGGUUGUCAUGAUGAAUGAAUGGUUGAAUAAUUAUGAUGAUGAACGAAUGACUGUGGUGAUGACUAGUUGAGAAUGAUUAAGUCUUACUUUUAUGUUAUCAUGUCCUGGGGGUAUUUAUACCCGAUAAUAGAGUUGUUGUCUAGAGCACGUGUCAGUUUCACGAUAAUUCCAGUCGAGCCAUGAUUCUCCAAAAUUAGUGAACUACAAAAACUCGGUGUCCUCAGACAGUUACAGAACUUGAGAAAUCUCAAAAAUCUCUGUAAUCUUUGUAUCGCUAAUAAUCUAGCCUCAGCAUUGUAUUCAGCUCAGAUCUUGUGGAAUACAAGUGUUCAGUUCUAGCCUCGGUAGUGACUGAGUAAUCUAUUUAAUUUUGUAUCAUCAGUUAGAUAUCAUGAUUCAGUAGUAUUUCGUCAGAUACGAAACCAUGUGAAUUCAGCUUAACUCAGUCGAAUCAUUUGAGAAGUGUGAUCAGUGUUAGAUUCAGCUCAGUUUGUGUUCAUUGAAAAUUUAUUUUAGAUUCUUUUAGUUGGGAGUAGAAACUAGCACCGAGUGAGAAAAGGGAUGGUGGCUCUUCCCGUCAGCGAGAGAGGCCGAAGUCAUUAGUAGCAAUCCCUAAACUCCAGAACUGCAUAGCCAGUGCAGGAUACAGGAGUCCCUAUCAGUAGAGGUUGUCACCGUCAAAGAGGUUCGACUAUUAUAUUACCUCAAGCCGACUUCCUGCGAGGGUCAUUCCAUUAGAGAGGCUUGACCAGAGAGGUCUUUACCUAUGGCACGGUAUUGAUGCCCUUCCAACUGGGGUUAUAGGUUGGACCCCACCUGUGGUAGGUCAAGGCAUGUCGGUUAAGUAACUACUUCCCAUAAUUGCAAUUAUAAUAUCAAUCUUCAAAAUUUAGGACUGUGAGGUACCAUCGUAUAUAUCAGUAAGGGACUCAGAUAGUUCUAUUGAUUCAUGGGAUAUCCCGUCAGAUAGGGUUGGUAUCAUAUACAGAUUUUUUUUAUCAUAUUCGGAGAUCUCUCAUCAGAUAGGCUUGAUCACAGUCUCAGACUCAGUUGAGUAUUCUUGAUUAUUAUAUCUAGUAAUCUCCCGUCAGAUAGGCUUGAUCUUAGUUUCAUGUGAUGUUGAACAUUCUUGUUGUCAAAUUCAUACAUGAUGCCUUUUCUUAUAAUUGAUAAUAUAAUUCAAAAUCAACCAUCAGAUAGGUUGACUUCUGAUCCAGUCAGUUGAGAGCAGUAAGCUCAAAAUUCAGUCAUCGAUAUAAGUUUAUCCAGUUUCUCAGUUAUUAGUAUCAGAUGAGUUAGUGAUUCAGUAUCUCAUUGUUCAUAGUGGUUUUAGUUGGCAGUAAAGUGGUAUCCGAGUUUUUGUAUUUAGAGUUGAGAUGAUUAUGAUUAUGGGUUGUGCAUCCAUGUAUGUGUCUUCGAGCGGUACUAUCAUGAUUAUUCAUUUUAGUUAUUGUGCAUACAUGAGCCCUUGCGUUUAUCCCUACCUUAUCUACAUACUUAGUACAUUCCUAAGUACUAACGCAUUCAUGCUAUGGUGUUUUAUUGGACACUAUAGGUUUAGAGCACGAGAUUCAGAGUAUCCUCAAUAGUUCAGGCCUAGUCAGCAGCAGUAGCCAUAACAGUGAGUCCUCUUCUUUUGAGGAUGAGUCUCAGAUUUAUAUUAUUGUAUCAGAAUUUGUUUAUUUUCAAUUGAUGGAGUCAGUUGGGGACAUAUCCCAUCAACUCCACAAUUUAGACAGUUACAGGCUUUUCAAACAGAUGUAUUAGUAUUCAAUUUUCAGUUUGGUGUAUUUAUAGAUGUGUUGAACCUUAUGGAUAAUUUCCAUAUUUAUUAUCUAUAUUAUGCAGUGCACAGGUAAAGAUAUUAGUAAAGGGUUAGCUUGUGGUCUAUGGGGUCAUAAGCACCGUGGGAUAUCUUGGGAUGGGAUCUCGGGUCAUUACAAACUUGGUAUCAAAGCCUAAGGUUGAAGUGUGUCCUAAGGGGUCUAAAAAUCUAUAUCUAGUAGAGUCUUGUACAUAGGUGUGUUGUACGCCACAUUUAUGUACUAGAGGCUACAAGAUGUUCUUAGGAUAAGUUUCCCUUCUUUUAGUGAUCAGGUUGUACGAGUGAGCAUGAGCUCAAUUUGAUUCUCAGUCUAAUCCACUUCUUUAUUCCAUUUAUAGAGUAUGCCUCCUCGCAGAGAUUAUGUCCAUGGGGCUGAUGACCAGCCCCCUUAACCAGUAGAUCCUGAGAAUGAGAAUGUGUUACAUGCCGAGUUUCGGGUAGCUUUUCAUGCGCUAGCCCAAGCUGUGACUAAUGUUCAGGGUAACUGUCAGGCUGUAGCCCCACCUCUACAAGAUGGGAAUUCUGCCGCAGCCAGGAUUAGAAGUUUUAUAAAAAUGAACCUGCUAGAAUUCUUUGGACCAGUAGAAGGUGAGGACCCGAAGUUUAAUCUAGAAAAGGUGAAUAAAAUCACCCAGAUUAUGCAUGUUUUUGAGGAGGAGAGUGUUGAGUUAGCAUCCUAUAGGUUGAAGGAUAUUUCUCAUGAUUGGGUAGUGUUGUGGAAGGCGAGUAGAGAGGAGAAUAUAGCUCCCAUGACUUGCCUAGAGUUUUAGGGUGCCUUUCUAGAUAGAUUAUUUCUACUAGAGAUGAGAAAGGCUAAGGUAGAAGAGUUCAUGAACCUAAAGCAAGGUUCUAUGACUGUGAAAGAGUAUUGUCUUAAGUUUAACCAAUUAGCUAAGUCUGCUCCCAACUUGGUAGCCGACUCUAGAGUGAUUAUGAGUAAGUUAAUGACUGGUAUAUCUGGGUUAGCGUUCAAAGAGUAUAGAUCUACUAUGCUUCAUAGAGAUAUGGACCUUUCUAGGUUAAUAAUGCAUGUGCAACAGAUUAAGGUAGAUAAGAUGAAAGGGAGAGAGAGUGUGACCAAGAGAGCCAAGAUAGGUAGUUAUGGUUUCUCUCAAGUAGGGUCCCAGAGUGGUAGUAAUUCUUGGAAUGAUCGGGGAUUUUUAGAUCCAGCUCUAUCCUCAGCUAGUGUACCCAUGCCUGUGUUUGGGGGUGUCAUAUUUGAGGGAGCACCAAGCUCUAAAGCCCAGAGUAGUGCUAGUGGUGUUCGUACCUAUCCGUUUUGUGGAGAGUGUGGCAAGAGCCACUAGGGUGUGUGUAGAUUCGGUAGUGAUGUGUGCUUUGGAUGUGGUGAGCCCGUCCAUAGAAUGCGAGAUUUCAGAGUGUUGACUCAGAGGGGUAGACUUCAUGCACUUCAGGCUUGCGUUGAUUGGGAAGAUUCCCCGAGCUAGACGCGGGUAUGUUAUGAGCCUUUCAUCUUUGUGAUAUGUAUUGAUAGAUCCCUUGUUUCCACUUUGAGCAUUAUAUAUUAGCAUGAUACAUGCAUGAGUUUCAGAUUCUUAAAUGGUCAAUCAUGACCCAGUCUGUAAGUGCUCCGUGCACUGCCCCAGUAUUUCAUCUAGAUGUGUUUAGAGAGACAUAGAGUCCCAAGGGGAGAUACCCCAUAGCAUUAUGAUGUUGCAUGUCAUCAGAUUCAUCCAGAUGCAUAUUCAAAUAUUCUUUAUAAAAUUAGCAUUAGUUGUCAGUUAUUGUUAGUCGUUCCUUUGAAAGUCAGCUUAGUCAGACAUUCAUGCAUUAGAUAUGCACAUUCAAUAGAAAUGAGUUCAGAUUGUCAGUGUUUUUGGACAUGCAUCAUGAGAUCAAUUCAGUUAUGAGUCCAUCCAUCAGAUAUGUAUGAGAGUUAAGAGAAUUCAGCUAUAAGUAGACUCAUUUAAGUAUUCCAUGCAUCAGAUAUACAUGCCCAGUGUGAGAACUCAGUAUGUCAGUUGUUCCAGUUACGUAGUCAUGUCUUGAGAUACUCUUGUUCCUUGAGUAAGUUCUGUUUAUCAGUAUUUCUAUCUUAUCUAGUGACAUUCAAGGACGAAUGUUCCCAAGGGGGAGAUAAUGUAAUACCCCACAAAGUUCUCUCCUAGUCUGAGCCUUAGAGCGUGUUCAUUUAAGUGGAAAUCCGAGUCUAAAAGUUUAAGAAAUAUCUUCCCAAAUGUGAAAUAUUUUAAACCAUGUAGAAUUUUCCUAAUUUUGACUUUUUUUCAUAUAGAUUAUUGAAUAAGCUUUCCAUCAAUACCAAAUUCACCCAAAUCGGACACUCGGGUGAGGAGUUUGAGCUAUUUUAGUAAGACAGUGUACCAUCUGGCACUCUGGCGCAUCGCGGAGCCAUCCAAAAUGGCAAUUGUCAAAUUCCAGCAAUCCUCCAUAAUUCCUCUGCGUUGCGGUGAAGUUCCAUUUUGCAACAAGUAGCCAAAAUGAUUCCAACCGCGUCGCACCAGUAUGUAAAAUCGGGAAUUUUCAAUAAUUUUUCCAAGGGGCUUUUUGGUCUUUUCCCUUUUCUCCCAACCUCUAUAAAUACCCACUUAAGGGAUGAAAGCCUCAUUUUCUCUUCCACUCCAAAAAUUAGGGUUUCCAAAAUCAAAAACCCUCUCUUCUUCUUCCACCAAAAAAUCAAGAGAAUCAAGAGGAAAAUCAAGAAUUCUUCCAAGAGCCAUCAAGGAAAGAGUUUCCCCAAGGUAUGCGGAUAUUGAUUCUUGGAUCCUUUUCAUCCAAGAAGCUCAAGUAACCCUUUUCUAAAUCUUAAAAAUUUUAUAUUUAUGAAUUUCAAUGAUUCUUGUGAGUUGAAAUUGAUGUUCUUGCUAUGAUUGAGUUGUGAUUCAUGUUUGUCUAGGAAAUUAUUAAGCCUUGGCCCUAAGGUGUGGUAUUUAUGUGGUAAAUGGAUUGUGUUCUUAUUGUUGAUAUUGAAUAAUUUCCAAGAUGGAAUAUUUAUGUGGUUUGUAUGAAUUUAUGAUGUCAUAUGAGUUGGAAACAUGUAAAUUUGGUUGUUCAUGGUGAGUAUGUUGAUGAUUACACCUAUGCCUAAGUUGUGCAUUGGAGGUGUUCGAUAAAAUGUCCAAGAGACUAGAAAACAUGUAUUGUAGUUAAAUUGUAACCCAAAUGACAAAUGCUUGUUAUACCCUUACGAAAUUAAUGACUUCUAUGAUAUUGUUAUGCGUUAUGGUUGUUGAUGAAAUAUUCAUGAAGCUAGGUCGAUGGACGUAGGGCAUGGUGUUAUAUGCACUCCUCUCCAUGUAUAAGACUUGAGAAUUAUGUGUACUAUGAAAUUACCAAUUAGGUGAAACCCAUGCAUACCUAAUGUUUGUUGAAAUGCUUUAGUAAAUGGAUUAUGCAAUGGUAGAAUGAAAUCCUCAAAUAGGUGUAAACCCGUGCAUGCCUUGUGCUGUCGAAAGACCUUAGUGAAUAGGAUGAGAUAUGAUGGAUUUAAAUUCCCCAAUUAUGUGCUCUUUGAUAUAUGCUAAGAUUUCAAUACAUGCCAAGUGGUUAGCAAGUAAGUUGUGAUCUAAUAGUACGAAGUUUCCUCUAAAUCAUGUGAUAUCCAAAUGUAUGUCAAAAUCGAUAUAUAUGUGAAGUACUUAAUGUAAGACCUUGUUGAAUCGAGUACAACCUAGUAGUAUGUUUCCCCUACGCUUUAAUAUGUUUAUGGUUUCGGAGUGCUUGAAGUGAUGUCAUAGUGAUCGUGAGGGUGAAUAUAUGAUAUGAUUCCCAAUUACUUGAAAAGAUACCUUAAUGAUUUUUGCGAUGAAUGAAUGGUUGUCAUGAUGGAUGAAUGGUUGAAUGAUUGUGAUGAUGAACGAAUGAUUGUGGUGAUGACUAGUUGAGAAUGAUUAUGUCUUACUUUUAUGUUAUAGUGUCCUGGGGGUAUUUAUUCCCGAUAAUAGAGUUGUUGUCUAGAGCCCGUGUCAGUUUCACGAUAAUUUUAGUCAAGCCACGAUUCUCAAAAAUCAGUGAACUACAGAAACUCUGUAUCCUCAGACAGUUACAGAACUUGAGAAAUCUCUAUAAUCUUUGUAUUGCUAGUAAUCUAACCUCAGUGUUGUAUUCAGGUCAAAUCUUGUGAAAUUCAAGUAUUCAGUUCUGGCCUUUGUAGUGAUCGAAUAAUCUAUUAAAUUUUGUAUCGUUAGUCAUAUACCAUGAUUCAGUAGUAUUCCAUCAGAUACGGAAUCAUGUGAAUUCAACCUAACUUAGUCGAAUCAUUUGAGAAGUGUGAUCAGUGUCAGAUUCAGAUUAGAUUGUGUUAGUUGAAAAUUCAGUAUAGAGUCUUUCAGUUGGGAGUAGAAACUAGCACCAAGCGAGGGAAGGGAUGGCGGCUCCUACCAUCAGCGAGAGAUACCGGACUCGUUAGUAGCAAUCCCUGAACUCCAAAACUAUGUAGCCAGCACAGGAUACAGGAGUCCCCGUCAGUAGAGGCUGGCACCGUCAGAGAGGUUUUACUAUUAUAUUGCCUCAGGCUGACUUUCUGUGAUAGUCAUCUCGUUAGCGAGGCUUGACCAAAAAGGUCUUUACCCAUGGCACGGUAUUGAUGCCUUUCCAGUUGGGGUUACAGGUUGGACCCCACCUAUGGUAGGUCCGGGCAUGUCGGGUAAGUAACUACUUCCCACUAUUGCAGUUUUAAUAUCAAUCUUCAGAAUUCAGGACUGUGAGAUAUAAUUGUAUAUCUCAGUGAGGGACUCAGAUAGUUCCAUUGAUUUAUGGGCUAUCCCAUUAGAUAGGCUUGGUCUCAUAUACAAAUGUUUGUUAUCAUAUUCAUAGAUCUCUCGUCAGAUAGGCUUGAUCUCAGUCUCAAACUCAGUUGAGUAUUCUUGAUUAUCAUAUCUAGUGAUCUCUCUCAGAUAGGCUUGAUCUCAGUUUCAUGUGAUGUUGAACAUUCUUGUUGUCAGAUUUGGACAUAAUGCCUUUUCUUAUCAUUGAUAAUAUAAUUUGGAAUCAUCCAUCAGAGAGGUUGACUUCCGACCCAGUCAGUUGAGAAUAGUAAGCUCAGAAUUCAGUCAUCUAUGUAAGUACAUCCAGUUUCUCAGUUAUUUGUAUCAGAUAUGUCAGUGAUUCAAUAUCUCAUUGUUCAUAGUGGUUUUAGUUAGCAGUAAAGUGGUAUUCGAGUUUCUGUAUUUAGAGUUGAUAUGAUUAUAAUUAUGGGUUGUGCAUCCAUGUAUGUGUUUUUGAGCGGUACUAUCAUGAUUAUUCAUUUUAAUUAUUGUGCAUACAUGAGCCCUUGCAUUUAGCCCUACCUUAUCUGUAUACUCAGUACAUUCCUAAGUAUUGACGCAUUCGUGCUAUGGUGUUUUAUUUGACACCAUAGGUUUAGAGACACGAGAUUCAGAGUAUCCUCAGUAGUUCAGGCCUACUCAGGAGCAGUAGCUGUAACAAUGAGUCCUCUUUUUUCAAGGCUGAGUCUCAGAUUUCUAUUAUUGUAUCAGACUUUAUUUAUUUUCAGUUGAUGGAGUUAGUUGGGGACAUGUCCCAUCAACUCCACAGUUCAGACAGUUAGACGCUUUUUAGACUGAUGUAUUAGUAUUUAGUUUUUAAUUUGGUGUAUUUAUAGAUGUGUUGUACCUUAUGGAUAGUUUCCACAUUUAUUAUCUAUAUUAUGUAGUGCACAGGUACAGAUAUCAGUAAAGGGUUAGCUUGUGGUCCUUCGGGGUCAUAAGCAACGUGUGACGUGUCGGGAUGGGAUCUCAGGUUGUUACAACACUUUUCCUCAAAGGAUACAUGGUCCUAAGAUUCCUCUAAACCUUGAAUUCACACUACAUAUAUCGUUUACUGAUUACUUGCAAAAGGUUGUAGUGAAAAAGUUUUCAAACAUUUCCCCCCAUUUAAUAAUACUUCUCUUUCUUAUCAUUCCAAAUGACCUUCUAGUAAUUGGAAUACCCAUAGUUCUAAAUUCUAUAGCAUUCACUUCUUAAUAUUUGAUCCAAUUUACAUUGGGUUACUUGUCAAUGACCACCUCACCCCUUAAUUUUAGGAGUGAGUUAAGCGUUAUUCGAAAAAAGUCCCCAUCAGACUUGCAGAGUGUGGUAUGGUUCUUUUGGUCAUGAAGACUAUUCUAGAUUGUGAGGGGCAGUAUCUCAUAGUAUUCUAGGAUCUUGGUUUAGCUAUAUUGUGAUGAGGCACUAGCUUAGAGAAUGCCCCUAGUAUGAGAUAGGUGAUUAGCUAGAGUUAGCCUGUAUUUCCUGCCAGCCUAGAGUUCCAAAGAUAGCCUAUGAUUUCAGAAUUUUGGAGAUAAUUUUGUGAAUUUCUCUCAGCUUCAGUUGGCCAGCCAUUUGGGCUUAGUUUGUGUCUCUUCAUUUUGAUGCUUCGGGAAUUGAUACAACCACAAAAAGACCGACUACUAGUCUAAAGAGUGUCCCUGAUAUAAGAUUCUAGUCAUCCAGCUUAUUUAGAUUAGCUCGUGAUAUUAUGACAUCUUCAGUUAGAGAUGGUGUGCUUGGCACCUCAGUUGAUGAUACAAUUGGUCGAUCCAAUUUAGACCCGUUCAGAUUUAUUUUUCCUAUGCCCGCCAGGCAUAUGACUGUGGAUGUUACCAUAAUUGGUGUGCUUUUAUUUCUCACAUUUAUAUCUUAUUGUGUGUAUUAUGGUUUCCAUACCCAUUAAUGAUUGUAUGCCUUGAUGAAUUUACAUCUGUCACUAUGUGGCUUUUUGUUAAAUUCAUGAUUAUGCUACUACUCAGUGGUUUAUUUUUUUAGUAGUGGAUAGAGUAGAUAUAUAUUGAUGUGUUCCCCUAUGGGAGUGGUUUUGGGUUUGAGUCCCAUUUAUCUUAGCACGUUAGCCCUAUUGUGGCCCUUGAGUUGCACGUGAUAUUGAUAUUCAUUUUGGUACAUCCUGUUUAGUAUGUUGAUAUUGAUAUUGUUGUUGUUAUUGCUGCCACUUUGUGAGGUUAUUGAUGUUAAAUAAUGUUAUUACUAGAUGUUGCUACAUGAUGAAUUUGAUUCUCACUAGGUAGCUAUAUAGACUAGUGUUUUCUAGUUGGACUUUUAUUUUCUUGUGAUACUACUUUGUGGCGUGAGUAUAUAUAGCCCAAUUUGAUGAUUUCUUUCACCUAGCGCGAUGAUGUUGACUAUGUUCCCUCUAAGUUAGUUGUAUUAGAUUGAUUUUAGAGAUGUGUUAUAGUAUCGAAGGUAAGUGACCUUCCAUGGUUUUUGUAGAUUUUGAGUAGGCAAUUUAGUUAUGUUUCUUGUUUUUGAGUUUGAAAUCCUUAGACUUGCCUCCUGGUUUUUGAAUGAUUUUAUUUUUGUUAUCCCUUUCGAUAUAACCCAUUUGUGAGAUGGACUAGUUUGAGGUUCGUUCUUUAAUUAUUGUUGUUUUUUCAUCUGAUGGCGAUUUUGAUGUUGAUGUUGAGAUAUCGUGGAUUCAUUUCAUAGGUAUGUUAGGUUCAUUCUCUUAAGAUGGUUUGCCCUUUUGUUAGUACGGAGGUUGGGUACUCCUUUGUUACUGGAUAUGGUUUCAUCUUAAAUGGUGUGAGAGAGCUAGAGGCAGGUGGCCUUUCCUAUGAUCACUUAAGUUGGCAAAUUAGAAACUCUUUAGCUUGAUUUGUUGGUUUUCUGGUUGUGGUCUCGACUUUGCCCUUGGUUUUGAGAUUGGUAUUUCUUUUUUGAUAAUGUUGUUCUUGGGUAGAUUUAGGAAAUCCCCAUUUCAGUAAUUGUUCAGCCUAUUGAUGCUUGGUGGAGUGAUUCUCCUCGAUGAUAUGUGCGUGUGGUUAUAUUGCCUAGAUGGAGUAUUGCAUUUGUUAGUUUCUCGCUUAAGUUUCAUUUCUCCAAGUUUCUACAGCUUUUGCCUUUUUUGGUGUGGUUUUUAGACUUAUAAGGUUUUUGAGUAUGUUUGGAUAGUUCGUACCCUCAAGAGAAUAUGGAGUGGCUUGUAUGCAUUUUUAGACAGUGGUUUUUUCUUUGGCAUGAUUUCUAUUUUACGAUUAUAUUUCAUUACCUCCAAUCAAUAUAGAGUUGGGCGCUUGUGAUUAUUAGUUUGUGUUUAUCCCUAUGGGGAUUUUACUCUCUGGAUAGGUCUCAACUAUAGAUUGGUAUGGUUUAUCUCAAAUAUGUCAAAUUUGAAUACUAGAGUUGAUUUGAGAUAGUUGACAUUAAUAUAGCCUUAUUAGUUCAGUUUUGGAUUUUACACCAUGGAAUGGUAAUUUAGAAGUAUGAUAAAUAUGGAGCAUUAAUUCCUACUUGUUGUUAGUUUGAUUUAGAUAUUUGAGACCAAGCGGUUUAGCCUUGAUAUUUAGAUUUCAGCUUGGUGUUAUAGAGCGUGUAUGCAGUUUUUGUUCUAGACUUGUCCUUGUUCAGAUUUCAUUUAUAAGCUGGUUGAUCCUACUCCGUAGUUACCUAUUUGAUCUAAAAAACUUCGGUUGGAUUAUAGUUGAUAAGUGCUCAGAUGAUAGCCAAUGGCCCCCAUAUUUUUAUUUUAGUUUUUACCUCGACUCUCAGUUUUCUUUGGGAAUUUUGGAUGAUUUACUCAGUGGGAGCAAUAUUCUUGAGUUGGAUUCGGUAUGGCUUCAUUCUUGGUGGAUGAGACAUCCUGGAGUGGAAUAUUCAAUAAUGAGUAGUUAUACCUUGGAUUUUUAAAGUUUAGUUUGGUUUUCACCUAGACUGGUUACAAUAUUAGCAUAGUUUGUAUUUUGUGAUAAUCUCCAAUUGUAUGCUGAGAUAAAGCCUUAUAAGUUUAUUCUUAUGUUUUUCUUUUAGACUUUUAGCAAAUAAACUUCAGUUCUUUGAGUUCUCUAUGAUGAGGUUGUGUAGACGAGACUUAGGUGAUUUUCCUCCUGGUUUGGAGUAGAUAGCAUGUGCAAAACUUGUAAUGGAAUAUUAUUUUUGGCUUUGGAGUCGGUUUCAUGACUUAUGUCUUGGUUUGAUUUUGUAUUGUAUGACCCCUUGUUGAUUUAUAUGAAUAUAGAGAUGGUAUUAAUGUGAUGUGAUUCAGAUAUGUGUGCAUCAACCUUUUCAGUUCAGUUGGAGGACAGUUGGCGGUUGAGUUUAGUUGGAUAUUUUGAAAGUAGAAUGAGAGUGCUGAUUGAAAAAGGCAUACAUACGGCAAAAUCCAUUUCUAGUAUUUUCUCUCUGCUUAGGUUAUCCAGGAAGUCAUACUGGGAGAAUGCGGUCCCAGUAUCUCAACCUUUCGAGCUUUUGAGAUUUUUUCUAACCAUUGACUUUCAGGGAUGAAAGUCCUUUUAGUAGUGGAUAUUGUAAGGACCCUUCAAGUCAUUUUAAACAAUUAUGUCUAUUUCAAUAUUUGAUCUUCUCCAUAUAUUUUCUAAGUCAUUUAUGACUUAUUGGGACUGACAGUUCGGUUAACGGGCAGUUCAUUUGGCUUUUAGAGCCAAUUUCCUAUUUUGAAGUCUUCAUUGGUUCCAAAUGGCCACUGGGAAAAAAUAUUAGUGAAACAAUCUUCGAUGCAAAUUUUGACUGCACCAACAGAUCUGUAAUAUCAAUUUUAGUCUAGGUAGACUUUUGGUUCAGGUCCCAAUGCACUUGAGCUCAUUUUGACCUAUUCGUUGAAUAGUUGAAAAUUUGAAAGAAUGGGUGUGGGACUCACAUUUAUCAAAACAAACUCGGAUGGAAAAUCCAACUUAUCAAUCGCGUUUGGAACAUUGAAUUUAGGCUAGGAAGUCCCUUGGUUCAUGUCCCAAGGUUCUUGAACUUAUUUUGGGCUAUUGAGUGGAUUUUUAUGAAAAAUAAUAUAAAUAUAGAUAUGGGAUCCACUUUUGACCUAAAUGAUCUCCUAUGAAAUUUUUUAUUAUUCCAAUGGAUUUGAUAUGUGGUUAAUACUCAAAAUUCACUAUUGGAUCAUGUUGUUUGGAUUUUGGAUAAGUUCGGAGGGUCAAAAACUUAUUUUUCAAUUUGCUGGCAUCUGGUGCAACCACGAUUGCGGCCAAAAUUGUUCAAUCUUGGGAGCACGAUCACAGCUCUGUGACCACAUUAGUGGCACCUGAGAACCUAUAGGGGCUAUAUAAAGGUUCCAAGAUGCAUUUAGACUAUUUCCCCUUCACCAUUAUGACCUAAAAACCCCAAAAUGAGUGUAAUAACUCAAAAUUGGUCAUGGGAGGCGACUUGGGAGCUUAAUUAUCAUCUUGUAAUGCGAUUAUCAUCAAGAUCAAGGUAAGAAUUCCUUGAAUUCAUGCUUGAAUUUCAUAGUUUGGACCCAAAACCACAAUUUAUCUUAGGGCUUGAUUUUAGCCCAAAGUAUGCUUAGUUUUCACCAUUCUUUAAGUGUUAUGAUUCCUUGUUCAUGUGUGAACAUUGGGUUGGCCUCGAAAACUCAUUUUCUAUAUGUGGGACCUACUUGAGGUUUUGGUGUCAUAUUUGGACUCGAAGCACAAUAGUGCAAUAUGUGUAUCGUUGGGCUCAUAUUGAUGAGUAGAUUAUAGUUUUGUUUGUGUGAUGACACUUUGGGGAUUUUGAAGAAAGGUUGAGCAUAUGGUUGAUGAUUUUGGAUUUUACAUUUCGUCUUUGAGGUAGGCUUCUGUCCACUCUUCUCCAUGGAUGAUGUAUUAUAUAUAUUACGUGUGAAUGUGAAUGUCAAGAUUGAUUUUAGAUAGAAUGACUUAGUAUUGAAUAUAUAUAAGUUUGGGGAUUCGAUGGGGGUUUUGACCCAUAUUUUUAAUUACUUAAAUCCCUUUAAGAAACAUAUUGCCUUUUCCAUAGUAUUGAAUCAUGCUUUCUUUAUUUAGCCUUUUUGGGCUGGUUUGGUAGUCUUGAACCCGUAAGUUGGGUAGAGUUAACUUGAGUACCCUUGUUUCUAGUCAAGUUGCUAUCUUAGGUUUGAAUAUAUCUUAUUUGACAUCUAGAAUAACUAGAUACCUUAGACUAUUUUGUGGCAUAGUAUGACCUAAUUAUGGAAAUUAAGGAUUAGAAGUGGGAUCAUUUGGCCCAGUUAGGCCUUAGUUUGUGUUAAGUCUUGUGGACAUGGUUGCAGAUGUUAAACAUAGAUGAAGCUAGUAAACCUUAGAAUAAGGUUACUUCAUAACUUUCUAACUUGUAUUGACGUUCCCAGACUGUGGCUUUUGAGUUAUGGUUAUGAUACUCCUCCUGGAAGUGAUAGUAGGUAUCAAGAGAUGAUAUUCCUCCUAGAUACGUAAUGUCACCUUUAGAGAUGCUAUUUCCUCUUAGACUUGACAAUUGGCCUAUAGAGAUGCUAUUUCCACUUAGACAUGAUGAUUGGCCUAUAGAGUUGAUAUUUCCUUUAGUCAUGAUUGUUGGACCUAUAGACAUGAUGUUCCUCUUCGUUAUAUAAAUUGGCCUAAAGAAGUGAUAUUUCUCAUAGUCAUGAUAUAUGAUCUAUUCAUAUAAGAUAUCCUAGAGAAGAUUACAUGUUUUUUUAUAUUAUGCCUCUCAUAUGUGAGAUGAUUAGAGAUAGGCUAUGGAUUACAAUUAUGAUUAUUCAUAUGAGUUAUGAAUAUAAAUAUGGGCCUAAGGCCGUGAUUAUGAUGUUGAGAUGAUUUUGGAUAAAUUAAUGGGCGAAGGGCCAUGUUACGACACUUAUUGAAUAUCCGAGAAGUGUCUUUCAACAUAAGGGAUGUGAUUACUGUUUAUGAAUAUGAAUAUGAAUAUGAAUAUGAAUAUGUAUAUAUUUGUAUAUAUAUCUCUCCAGUAUGGGACAGAGAAAGAUGCGAUAUGAUACUUAUUAUUCCACUAAGUGAAUACUGCUGAUGGCAAGCAUAGAUUAGGUACAUUCAUGAUUAUUAUAUCGGUAAUUGAUGUGAUUCUAGUUGAACUACGAUCUUAUGACUGUUCUUCCUAAUUAAAGAUUAAGCUAAGUGGUAGCUAGAUAUUUUUUAGGUGGCUAUAGUACUUGAUGGCUAGAAAUCUAAUGUACUAGUUAAUGAACCUUGCUUAGUUGAGAUAUGGUAACUAGCGAUGAUUGAUACAUGGGUAAUAAUGAUGUUGAAUAGUUGAUAAUAAUGAUUUGUUGGUAAACAGUUUUUAGUUAAUGAAGUAUUUUAGUUAAUAAAGAAUGGUUAGAUGAUAAAUGGUAAAUUGUUGACUAUUAUGAUUAACAAAUAUAGUAUGAUUAGUUGAUAUUAAUGAAUAUUGGAUAAAUGGCGGAUUUGGUGUAGUGAUGAAACUUGACUAUAUGUUAGAUGUUGGCUAUUUAAUAAAUAGGGGUUAGUUUCUAUCCCAUGUGUAAGGAUAAUAUCUAGGCUAAUAACUAAAAGUUAUGUGAUGACUAGUAAACUAUUGAUUCUAUUAUAAUAAGUGUUGGUUAACUAAUAACGAGUAGUUGAGAAGUAUUGAAUAGAUAGAUAUUCUAUGGUGAUAUGAUUAUGUUUAUGAGGAUUUUAGAGUAUACUAUUUGGUAAUGACUAUUAUGAUGAUAUUGAUACCUGGCAAGGCAGGAAGAUAUAUUGUGAUGAUAUUAAUAACCGACAAGGCCAGAGGAUACAUUGUGGUGAUAUUUAUAGCUGGCAAGGCCGAACGAUACUAUUGUGAUGAUGCUUAUACCCGGCAAGGCCAGAGGAUAUAUUGAUGAUAUGUUGAUAACAAGUAAGGUCGUAGGAUCUAUUGAUAAUUAUUGAUACCCGUCAAGGCCAGGGGAUAUAUUAAUGAUAUUUUGAUACCUGGAAAGGCCAAAGGAUAAAUUGACGAUAUGUUGAUACCCAAAAAGGAUGGAGGAUACCAUUUAUGAUGUGUUGAUACCCGACAAGGACGGAGGUUGAUUAAGAUAAUGAUAGUCCUAAUGAGGACAGUUAUGAUGAGUUGUGAUAUUGAUUGUGUACUUUGCGUUCAUUCCAUAAUGUGCAUUGCCUAUCACUAGUAUGUACCUAUAUUUAUCAGCUGCUAUGGGUCAAUUGCAUAGAUAUGGGGGAAGAAUAUGCCUUUUGUUGUUGUAUAUUGAUUGGACCUUUCGAGCCUAGGGUAGUGGGGGUACUCAUAGGCUCAACUAGGUAUUUGGUUGUCUAGAGUAGUCAAAUAUUCACACUAUUAUUGAUAUUAUUGUUAUCAUUGUUAUGAUAAUUGUUUUGUCUAUCUUAUAAUAGAUUGUUCAUUGAUUUGGUAUCGGGGUUUUGGGUAUGCCUUCGGCCUCUCCUAUCUUAUGAUUACAUUAUUAUGCAUAAUUUUUUCAUGUCUAGCCUUGUGUAUUAGAAACCAUGAGUAUAAUAGUAUUUAAAUCCUUAUAGAUUGUAAUGAGGUCUUAAAAUGAGAACAGGAUGAAAUAGGUUAUCCUUUGAGAUGACCUCGUGUUUAUAUGUAUAUAUACCUAUAUAUAUCUAGCUAUAUAAAGCUAUGAUACUAUCGUAUAUCCAUUUCUUCGUUGUUCAUAUUGUAUAGUCGUUUCUUUGCCUUGUAUAUUACUACAUAUCUUUUUUCACUCUUUAUUCAUAUAUUAACAUGGGACAUACGGUAUAGCAUUGAGUAUAUUGAAUGUAGGUAGAAUAAUAUAGUUUACCCUGAUAUUUCUUAGUUUUAUUAUGUUAGACUUUUGGACAUAAACAUGAUAGUUUUUCCUUAUUAUCUCAUUGACCUGUCAUAUGAUUUCUUGACUCUUAGGUGUAGUUUCCAUUAUAUUUAUAUGUUGUAUAUAUCUGCUUAUUAAUUGGAGCUCAGUUGGCAGUUGGUAGUUUGGCACUCAUACUACACUUUAUAGCCAACAGAUCAAAGUAUAGGUUAUUGAUGUUGAUGUGUGAAUCAUUCAGAGCAACCCUAGUUCAGAGACUUAGAGUGAGCUCCUGGCGUUUGGAGUAUUACGUAUCUCUUUCUUAUGUAUUAGACUAGUCUCUAAAUUGUAUUUAGAGAUAAGUUCUAUCAGUGUAUUUCUCUCGAUAUUUCACUUUUAUACUCUUUCUUGUAUUAGAAGCUCUUACAUUGAUACCGCUAGGUUUUUGGAUUCUUCUAUGUAUUGAUCUUUAUGUCAUAUAUUUCGCAUUCUUUUCCUUACAUUAUUGAGUAGUCCAUUACUAGCCGAUCUGGACUACGAGUUGGCUUACCUACUUGUGGGUUAUGGUAGACGUCAUCAUUACUUGAGUAAAUCGGGUCAUGACAGUAUGGAUACGGGUCCAGGGACCCUAGUCGUAUGUUGGUCAGUGUGAUGUUGGCCAAGUUUUGUCCUUGGUACGAAGAGACUCCAUACUAUUUGUAUGUUCAUGGUACUAGAAGUAUAGUACCCAAUCGUAUAUUGUUAAGUGUCUAGCCUGGAUGUCCUACUUAGGGUAUGACUUAAGUGAUACUAGUCAUAUGAUGAUGUUAUGAGUUAGACAAAGGGGGGCGUAUAUUGGACAGAAUAUGGUGUCCAACUUUCUUAUCUAGUUAUGAGUUGAGGGUACCACUCGUAUGAGGAGGAUACAAAUUGAGGGGUCCAAUUGUGCCUUAUCAGUUUUUUUUAUAGCUUUUAAGCUGAGGGUAUUUUGGACAAUUCCCACGCAAAAAACUUAAGACCCCGCAUCUUAUAACACUAUUUGGUCCCCCAUUCUACACUUUAGAAGAUCAAAACACUCUCUAAAAACCUCUUAAGAAGAUUGAGCUAGGGUUUCUUUAAGGUGGUCAUCUAGAGGCUUAAGGAUUAAUGUCUCUCUGUGAAUCUUUGUGACUAAGGCAUGUUACUCCUCCCUCAUUAUUAGUUCAACUAAAGGCAGGUUUUAAUAGAUGGUAUUCUUGUUGUAAUAUUUGGGUUUUGAAUAUAUGCUAGGGGGUUUGGUUGUUCUUGGUUGGAUAAUGUUUUCCCAUGUUUUUUUUAUUGUUUUCAUGUUAUAAUUAUGGUUUGAAUAUGUGGCUGCAUGGGAAUGGUCAAUUGAUACAUGGUUUCGGUUUUGGAAAUCUUAUGCCCUCAACAUGUUUGUUAAAAUGCCUAUGAGAAUGAUUUUGUCACAUAGUUUGACUAUUAUUGAAAACUUUGCAUUGCAUAGUAUGGUAAUGGAACCUAAAUUGGUUUGGUUGAUUUCUAAUGAUUUUGAAAGCACUUGGUAGCCAUGGAUUUGGUUUAAUUGGAAAUCUUUUUGGGUACAUGAAAAUCCCCUAAGUGUUGGCUAGUGACAUUCUUUGUAACCUAUAGUCGGUAUGACAAGACCGCUUUAUAAUGCUAUGAUAAUUGACUCUUGGAAUUAGUGGUUUGAUUAUGAACUAAAUAUUUUAAUUGGGCAAUAAUGGUAGGUUGUAAUAGCUAACAUGAAGGUGUGAGUCCAAAUGAUGGACACUAGAAACUCAUGUUUACCGACAUGAGAGUUCGUUAUGGUGACCAUAUACUUGUUGGGUACACGGGUGUAACACCCCGUACUUAAUUACGUGCAUUAGUCAUUGUUAUAUGUGUUGGAGUAUAUGUAUUGAUCCUAAGUUAGGUAUAUAUGAGUUUAAGUAUGAGUAUUGAUUAUUUUGAGAUGGUUUCAAGUGUAUAGUUUGAUUAUAUGUGUAUAGGAAUCGACUUUAUUUAUACCGGAAUUUUCCCGUCGAUGGUUCCAUACGAAGGUUAUUGAAUAAGCUUUCCAACGAUAUAAGGAUGUAACACCCCGUACUUAAUUACGUGCAUUAGUCAUUGUUAUAUGUGUUGGAGUAUAUGUAUUGAUCCUAAGUUAGGUAUAUAUGAGUUUAAGUAUGAGUAUUGAUUAUUUUGAGAUGGUUUCAAGUGUAUAGUUUGAUUAUAUGUGUAUAGGAAUCGACUUUAUUUAUACCGGAAUUUUCCCGUCGAUGGUUCCAUACGAAGGUUAUUGAAUAAGCUUUCCAACGAUAUAAAGAUUUCCAAAAACGGAUAAGUUUCGGAUAUAAGCGAGCUCGUUCGAAACUUUAAAACGGUGGCCGGGAUGUGAACAGUAAAAUGUGCAGGAAACUACUGAGGCCUGCCAGUUUUUUGGGUCAACUUUGAACGAUCAUAACUCCCUCAAUAUAAUGAACUGGUUGAGCUACCAUAUAUCAAAAGAAAGAUCUUUGAGUCUUCUUUCCAAUGAAAUUGGUUUCAUCCAAAUCCAACAUCUGAGUAAGGAGUUAUACUCGUUUUACUUCAGCCUCUCAAAACAGAUUUUUAGGGUCAACUUCAAACGAUCAUAACUACUUGUACAGGACGAACUGGGUGGAUUAAUUUAUAUUAAAUGAAAGACCUUUGAAUUAUCUUUCUAACGAUACCAAUUUCACCCAAAUCCGAUAUCGGAGCAAAGAGUUAUGGCCGAUUUACUUUAGCCUAUCAAAACAGUCCACCAUGGACAGAUUCGGAUUUACUUAAAUUUUUAAGGGCAAUAUGGUCAUUUUCCAUCACCUCAUGGACGAAAAUUGGUCAUUAUAUACAUAUACUUAGCCUUAUAUCCACCAUUUAUCAUCCAAAUCAUUGAAGAAUAAGAAACCCUAGCCUAAGUUCAACUCCAAUUAUCUUGUGAUUCAACCGUAGAAAAUCCAAAUUGAUUCCGUAGUUGUGUUCACCGUCUCAAGGGCUUCGAGAAGCACCCCUUAUUUGUGCCAACAGGACUUCGAAAUCAAAAGGGCCAUUUUUUUUGGUAAGGAUGUAAAUUAUGUUGGUGUUAUUUAUAUGGAUAUGUAUAUAUAUAUAUAUAUGCAUGUGAGCAUAAGAAGUAUGUUAUUUGAUUGUUGUUGAAAGAUGAUUGGAAAUGAUGUUGGAUUAUUCUUGUGCAUGGUUGGAUUAUGUUAAAUUGUGAAGGAAUUUGGGGUGAUGAUGUGGUAUUGAUGAUGUGGUAUUGAGAUGAUGAUUAUAUACAUAUACACACAUAAACCUAUUGUUCAAGUUGGUUUUUGGAAUGUUUUGCAAAUAUUGGUAGUAUGGAAUUAUGGAAGAGAAUUGUGGUGUUGGGUUGCUAAUACUAGAUGCCAAACAUUUCAUUGUAGAUAAGUGAUUUGUAAAGGCGGGAAGUUGUGUUGAAUUGGUAUCUGAAUCUACAACGAGGUAUGUAAAGCAUACUCUAACAAUGUUCUUUGGCAUGAAAACACCAAUGUUCCAUCAAGUAAGAUUCCGAGGUUGUCCAAAAACAUGUAUUGUUCUACGUUACCAACGAAGUUGUUUCCAUCCUAUAAAGUGUCAAAAUGUUCAUUGAUAUACCAAAAGGCUCUUAUUUCAUUGUUGUGAUAUUGAUGAUUCUGAAACAUAUUGUUGAUGUACCAAUGAGUCCUUAUUACAUCGUUAUUGUAUAGAAGGUCUAUUACUUGGUUCCUAUUGAUGUAUCAUUGUUUCAAGGUAUCAAAAAUGUGGUGACGACCGAAAUAACAAUCUCAAAGAUUAAUUGAACUAAGUGAUGAAAGUUCUCUCUUAUCGGGUGGUAUCCCAGGGGCAUAAGCCUAGCAUGGGUCGAUCCCUAUUUCAUGUGUUUAUGGGUGGUAUCCCAGGGGCAUAAGCCUAGCAUGGGUCGAUCCCAGUUGAUAUGUACUGGAGGCAUCCUAAUGGUCACAGUACAGUACAGUAAUGAUUACAAAGACGAUAAGAACGAAGGUAAAGUGAUUGAAUAAAUACAAUGUACAGGUUGUCACAAGUUCUAGUAAGUGUGGUCCACUCCUAUUACGACUUAUUCACUUGUUUCUGAUUUCUAUUGAGCUCCUAUAUCAUAUGUGAUUAUUUACAGCUUUACAUACUCAGUACAUAUUUCGUACUGACGUCCCUCACGGGGGACCUGCAUUUCAUGCUGCAGGCACAGGUACCUCAACUCAUACACCGCACAAGUAGGAGCCAGGUCAUACAGCUAUUGUUGGUGAGCUCCAGUUUGCUUCGGAGCUUUCCGAGUCGGUUCCUUAUGUUUUGUUAUUGUACAUGAGUCACGUGUGGGCGGGGGUUUGUCCCGACCCUAGUUAUGUCAUGUAUAUCCUAGAGGCUUUGUAGACAUAAGGAAGGGUAAAGUCAUGGAAGUUUAUAUAGUAACGUUAUAUUUGUAUAUGUGGUGGCCCCGACGGCCAAGUAUUAUAUAUAUAUAUUUGUGCGUGUUGUGCUGAUACAGGUAAUUAGACCUUUCUAUAUGCAACGAAGUGCUGUCCAAUUUUUUUGGUGACAUGUAAGUGAAAGUACAGGUAUUUGAACGGGUUCUCCCGGGCCUUCUCGGCUUCGGGUGCCAGUCCGGCCCGAUGGGAUUUUGGGGCGUGACACAAGUGAUCAAAAAUCCACUAUGGUAUGAUGACACAUUUUUUAAAGACAAAACUCUCUUCUUAAAAGAUGAUAGUUUGUCAAUUGGAGGGGUUAGUGGUCCAAAAGAAGGGGGUGUAUGUUCUCCAAUGACCUAUUCAUUCUUGUGUGAACCCAUGCUUGAUCAAGGGCUUAAUGCUUGUAGAUCAAAGGGUGAUUCUAUAUGUGGGCACACCUUAAAUAAACUUUAUUUAAGUAACACCUUUCUAUACCACUUUUUUUGCAUAUGAUGAUACUCUUUCCUUUGAGUGGAGUAUGUUAUGUGAGAGUAGAGUGUCAAUGGGGCAAAUAGGUGUAUGAUUUUACCCAUGUUUAUGGAUUGCCUUUUCCUUUUGUCCUGGUAAUGAUUUGAAUAGUGGCGUUUGUGAUAAAAUACUUGGUUCAAAUGACAAGAAAGUUGUGGGUGAGGUUGUUGGCUUGCGUGGUGGUAAGUAUAGUAGUAACAUAUUUUUUCUCUCAUAUGAUUAUUGCUUGGUGUUAUUACUUGAUCUUAUAUGUUUAAUAAGAUAUAUUUGCCAAAUUAUGUAGAGAAUACCUUCGUAUUUAAUCUCCAAUGAUGAAUUAGGAGUAAUUCUAUUCUUUAAGAUAGUUAGUGCAUUGGAUAGAGUAUUGACUUGGAAUGACCUCAUUUAUGACAUGAAACAUAGUUAUAUGGGUUAUCAUGUGUUACAUGACUUAAAGGGAGAUUUUUUUUUCUAAAUUUAGAACCAUUGAGGACUUGUAUCAGUGGUUGCCUAAACACCAUGGUUCUUUUGAUUUGCCCCUUUGUCAAUGUUUCCUAUGUAGCCAAGUAUAUCAAUUUUUGUUGGGUGACAAACCAUUUAUGACUCAUUUUUUUGCUUGGUUAUAUGUUAAAUGUGUACACCCUUGGCAUGGCCAUAAAUUUGUUAUUGAUAAUCCUUGUGUUAAACCUCAUGCUACGAUGAUAUGUUUGUUGUUUUUCCUUCUCAUUUUUUAAAAAAGUUUGGAUUCGUGGAUGAAUUCUUUUGAUGAAGUGGAUCAUGAUUAGCUUGGAACAUAUUAGGAGGGUCUUCCAUGUAUGGAUGAUAUCUUGGAGUUUGAAGGAAGGCAUGAAGAAAUAGAUACAUAAGGUCAUUGGCAAUCAAGAUGCCAUUUGGCCAAUUAAGAAGGUCCCUUGUGAGUUAUUUGUAAAAUGGUCACAUUAGGGAGAUUUUUGUAAUAGACUUUUUCUGUAAAGGCACUGACUAUAAAUAGUUUCUUUAUCCAUUUUCAUCACUUAGAUUUGGAAAAGUGAAUUGUCUUGAAUAGAAUUGAUAUUUAGUUAUUCGAUAUUAGGGCAGUAAUUGGGUUCAAUUUCAAUUGUUAGCUUAGAUUGAGUGAUUAGGGUGUCUUUCUAAAUUGUUUGUGUUAUCUUCUUCACUUGAUUUAUCAUUAAGUUAUCAUAUUAUGGAUUCAAUCUGGUUUCUCGUCCAUUUGAUUAAGUUCUCUAUUUUUCUUAGCUUAAUUAUUAUUUGAUUAAGUCUUUCUUUCAGCACUUCUAUAAUACCCCAUAUUAUUAUUAGGUCAGUUCAUCUUCUAGUUGUAUGCAUAAGGGGCUUAAGGCCUAAAAAUUUCACUAAGUGUUGGGGAAUUAGUCAUUUAUAAGUCCUCUUAACUUCGAGGAUUUUUCGAUUGGUCUUCCCGAUCCUAAGGUGUUGGUUUUUGAGUUAAUUCAUAUUCAGGGAUGUAAGGAGCAUGUCUUAGAGAAGUUUCAAAUUUUUUGAAUGAGGUUUCGGUCAUGUUUGGAUCACAAAUCCAGAAAGUCACUGCGAUACGGCUGCGUCGCUUUAAUAUUUCCAUUUGCAUGCUCACUGCGUUGCGGUAAGGGAAAUGGAUGACUUCAAUUAGACCGCGUUGCGGUAAGUAUGUUAUGCCCAGUUAUGAAUUUAAUUGCCUGAGGGGAAAUUGUGUCUGUUCCCCUCAACCCAAAUCAUGCAUAACACGAAUUGAGACAUCAUUUAGAGCAUUAUUUGCCCUUCUUCUCUAAAUCCAUCUCAAGAAAACCCUUCCCACUUUCUCAAAAUCACCAAUUUCAAUUUUUUUCUCCCUAAAAAACCAAGGAACUCAAGCUUCAAAUUCAAGAAACCCUCAAGAAAUCUUCAAGAAAUCAUCUAUUAAGGUAUGUGGAUGUUCAUUCAUGGGUUUCUUUCAAGGUAUCAUUUGGGCGCAUGUCGGCUGGGGACCAAUGUUUGCUUUUGGUGCGGUAUGUCGGGGCAUAUGAUGAGGGAAUGCCCACGAAGGGACAUAGGGGGUAUGGCACGACCUACGGGGUCAUUUGUUGCAUCAUCAUCAUCGAUGCCUUAUUCAGGAAGGGGUGCACAGCCAAUGGGUCGUGUUAGAGGUGAUAGAGGAGCCACGAGUUCUAGCGGGGCUCAAAAUCGUACGUAUGCUCUAGCAGAUCGACAGAAUUUAGAGGCUUCUCCAGAUGUGGUUACGGGUAUGUUGGCUAUAUUUUCAUUCAAUUUAUAUGCCUUAAUUGAUCCCGGUUCUACAUUAUCUUAUGUUACUCCAUUGGUUGCUGGAAAGUUCGAAAGAAUACCCGAACUGUUAGUUAAGCCAUUUGAAGUGUCCACACCGGUCGGGGAAUCUAUUAUAGCUAGAAGGGUUUAUCGAAACUGCAUAGUAACUGUUUGUGGUCGUGAUACGAUGGCUGAUCUUGUGGAGUUAGAAAUGGUAGAUUUUGAUGUUAUAAUGGGUAUGGACUGGUUGGCGUCUUGUUAUGCCACAAUUGAUUGCUGCACGAAAAAGGUAUAUUUCCAUUUUCCAAAUGAAUCAGUCCUUGAAUGGAAAGGUGAAAUUAGCGUGCCAAGAGGUAGAUUUAUUUCUUAUUUUAAGGCGAGAAGAAUGAUUUCCAAGGGAUAUAUAUAUCAUUUAGUUAGAGUAAGGGAUACAGAAGCGGAGCCACCAACUCUUCACGCUGUUCCGGUGGUAAAUGAAUUUUCUGAUGUAUUUCCUGAAGAUCUUCCAGGUUUGCCUCCUGAACGAGAAGUAGAGUUUGGUAUUGAUGUAAUACCAGGCACCCAACCAAUCUCCAUUCCUCCGUAUAGAAUGGCCCCAGCAGAAUUACGAGAAUUGAAAGAGCAAUUGAAAGAUUUGCUAGAAAAGGGGUUCAUUAGGCCUAGUAUUUCCCCUUGGGGAGCACCAGUGUUAUUUGUACGCAAAAAGGAUGGCUCGCUGAGGAUGUGUAUUGAUUAUCGGCAAUUGAAUAAGGUGACUAUUAAGAAUAAAUAUCCUCUCCCAAGAAUUGAUGAUUUAUUUGAUCAGUUACAGGGCGCCAAGUGCUUUUCUAAGAUUGAUUUGAGGUCAGGUUACCACCAAGUGAGGGUCAAAGAAAAAGAUAUACCCAAAACAGCUUUCCGAACAAGGUAUGGUCAUUAUGAGUUUCUAGUUAUGUCAUUUGGGCUAACAAAUGCACCCGCAGCUUUUAUGGAUUUGAUGAAUAGGGUUUUUAAGCCAUUCCUGGAUGUAUUUGUGAUAGUUUUUAUAGAUGAUAUUCUAGUUUAUUCUAGAUCAGAAGAGGACCAUGCCAAUCACUUACGACAGGCAUUGCAGACUCUUCGUGAUUGUAAGCUUUAUGCAAAGUUCUCUAAAUGUGAGUUUUGGUUAAAGUCGGUGGCAUUUUUGGGUCAUAUUGUAUCUAGUGAAGGGAUAAAGGUUGAUGCUCAAAAGAUAGAGGCUGUGAAGAACUGGCCAAGGCCCACAACGCCUACGGAGAUUCGUAGUUUUCUUGGGUUGGCCGGUUAUUAUAGAAGGUUUGUCAAAGACUUUUCUUCCAUUUCAGCACCCUUAACCAAGCUAACCCAUAAAGCAUCCAAAUUCCAAUGGAAUGAUGCCUGUGAGAAGAGUUUUCAAGAUUUAAAGAACAAGUUGAUUUCUACACCCGUGUUGGUACUACCAGAAGGCACCGAAGGGUAUACAGUGUAUUGUGAUGCUUCCAGAAUUGGUUUAGGAUGUGUAUUGAUGCAGCAUGGUAAGGUAAUAGCAUAUGCUUCUAGACAAUUACGGCCACAUGAGAAAAAUUAUCCUACACACGAUCUUGAGCUGGCAGCGGUUAUUUUUGCUUUAAAGAUAUGGCGCCACUACUUAUAUGGGGUUCACGUUGAUAUAUAUACUGACCAUAAGAGCUUGCAAUAUAUUUUUAAUCAGAAGGAUCUAAAUUUAAGGCAGCGGAGAUGGCUUGAACUAUUAAAGGACUAUGAUGUUGAUAUCUUGUACCAUCCAGGGAAAGCAAAUGUGGUAGCUGAUGCGUUAAGUCGUAAGGCUAUGAUGGCGCCUAUAGAAAGGCAAGGGAUGGUUAAAGAUCUUCACCAGUUAGCUAGUUUGGGAGUUCGCCUUCUUGAAACUCCGAAUAAAGAGCUUAUCGUACAUAAUGCUGCGGAAUCUUCAUUAGUAGCUGAAGUGAAAGAGAAGCAAUAUGCAGAUCCUAUUUUAUUACAUCUUAAGGAGAACGUUCAGAGUGGUGCGACCAAGGCAUUUGAGCUUACGCGAGAAGGAGUACUUCAGUGCCAAAACCGAUUGUGUGUGCCGGAUAUAGACGGGCUAAGAAAGAAGAUUAUGACAGAGGCACAUUUUUCAAGGUAUUCCAUUCAUCCAGGAUCAACCAAAAUGUAUCAAGAUUUGAAAGAUAUGUAUUGGUGGAAUGACAUGAAGAAGAGCAUUGCAGAAUUUGUAGCUGAAUGUCCAAAUUGUCAAAGAGUUAAAGUUGAGCACCAAAAACCCGGAGGCUAUAUGCAAUGCAUAGAUCUUCCAAUUUGGAAGUGGGACAUGAUCAACAUGGAUUUUGUUACAGGUUUGCCUCGUACAGCUCGAAAAUUUGAUUCUAUAUGGGUGAUUGUGGAUAGGCUUACUAAAUCCGCACAUUUCUUACCCGUUAAGACCACUUACACAGUUGAAGAAUAUUCGAAGCUGUAUGUUAAAGAAAUAGUCCGAUUACAUGGAGUGCCAACUUCUAUUAUAUCGGAUCGGGGAACUCAAUUUACUGCAAACUUUUGGAAGUCUUUCCAACGGGGUUUGGGAACACAAGUGAAUCUGAGUACAGCUUUUCACCCUCAGACGGAUGGACAAGCAGAGCGCACCAUUCAAACACUUGAAGAUAUGCUACGAGCAUGUGUUAUAGAUUUUAAAGGCAGCUGGGAUGAUCAUUUACCUCUUAUUGAGUUUGCCUACAAUAAUAGCUAUCAUUCAAGUAUCAAAAUGGCACCAUAUGAAGCUUUAUAUGGGAGAAAGUGUAGAUCACCAAUAGGAUGGUUCGAAGCGGGUGAAACUCUUAUGUUCGGACCGGAUCUUGUGUAUCAAGCCAUAGAAAAAGUCAAGGUGAUACAACAACGGCUAAAAACAGCCCAAAGUCGUCAUAAAUCAUAUGCAGAUAUUCGGAGAAGAGGGCUGGAAUUCUCUAUUGGAGAUUGGGUAUUUUUAAAGGUAUCACCAAUGAAAGGGGUUAUGAGAUUUGGUAAAAAAGGGAAACUAAGCCCACGUUACAUAGGGCCAUAUAAGAUUACCAAGAGGGUCGGACAAGUUGCAUAUGAAUUAGAGCUACCCCAGGAACUUUCAAUGGUUCAUCCAGUGUUUCAUGUGUCAAUGCUUCGAAAAUGCAUAGGUGACCCCUCUCGUAUCACUCCUAUAGAAGAUGUACAGGUCACAGAGGAUCUUACUUAUGAAGAGGUACCGGUUGCUAUUCUAGAUCGCCAAGUUAAAAAGUUAAGGAACAAAGAAAUGGCAUCAGUAAAGGUACUUUGGAGAAAUCAACAAAGGGAAGAGAUUACAUGGGAAGCUGAGGAAGCAAUGAAAUCUAAGUACCCUCAUUUGUUCAAAGAUGAAGAGGAAGUUCAAGAAACGGAGUUAGAACAUUAACAAGUAAGUUUUUGUUUAUAUAUGCAUAGUAUUUAUGUGAUGAUGUGAAUGUUAAUGGUGGACUUGAACUUGUUUCGGCUAAAUAACUACAUUCACAUUCGAGGACGAAUGUCCUUAAGGGGGGAAGGAUGUAACACCCCGUACUUAAUUACGUGCAUUAGUCAUUGUUAUAUGUGUUGGGGUAUAUGUAUUGAUCCUAAGUUAGGUAUAUAUGAGUUUAAGUAUGAGUAUUGAUUAUUUUGAGAUGGUUUCAAGUGUAUAGUUUGAUUAUAGGUGUAUAGGAAUCGACUUUAUUUAUAUCGGAAUUUUCCCGUCGAUGGUUCCAUACGAAGGUUAUUGAAUAAGCUUUCCAACGAUAUAAAGAUUUCCAAAAACGGAUAAGUUUCGGAUAUAAGCGAGCUCGUUCGAAACUUUAAAACGGUGGCCGGGAUGUGAACAGUAAAAUGUGCAGGAAACUACUGAGGCCUGCCAGUUUUUUGGGUCAACUUUGAACGAUCAUAACUCCCUCAAUAUAAUGAACUGGUUGAGCUACCAUAUAUCAAAAGAAAGAUCUUUGAGUCUUCUUUCCAAUGAAAUUGGUUUCAUCCAAAUCCAACAUCUGAGUAAGGAGUUAUACUCGUUUUACUUCAGCCUCUCAAAACAGAUUUUUAGGGUCAACUUCAAACGAUCAUAACUACUUGUACAGGACGAACUGGGUGGAUUAAUUUAUAUUAAAUGAAAUACCUUUGAAUUAUCUUUCUAACGAUACCAAUUUCACCCAAAUCCGAUAUCGGAGCAAAGAGUUAUGGCCGAUUUACUUUAGCCUAUCAAAACAGUCCACCAUGGACAGAUUCGGAUUUACUUAAAUUUUUAAGGGCAAUAUGGUCAUUUUCCAUCACCUCAUGGACGAAAAUUGGUCAUUAUAUACAUAUACUUAGCCUUAUAUCCACCAUUUAUCAUCCAAAUCAUUGAAGAAUAAGAAACCCUAGCCUAAGUUCAACUCCAAUUAUCUUGUGAUUCAACCGUAGAAAAUCCAAAUUGAUUCCGUAGUUGUGUUCACCGUCUCAAGGGCUUCGAGAAGCACCCCUUAUUUGUGCCAACAGGACUUCGAAAUCAAAAGGGCCAUUUUUUUUGGUAAGGAUGUAAAUUAUGUUGGUGUUAUUUAUAUGGAUAUGUAUAUAUAUAUAUAUAUGCAUGUGAGCAUAAGAAGUAUGUUAUUUGAUUGUUGUUGAAAGAUGAUUGGAAAUGAUGUUGGAUUAUUCUUGUGCAUGGUUGGAUUAUGUUAAAUUGUGAAGGAAUUUGGGGUGAUGAUGUGGUAUUGAUGAUGUGGUAUUGAGAUGAUGAUUAUAUACAUAUACACACAUAAACCUAUUGUUCAAGUUGGUUUUUGGAAUGUUUUGCAAAUAUUGGUAGUAUGGAAUUAUGGAAGAGAAUUGUGGUGUUGGGUUGCUAAUACUAGAUGCCAAACAUUUCAUUGUAGAUAAGUGAUUUGUAAAGGCGGGAAGUUGUGUUGAAUUGGUAUCUGAAUCUACAACGAGGUAUGUAAAGCAUACUCUAACAAUGUUCUUUGGCAUGAAAACACCAAUGUUCCAUCAAGUAAGAUUCCGAGGUUGUCCAAAAACAUGUAUUGUUCUACGUUACCAACGAAGUUGUUUCCAUUCUAUAAAGUGUCAAAAUGUUUCAUUGAUAUACCAAAAGGCUCUUAUUUCAUUGUUGUGAUAUUGAUGAUUCUGAAACACAUUGUUGAUGUACCAAUGAGUCUUUAUUACAUCGUUAUUGUAUAGAAGGUCUAUUACUUGGUUCCUAUUGAUGUAUCAUUGUUUCAAGGUAUCAAAAAUGUGGUGACGACCGAAAUAACAAUCUCAAAGAUUAAUUGAACUAAGUGAUGAAAGUUCUCUCUUAUCGGGUGGUAUCCCAGGGGCAUAAGCCUAGCAUGGGUCGAUCCCUAUUUCAUGUGUUUAUGGGUGGUAUCCCAGGGGCAUAAGCCUAGCAUGGGUCGAUCCCAGUUGAUAUGUACUGGAGGCAUCCUAAUGGUCACAGUACAGUACAGUAAUGAUUACAAAGACGAUAAGAACGAAGGUAAAGUGAUUGAAUAAAUACAAUGUACAGGUUGUCACAAGUUCUAGUAAGUGUGGUCCACUCCUAUUACGACUUAUUCACUUGUUUCUGAUUUCUAUUGAGCUCCUAUAUCAUAUGUGAUUAUUUACAGCUUUACAUACUCAGUACAUAUUUCGUACUGACGUCCCUCACGGGGGACCUGCAUUUCAUGCUGCAGGCACAGGUACCUCAACUCAUACACCGCACAAGUAGGAGCCAGGUCAUACAGCUAUUGUUGGUGAGCUCCAGUUUGCUUCGGAGCUUUCCGAGUCGGUUCCUUAUGUUUUGUUAUUGUACAUGAGUCACGUGUGGGCGGGGGUUUGUCCCGACCCUAGUUAUGUCAUGUAUAUCCUAGAGGCUUUGUAGACAUAAGGAAGGGUAAAGUCAUGGAAGUUUAUAUAGUAACGUUAUAUUUGUAUAUGUGGUGGCCCCGACGGCCAAGUAUUAUAUAUAUAUAUUUGUGCGUGUUGUGCUGAUACAGGUAAUUAGACCUUUCUAUAUGCAACGAAGUGCUGUCCAAUUUUUUUGGUGACAUGUAAGUGAAAGUACAGGUAUUUGAACGGGUUCUCCCGGGCCUUCUCGGCUUCGGGUGCCAGUCCGGCCCGAUGGGAUUUUGGGGCGUGACAACGGGAAUCCCCCAAGUUAUACUUGUAUAUAUGCAUCAUGUAGGGAAAAGUGUACACGGGAAUCCUUGGCCCUUAUGAUAUCUCUGGUUCAUGCAGCUACAUGCACUGGCAGGGGGUAACAUUAGACCCAUAUAUCCUAUGGGUGGAUUAUGAUGGUAAAGCUAUAUAACCCAGGUUAAAGGUUGUAAAAGUAUGCUAAACCAGGUUUUAUUUCCCGGUAUGGUAUAUAUAUACAUGCAUGUAUGUGAUUACAUGUGGUUAUUUACUAUGGUUUUAUAUAAUGACAUUACUUUAUCCUUAUUCCUAAAUAUAUGUUAGCGUUCAUUCUGCUAACCUUCUUCAGGCAUUGUAUCCCCACGCAAUGCAGGAACUGACCAUACUACUCCUUCGACUUAGUGACUUGGAUUCGAGGAUAGAUUAGAGUCCAUUAAAGUGGUGAGAUUCCAUACUCUGCAAGAGUCUAUUCCAUGCUAUGGACCUUCUUUACAUUAUUUUGUUUCUUGGACUUUGGUUUUGUCUAUAGUCGUGGGCAUAUCCAAACCAAAUGUUCUUUGUUAUCGGUUAGAGGCUUUGUAGGACUAUUUUACGAAUGGACGGUGUCGGUUUUUGGUGUCAUACCUGGUAUUGGUAUUGGCAUUGGGGUUUGCUCCAGUUGGAUAUUUGAUUGAGGUUGAUGGAUUAUGGUUAUAGAUUGUAUUUAAUGUGUUUGAAUAAUUCUUGUUCUAUCUUGUUAUAUAUUCAAAAUUCAUCCAACAUGGGUUGUAUGGAAGUUAUGGUUCAAUUUUGGGGGUGUUUUCCGAUCCCAGUUGGACUUGAGGAAUCCAACAUGAAUAGGCCCUAGUUCAGCUUAUGUCAGAUUAGUAUCAGAGCCAUAGGUUCAAGGUCAAUAUGGAGUCCAUAAAGUCAUCUUAAGUAGAGUCUCUUUUAAGGGUGUGUAGCGUGCCAUACUCAUAAGGGAGGGGCUAUGAGGAAAGUAGGAAUUUUUCUCCUUCUUGUGUUCUAUUUUUAAGAUGUAGAAUCUAAGGUCAUGAAUUCUUCUUUAAUUCAUGUUUGUUCGCUUUUUAGAUUCUACCCCCUUGAUGAUUUGAAGCUCAUAGAAACUCUUUUGUCCUAGCAAAGGACAAUAUUGAUAGGACUCGUCCUACUUAUGGGGUCUAGACCUAGUCUAGGGAUCCAGUUCAUGAUUGCCCUUCUGGAGUUCCACUGGCUCCCUCCAUUCCUCCUUGAUCUCCUUAUAUUUAUGUGAAGAGUGUUGAGUUCCAUCAACUUAUUCAUAUGUUGUCAUAGUUGGUAUCUUCUCAGUCUAAGUCGUGUGUUCCAGUUACUCCUUCUUCUAAGGUCACAAGGGUUGGCCAGUUCAUAAGGUUUAAUCCUCUAAACUUCAUCGGUGUUAAUGUAGAGGGGGGUCCUUGAGGUUUUCUUGAUGAGAUAGAAAAGAUCUUUCACGUUAUGUAUGCCACUAAUAUGAAAGAUGUGGAGUUUUCCACCUACCAGCUGAAAAACAUGGUAUACCAAUGGUACGAGGAAUAGGAUCAGACUAGGGGUAAUGGUGCUUAUAUAACUAUAUGGGAGGAUUUCUCUAAUGCUUUCCUGGACUAUUUCUUUCCUUGGGAGUUAAGGGAAUAGUGGGUAAAAGAGUUUAUAAAUUGGAAGUAAGGCAAAAUGCCAGUCAAGUAAUAUGCCUUGAAGUUCCACCAGUUAUCGCAAUAUGCUUUGGAGUUGGUUGCUAGCAUAAGGCCUAAAAUAAGAAAUUUCAAUUUUGGUUUGUCCCGAGAAUUGAUCUUAGAUAGUAAGGUUGGCUUGUUAAACAAGUACAUAUAUAUGUCAAGGUUGGUGGUAUACAUGCAGCAGGUUGAGGAAGAGAAGAAAAAGCAGGCUAAUAUAGGGGAAAGACAGGGAAAGAAUUGUAGGUUCUCUAAGCAGGGUGGUAACCAAAAAUAAAGUGGCGGGAGGGUUGAAGGUAUCCCAAAAAGAAGCGGGGAAACUCAAUGUAUUACUUGACGGCUAGUGCUCCCUACCUAAAGCCAUCGGGUGAUAGGCGUUUUCAAGGUGGCCAAAAUGUCAAGGCAUAAGGAGCCCAAUCUUAGGCUAGUGGGUCCCAAUCAGCUCAAUUAUAUCUACCCUAUGGGUUUUGUAGUAGAUUGCAUCAAGGUUUUUGUGAUGAGAGAAGGGACAAGUGCUUCAACUAUGAUUAGCUAGGGCAGAUGCUUAGAAACUAUCAUGUUAGUAAGGUUACCUCUAGGGCAAACAAGGUUCAAGUUUCCUCUUCUUCAGCUCUGACACCAAAGGGUGCACCAUCUGGCUCUAGCAAUGGUCGAAAUCGUAUCUAUGCUCUUACUACCCACCAAGAGUUUGAGGCAUCGCCUUAUGUCAUGAAGGGUAUAUUGAAACUCUUUUCCCAUAAUGUGUACUGUUUACUUAAUCCAGGGUCCACUCUCCCUUACAUGACACCAUUUGUGGCUAUGCAUUUUGGUUUUGUUCUUGAGUGUGUUUUGAAACUUUUUUCUGUUUCUAACCCAAUAGGUGACUCUGUGAUUCCUAGAAGAGUCUAUAGGGGGUGUGGUAUUUAUUCAUAGUAAAGAAACUGCGGUGGAUCUGUUUGAAUUAGAUAUAGUGGAUUUUGACGUCAUAUUAAGGAAGCAUUGGUUUCACUUAUGCUAUGCUUCUAUAGACUAUCAUACCAAUAAGGUCAUCUAUAAAUUUCCUAAUAAAUUGUUUAUUGAGUAGAAGGGUAUUUCCAAAACUCGAAAGGGGAAUUUCAUAUCUUAUAUUAGAGCUCAGAGAUUAAUCUCCAAGAGGUGUCUUUACCAUCUAGUCUAGGUUGAAGAUUCUAAGUCAGAGGGUCCUUCCUCGCAUUCUAUCCUUGUGAAUGAAUUUCCAAAGGUCUUUCCUGAUGAUUUUCUUGGCGUUCCCCCAAAUAUGGAGAUUAAGUUUGGGAUUGAUCUUAUUCUGAACACCUAUCCAAUUUCUAUUCCUCCAUAUAGAAUGGCUCCAGCUGAGUUAGAAGAGCUUAAAGAGCAACUAAAGGAUCUAUUAGACAAGGGUUUCAUCCAUUCUAUUGUGUCCCUAUGGGGUGCACCGAUAUUAUUCAUGUGUAAUAAGGAUAGUCCCCUUCAUAUGUGUACUAAUUACCAGUAGUUGAAAAAGUGAUGGUAAAAAAUAAGUACCCUCUUCCAAGGAUAAAUGACUUGUUUGAUCAGUUUCAGGGGGCUAAGUUUUUCUCCAAAAUUGAUCUUAGAUCCGGGUACCAUCCAAUAAAGAUUAGGGAGGUGGAUAUCCCUAAGACUGCCUUCCAUACUUGGUAUGGGCUUUUGAGUUUCUGGUUAUGUCUUUUGGGUUUACCAAUUCCCCGAUAGCAUUUGUCUAUUUGAUGAAUAGGGCCUUCCAUCAGUUCCUGGACUUGUUCUUCAAUAUUAUCAUAGAUGAUAUUGUAGUAUACUCUAAAAUCGAGGUGGAUCAUGCGAAUUACCUCUACAUUGUAUUGUAGACCUUGAAGGAGAAGCAGUUGUAUGCAAAAUUUUCAAAAUGUGAAUUUUGGUUGAACGCUGUAACUUUUUUGGAUCAUAUCAUUUCUAGUGAGGUAUUAUGGCAGAUCUAUAGAAAGUUAUAGUGGUGAAAAAGUGGCCUAGACCCAAUACCCAAUCAAUAUUUGGAGCUUCUUGUUUUUUGUGAGUUACUAUAGGACUUUUGUGAGUUUUUUUUAAUAUAACUGCCCCAUUGACUAAAUCAACUAAGAAGAAAGUGAGGUUCUUGUGGUCUGAUGCUUUUGAGGGUAGUUUCAAGAAGUUGAAGGAUAGGCUAGCUUUGGCUUUGAUUUUAACUUUUCCCGAAGGCACUGAUGGGUUUGUGGGUUAUUAUGAUGUGUCCCGUGUGGGGCUUGGUUGUGUUCAGAUGUAGCAUGGCAGGGUGAUAUUUUAUGCCUCUAGGCAGUUAAAGGUGCAUAAGAGGAAUUAUCCAACUCACAAUUUGGAAUUGCUAGUUAUGGUAUUCACAUUGAAAAUUUGGCAUCACUAUUUGUAUAGCGUGCAUGUGGAUAUAUUUUCUAAUCAUAAAAGCCUACAGUUUAUGUUUACCCAGAAAGAGCUUAACCUCAGGCAAAGGAGAUGGCUUGAGAUGCUCAAGGAUUAUGACAUGAGUCUUUACUACCAUCUAGCUAAAGCUAAUGUGGUUGUUGAUGCUCUUAUCAGGUUAUCCAUGGGGAGUCUAGCUCAUGUGGACAAAGUGAAAUAGAAGUUUGUGAAGGAUAUUCACCAUUUGGCUAACCUUGGAGUUCGUUUAUUGGACUCUAGGUGUGGUGGUGUAUUUGUACAGGAGGUGGCAUAGUCGUAGCUUGGUGCUGAGAUCAAGGAGAAGUAGAUGUUAGAUCCUAUCUUAAUUAGGAUCAAGGGUGAUAUAGGUGGGAAGAAGCUGAUGUCCUUCAAAAUUAGUGGUGGUGUUAUCUUGUGGUACCAAGGAAGGUUAUGUGUUCUCGAUUUCAAUUGUUUGCAAGAGAGAAUCUUGGAUGAAGCGCAUGAGUCACGCUAUAUCAUUCAUCCUGGUAUGAUGAAAAUGUAUCAAGACUUUAAUGAAUGUAUUGGUGGAAUAAUAUGAAGAGGGAUGUGGCAAAUUUUGUGGCUAUGUGCAUAGUGUGUCAACAAGUAAAAGUUGAGUACAUGAGGCCCGGAGAAUUGUAUCAAGAAAUUAAGUUGUUGUAAGGCCCCGAGUCUGUACCCCAGACACUAUACGGUGCUCACAAUCCCGAAGGACCACAAGCUAACCAAUGACUGGUACCUUCUAUAAUAACUGUGUAAUAAAUACUGUAAUGCUGAAAUAGGUGGAAACAUAUGCCAUAAGGUUCACAUUUGUAAGUAAAUCUAAAUAUAAGUACUGAAAAACUGAACAACUAUCUGAAAAUACUCUAGUCUAAAAAGCCUCUAACUGUCUAAACUGUGUAGUUAAUAGGACAAGCCCCCAACUAACUCCAUCUACUGAAAUAAAACUGAAAUACUAUAAAUAAUAAGCAUAUCCUCUAACUAUGAGGACUCACCACUACUCUAAAAGUUGAGAAUCUAAACUGCUAAGGGUGCUCUGGAGCCCGUGUGUCUGAACCUAUGAUAUAAAACAUCAUAGCUCAAAGAAAAGCAUGCGUCAGUACUUUGAAUAUACUGGUAUGCUCAGUGAGGUGGGCUGAAAUGAAUGGGUUCAUAUGCAUGCACAAUAAUAACUGAAUAAUAUAAGCAUGACUGAGUAAGAGUACAUGCAUGAAUACAUAGACUGUAACUGAGAUCGUGCUAAUACUAAGUACUAAAUCUGAAUACUGAUAAUCGAUAUCUGAGUUUGCGAAUACUGUAUUACUGAUUAUCUGAAUGAUCGUAUCUAACAAUUCUGAAUAAUGUGGAACCAUACUGACUUCUGUACUGAGCUGAGUGACUAUGCCUGAUAGUCCUGAAUCUGUAGAACUGAACUGAGUUCUAUUCUGAGACUGAGACUGGAACUGAAACUGUGGGAGGUAAUCAUCUAACUAACAUGCCUCUCUCUAAACUGAUUGGGGUCCAACCGUAACCCCAGUUGGAAGGGUAUCAAUACCAUGCCACGGGUAAGGACAAGUUGUAAGUUAACCCUCUCAGAAAGGAAGCUCUUUCGUCAACCCUCGCUGGUAGGAAACUCAAAUGAGAUAUAUCAACCCUCAAUAUAUCUAGCAGGAAGAUAUCUCAACCUACACUGGCUACGUAGUUCUAUAUGCAAGGAUUGCUACUAAGGGUCAAACCCUCUGCUAGCAGAAAUGCCCCCAUCCCUGGGUUAACUCGGUGCUGAAUCCUACUCCCAACUGAAUAGAUACUGAACUUAUUUAUAGUUUUUACUAGGCCGGACUGAUUUGUUACUAAUAUUGUUGUUUAACUGAACUGAACUAGGUAUACUGAGUUUCGUGGACUAUCGAAAACUACUAAAUUCUGUUAACUAACUGAGAGUACUACUGAUAGUGACGUAACUAUUAUUGUACUAUGACUGACAAUGGCUCUAAAUAAUCAGCUAAAUUGUCCGGUACAUAUACCCCUAGGACUCGAUAGCACAAAAUAAGAGAUAGGGCAUAAACUUGAAACAUAUAAACUAAGCAUUUGAUCAUUCUUCAUUCAUUGGAGAAUUUUAACUAACACUUGCAUAUCAUGAACUUAAACACAUGUUAACAUAAUAUAACAUCACUAUUCAACUGACAUGUUAAAUUCAUCAAUCACUUGAAAGGCAUAAAUUAUGCACAUAAUACUAAUCAACAUGUGAGCACACAAUUUCAAUAUUAAAUUCACCAUGUGAAGGCUUUAGCAUGAUUUCACAUAGUAACACAUAUAAAUCAACUAACCCCACAUAAACAUGGAUUUUAAACCCAAUUAAUCAUUUUUAAACAUGGAUAUUAUCAAACCCAACAUAGAAUUCAUAUACUUGAAGUCUAAAAUAAAUUAUUGGACUCCAAGGGUGGAAGGGACCCUUGGAUGAACACUUUACAUACCUUAGUUAAGUAAUUUCUGAAAAUUGAUGGUGGAAAUCUUGAGUUCUUGAUUUGAAAUUGAAUCUUCUUGGGUUUUGUUAUUGAGCAAUUUUGAGAAAAGAUGAGUUUAAUUGCUCUCAAAGGUGAUAAAUUUCGUGUUUUGGGGGCUGAUGUUUAAGGGAAAAAGUUUAAGGUAAAAGGACCCAAAUACCCCCAAGGACGCAGUCUUUUAAAGAUUGAAAAACUAUACCAUCGAUGCGCAGACCAACAUGCCGCAUCAUUCGCAUCGAUAUGAUAUACAACUCAUCUCAUCGAGUCUGUGUCGACUCACUAGAAAUUGACACUGGGAGAUAGGGAAAACAUUUACCAAUUCAAUAGUCGAUGCAGCCCGCCAAGAUCAUGUUGAUCCACUAUUUUAAGAUUCCAAAAGAGCUUCAAAUGAAGUCUAAAAAUCCAAAACUUUUCUGAAAACACCUACAGACAUUCCUAGUCAUGAAUCAACCUAAAUAUCCACCUAUAAUGGACGUACAUGCUAUGAAAUAAGAUUGCCAACUUUUGAAGGCUAGAACGAUACUAAGUCUAAAUACCUAGCUAGAAUAUUCUAAGUAUGGUACCCUUUAACAAGCUUAGAGGACUAAACUAAGCUAAGGAUUUUGCGGGGUCUUACAUUUUCCUUUAUGGAAGUGGGAAGUGAUCAAUAUGUAUUUCAUUAUCAGUCUUCCUCAGUAUAAAAAUUAGUUUGAUUCAGUUUUAGUCAUCAUUAAUAAGACGACAAAGUCGGCACACUUUUUGCCAGUGAGGCUACCUUCUUGGCUGAGUAUUAUGUGAGGUUUUAUCUUUAUGAGAUUGUAAAGUUGCAUGGGGUACCUACUUCUAUCAUCUUAAAUCAUGGUACGUAGUUUUCCUCUUAUUUUUGGUGAUCAUUUUAGAAAGGUUUGGGGACCAAAGUGAGUCUUAGUACUACUUUUCACCCAUAAUCGACUGGGUGAGCAGAGAUAACUAUUUAGAUGUUGGAGGAUAUGCUUCGUGCUUGUGUGAUUAACUAUGGUGGUAGUUGGGUGGAGAAUUUGCCUCUUAUAGAGCUUUCCUACAAUAAUAGCUACCACACUAGCAUUGGGAUGGCUCCGUUCAAAGCUUUAUAUAGUAGGAUAGGUAGGCCUCCUGUUGGGUUGUUCGAGGAUAGUGAGGUGGAGAUGUUUGGCUUAAAUUUGGUUCACCAAUCCAUGGAUAAGGUAAAGGAAAUUUGUGAUAGACUUAAGGCUGCCCAAAGUUUCCAAAAGUCCUAUGAGGAUGUGAGGCAUAGGGAGUUAGGUUUUGAGAUUGGGCAUAGGUAUUUAUGAAGGUUGUCCCAUGAAGGAAGUGAUGCAUUUUGAGAAGAAAGGGAAGCUCAGACUACGAUAUAUUGGUCUUUGUUUUGAGAAGAGUUGGGAAUGUGUUAUAUGAGUUGGAUUUGCCUUCUAGUUUGAGCACCAUUCACUUGGUAUUCCAUGUUUCUAUGUUGAGGAAGUGUAUAGUCAAUCCAUUACGAAUUUUGCCUAUCAAGGAUAUUGGUAUUUUAGAUUCUCUAUCUUAUGAGGAGGUCCCAAUGGAAAUCUUGCAUCGAUAGUUUUGUUGGUUACAAACCAAGGAAGUGGCCUGUGUAAAGGUUCUAUAGAGGAACCACAAGUUUGAAGAGUCUACUUGGGAAGCUGAAGAGGACAUGAAGUCCAAGUAUUCAUUCUUAUUUUUUGCUCUGGAAAUUCAUACGAAAGGUAUGUGUUCUUUAUAACAUCUUUGUUUUCUAACUUAGUUAAAGGAAAGAUUGAUUUCCUUGCAUCAUUGUUUUCUAACUUAGUUUAAGGUCACAGUAGAGGUGUUGGGGUGUAAUUCUUACUUGUACUUCCCUAUUCCAUUAUUCGAGGAUGAAUGAUCCAAGUGCGGAAAAUAUAAACACCUUGGGUUUUGGCCCUUAGAAAUUUCCUGAGCUUUGAACUCACUGUUCUUGUAACGACCAACUAUACAAGUCGUAUAGUGUGAGUACGGGUCUAGGUACCCUAUUUGUAGGUUGUUCACCGUGUUGUUGGCCAGGUUCUAUCCUUGGUAUGAGACUCCAUAUGAGUCAUAUGUUUCUUAUACGAGAAGUAUAGUUCCCAAUCAUAUGUUGUCCAGUAUCUAGCUUAGAUGUCCUACUAAGGGUACGACUUGAAGGAUACUAGUCGUAUGGUGAUGGUACGAGUUAGGAUAAGGGAGUCUUAUGUUGGAAGAAUGUGGUGUCUAACUUUCUGAUCAAGUUAUAAUUUGAGGGUAACACUCGUAUGAUAUGGAUACGAGUUGAGGGGUCCAACCGUACCUUCUUGUGUUCUUUUUACAGCUUUUAAGCUGAGGGUAUUAUGGAUAUUUCCCACCCCAACCCCUUAAGAUCCCACAUCUUAUAACACUAUUUGGGCCUUUAUUCUAUACUUUAGAAGCUCAAAACACUCUAAACACUCUCUAAAAACCUCUCAAGAAGAUUGGGCUAGGGUUUUUUUAAGGUGAUCAUCUAGAGGCUUACAAAUCAAAAUCUCUUUAUAAAUCUUCGUGACUAAGGCAUGUUACUCCUCUCUCAUUGUUAGUUCAACUAAAAGUAUAUUUUUGUGGAUGGUUUUCAUGGUAUUUUUGUAGUAAUAUUUGGGUUCUUAAAUAUAUAUUAGGGGUUUUGGUUGGUCUUGGUUGGAUAAUGUUUUCCCAUGUUUUUCUUAUUGUUUUCAUGUUAUAAUUAUGUUUUGAACAUGUCGUUGCAUGGGAAUGGUCAAUUGAUACAUGGUUUUGCUUUUAGAAAUCUUAUGCCUUCAACAUGUUUGUUAAAAUUCCUAUGAGAAUGAUUUUGUCACAUAGUUUGACUAUUAUUGAAAACUUUGCAUUUCAUAAUAUGGUAAUGGAACCUAAAUUGGCUUGGUUGAUUUUAAAUGGUUUGGAAAGGCCUAGUGGCUAUAGCUUUGGUUUAAUUGGAAAUCUUAUGGGGUACAUGAGAAUCCUCUAAGUGUUGGCUAGUGACUUUUUUGCAAGCUAUAGUCGGUAUGACGAGACCACUUCAUAAUCCCUUGAUAAUUGACUUGGAAUUGGUGGUUUGGUUAUCUGCUAAAUGUUUUAAUUCAGUAAUAAUGGCGAGUUUUAAUAGCUAACCAUGAAUGUGUGAGUCCGAUGGACAGACAAUGAAAACUCAUGUUUGUCUACAUGAAGGUUGGUCAUGGUGAGCAUAUGCUUGUGGGGUACAUGGGAAUCCCCCAAGUUAUACUUGAAUAUAUACAUCAUGGAGGGCGAAGUGUACACAAGAAUCCCAGGCCCCUUUGAUAUCUCUAAUUCGUGCAACUACACACACUGGGGACCGUUCAAGGGGUAACACUAGACCCAUAUAGCCAAUGGGUGGAUUAUGAUAAUAAAGCUACACAACCAUGGUUAAAGGUUUUAAAUGCAUGCUAAACCCGAUUUUCUUUCCCGAUAUGAUAUGAUAAUAUAUAUAUAUAUAUAUGCAUGUGAUUGCAUAUGGUUAUUUACAUUAGUUUUGAAUCAUGGCAUUAUUUUAUCCUUAUUACUGAGUACAUUCUAGUAUUCAUCUGUUAACCAUCUUUGGGAAAAGUAUUACUAUGCGAUGCAAGAACUGGCCGUACCUGGAUUUGGGGAUAGUUUAGAGUUAGACUUAAGUGGUGAGCUUCCAUACACCAAAAGACUCCAUUUCAUGUUAUGGACCUUCUUUACAUUAUUUUAUUUCUUGGACUUUGGUUUUGGUUAUGUUCGGGGGCAUAUCCCGACCAAAUGUUCUUUAUUUUUGGUUAAAGGCAUUGUGGGACUACUUUACGCAUAGGCAGUGUAGGUAUUGGUGUUAGCCUUGGUAUUGGUACUGGCAUUGGCUUUGUGUUAAGCAUUGAUUGGAUAUUUUAUUGCGGUUGUUAGAUUAUGGUUAUAGACUUUAUUUAAUGUCUUUGAUUUAUUCUUAUUCUAUCUUGUUAUAUGUUUAAAAUUCAUCCGACAUGGGUUACAGGGCAGUUAUGAUUGGGUCUUGGGGGUGGUCUCUAGUCCUGAUUAGACUUGACGAACCCAACACAACUAGGCCCUGGUUUGGGUUGUGUCAGGUUAGGACUAGAUUUGAGAAGGCACAGGGCCAAUGGGAGGCUACACUGAGUACUAUACUAACUGAGCUACGUGCCAACUUGCAGACACGUCUAUAUGAGUUUGAGAGAUAGGUUAUAGCCUGACAUAUAGAGACUCCUACACCAGAUCUAGCAUAGAUAAGGAAGGAGUUUGAUGUGUUAUGAGCUGAGGUACGUUCUCUCAUCGAGAGCCGUAUGUUAGCCACUACCUUAGUUAUACCCCAAGUGGUCUAGCUAUUACCUAUACGUGCAUUGAGAUAUUUUUAUUUUCUCACGGAGGGUGAUGAAGACGUCCCAGUAGUUGGGGCCAAGAAAGAUCUCAUAGAUGACUCGUCGGACCUUGAUUUACCAUAUGACUAAGCCAUUAAAAAUACUAGGGAUGAUUUAAUGUAGUCUACAUUCGCCGACAGGCAGAGGUGUGCUUCUAUAGCAAGAGGCUCAUCAUUCAGCAGUACAUCGCCACCACUACCGCCUCCACAAGUUGAUAUGCCCCCAUCUUGGGAUGCUUUUAAUUUGGGCGCCUAGUGCAUCCCAGGUAUAUUCUCAGCUCCCUUUGUUUUAUUUUUUUCUAGUGCGUUGAGGACAGUGUAUAGUUAUUCAUUUGGGGUGGGCAUACCAUUUUGCUACGGGUUUUCUUAUCGUGCUUCUUUUCCCAUUGGCCGCGAUAUGGUUGUAGAACCAGCAUGUUUAGGAUAAUUUUGUGUUGUACUGUAUUUUUCUUCAUAUUGUGUUAUUUUUGUGUAGUUAGGAGAUUUUAAGUAUUUAGGGCAGUGGUCAUGUUUUGACUUAUUUGUGAUACCCCUCCAAAAUUUGUGUUUUAGAACUAUGUGAAUGUAUAUAUGUGUUAACUUUAUGGAUCUUGUUAUGGCAUUAGGAUUAGGGACAGGAUAAUAACUUUAGAAAUUACAUGAACUAGAUAGGUAGUAGUUGGUAAUAUUGACUCUAUGCUAUGUGUGUGUGAGAUACUACCUAGUUCCCCUUGUGUGUCAAUUUCAGAACUUGCUUGAUUAUUUUUGCCUAGUUUGAAGGAUAGUCGGUUAGGAAAGGAUCAUAGGUAAUUUUUUAUUUUAGUUCACAAUUAUCCUAAAUAACCUUUCAUAUGUGAAUUAUAUCCCUUGAUCCUUAUUUUGAGCCUUGUAGACUAUUUUUCUUGUUUCAUUGUUCACCUUUCCAUUUAUAGUACAAUGAACUUGUUUUGGCUCUGGUCCUCCUUGGACAUUAUGCACCUCAUCUCAGGUAAAAUGCCUAAGUUGAGAGUGGCUAUCGUAGGGGUGCAUAGUGUAAAAUGGGAAUGAAGAAAGGUAAAAUAAUUAAAAAAAAGUUAGUAAGGUUGAGUGUGGUAGAAAAAGAAAAGAAAAAAAGAGUAGAAGAAAAGAAAAAAAAAGUAGAAGAAAAGAAAAAAAUUGUAAAAAGAAAAAAUAAAAAGAAUGAAUAAAAUAUUACACCCAACUUGAAUGUGCAGUAACGAAUAAAAAGUAAGAAAUAAGGAUGGAAUAAAAAUGAAAUUGGCUAGUAAGUUAGACCCCAAGGUUAGUGUAGUGCCAAGGAGGAUUAGUCACUUGAUAUGUCCAUAUCUACCAUACUAGCCCUCAAGCCUACAUUACUAGCUGAGAAAAGUCUUAUAGUGAUCCUAACUUGACUAUCUAAAUGCUAAGGUAAAGAAAAUAAAGGCAAGCCUAUGGUAUUUUACAUGAAUUGAUUGGAACUUCUUUUUAAGUGUGAGUGUCUCUUGACCAUCUCUGCAUUGACAUGCAUGAUUUCAUAUGAUUGAGUAAGAGAUCCUUGUUGUGAGGGCGCUUGAUUCAUAUCGCUAGAUAUUUUCUUGUUUUGGAUAGUGUAACUUGUAUAUAUAUGAGUGAUUGUUUGUUGCUAAUGUAAUUGUCAUACCUUGAUCCCAUUGUAUCACAUUGUUGUGCUUAAUAUUUAUACAUAGUUGGUUUUGAAAAAUAAGAUUGGAGGAGGAUGUUGUGUUUUGAGUUUAAGUGUUGAUUGAUUGCCUUGAAUCACAAAUAUAGCACCUUCGAUGCUUAAAACUAGAAAAAAAUGUAAGUUUCUGCAGUUAUUUUAUUAGAUAUGAUGCCUUUUGGAUAUGUUUUGCAGGAAAUCAUGUUUUGGAAGAUAAGUUCGUGAAAAAAGGUGAAAAAAGGUGGUUUGGCUAGUUUUGGCGAAAUUAUAGAUAUUCGGGAUGUUUUCUAGCUUGUUCAUGAUCAAAGCAUGUUCGGGAAUUAAAGAAGAGCUGAUAAGAUGACUCUUGACACUUACCAAGUCAACAUGUGUCUGCAAGUAGGACCGACGGACCGCAUGUAGGCAAAGAAACUACCAAAAGUCCGAAAUCCCGAUAGCUAAACUUAAUAUUAUUAUAAUAACCCACCAAACUAGAAAUGAUUACGAAGCAAAUCCAAUAAGAACAAAGAAAUGGGAGAAAAGGUGUCUACCUCCUUUUUAUCACGUUUUAUAAUUCUAUUUAUAUAUAUUAUUAUUAUGUGUACAUGUA